GUGGGAAGAGUACUUGAUCUAAAGUCUAAGUCAUUAACGGAUAGGAUAUGGGAAGGUUCAGCUGUUGUUAUCUGUUUCUAGAGAUGCUAGAAUUCUGGAGAAUUUUAUCUUUGAAAAUCUUUAAAAUGUUGCAUGAUGAGUUCCUGUAUGAUGAGAGUUUAAAUUGCUACCACAGCCAUAUAUACAUGCUUACUAGAUUAAGAGACACUCAUUUACUUUUUACUGCUUAUGAGCAUUGAGUGUGGUCAAGCUGUGUAGACCUCUAGGAGCUUGUCAUGCAGUUAAAAUCAAGAUUCACUUGCACAUCCACUCAUACAUGCUACUUCUACUCCGGAAGUAUGCAUCCACAUACAUCCACUCACUUCCAUCUCCAGAUUCACCCAAAAUUAUUCUACUCCAAGUCCGAGAGAGAAUAGCCAAAAACAUUCUCCUAUCCCUGUUAUUCCCUGUGAAAUAAAUGGUCCAAUUAUUUUGGUUACUACCACUUGCUACAUUAUUCCAGGAGGAUAAAUGCUCAGAAAAAAAUUGAAUACGAGGAACUAAAAAGGGGCAAGUGCUCGAAACCUCGAAGAAAAAAAAGUGAGAUGAGAGGUAAAAAAUGGACAAGUGUCCGAUAGUAGAACUAGGGGUACAAGAUACCCACUUGAGAGAAAAGAAAAAGAAAAUUUAGAGCAUCUCAUUCUCCUCAAAAAGCUUCAAAGUGCAAGAAAGGUAUGUAUCCCCUCAAAAGAGCAAAAGUAGAAUUAGACUUUCACCAUACACCAUUCAUUCACCACACAUGCACAUCUUGAUUUGACUUAUUGACUUGUUUCUCUGGAUCCAUAGUUUGACUAUGCAAUAAAUAUCUUAUAAGUAUGUAUUCUUUAUCUCCCACCUAUGAGCUCUAGUUAUAAAGCCUUAUUAGAGUAGGGUGAGAGAGUAAGACAAUGUCACUAUGCCUCAUACCAGAAAUACCAUAUACUUUGAGAGAAGGCAUAUACCAUUACUGCCUUGGUAAGGAUCCAGAAAUACAACAAAAGAGAGAUUUGAGAGAGUCAUACAAGGAAUCUCUAAGUUUUAUUUGAAAAUCUGCAAAACUCCAAAGCUAUAGUUGAUCAAAGAACAAGAGUCAUGACGCUUGACUUGACCGUUCUAUCUUUUAACUGCUCAAGACACAAGUGACGAUUGCAAGCCCCAUGGUGGAAGGUAAAAUGAGUAAGUUUUAAGUCUUAACAGUUUGCUCUAACUCAGAGAUGAGACCUUGUUUGAAAGCAUGUGUACCAUCAAUAUACUAAGGCAUUACAACAACUCCUGAUCCAUCAUUGAGUCUAUCCUUUCUUAGGGACGAGCAAGAGGUAAGCUUGGGGGAGUUUGUUGACGGUCCUUAAGUAUCAAAUUUAAUCAUCGAAUAAAUAAAGAAAAGGAUCUAAAUGUAACCAACACCCAGACUUACGGUUUUAUCUGACAGAAUUCCACAAGUUUUGGUGUUUGUCUAUUUCUGCAAGGGUUAUCAGGAAAUAUGGAGGAAUAACCCACAUGUCGGGUUUACAUAGAGAUAUUAACGUGUGCGGCAAUUUUCCAUCAUCUAGAAGACUCCAGAAGCCACGGAAACGAGCGGGAGGAUGAGUGGGCCCAGGGGUAGGGCGCCCGCCCUCCCCCCUAGGGUGCCCGCCCUAGACUGAGAGCCAAUCAGGCUCCACCUCGAGGAUUAUGCUCCACCGACCUAAGGGAUCAAGAAGAACCACGCGAUUAAGGUCGGUUUGAUCUGACGGCCCAUGUUCAUUUGGGAGGGCUAUAUAAGCAAGGCCCCUGGCCCCUGGAGGAGAGAAACUCUCAAACCCUAAUUCAUUCAUUCGUCCAAGGAGAAGAGCCUCUGAUCAAGCCCUAGAGCCACCACUUCAACUAGAUCUCUAGUUUACGAUAGCUACAUAGGAUUAGAACUAGAAGGAGUCAAUCUUUGAUUGGUUUCUAGAUCUGUCAAGAGGAUUCUUGGUAAUUCCUCUAUUGUUCUUCAUUUGUUCUUCAUUGUUCUUCAAUAUUAUGAAUAUGACUUUGCUCUAUUUCAAUAUAUUGAUUAUGACUUUGCCCUACUUGUUUAUAUUUGCAAUUAUAUCAUUCUUAGUUUAUCGUAGUUAUAUACUUGGCUUAGUUAGAUUGGAAUUAUAUACAUGCUUAGGAUCAUAUAGCGUUUAUCCAUGUGUACAGUGGGUAAAUGAUAAGUAUUGUGUAGGCGUGGUGUCUAUACCGUAUUUAUCUACGAUUGUACUCUAUAUGCCGGAUCGUGGGGUGGUUCACGAUGGUGACAGCUCCGUUGAUUCUUAUAUAGUCCCCCUCCCAUGUAUAGGGUAGGCAGAGCAAUAUUAUUACAGGGGAGUGAUUGCUAUGUUUCUCAUCUUCCUUAAUAAUAUCACUAUGCAUGGGCGUAAUCUUGUCUCGCAAUGAUUGCCAAGUAUAAUUGCACUAACUAUGAUAUGCUAGACUUUAUAGUUAAGAAUAGCUUAGGAAAUAUUCUUGUAGUUCAUCCUGAUUCCAUGCUAUUGACUUGCUAGAAUAUCUGUUGAGGUGCUAAUCAUUAUCAUUUGUGGCUAGUGAUGCUGAUCAGAAUAGUUAUCUUUGUCACCAUUCAUAUUUUAUCUAUAUUUUAGGUGACACUUACCCCUGUAUUGAUGAGAUAGAUGAAUGCUCUCUAUUACACAUGCAAUGAUACUCAGUUCCAUAUUUUAUUCCAUCAUUAUUAGCAAUCCCUUCCUAGUGGUAGAAAUAUAAAUAACGAUACCUAGAAUACUUUCCGGUUAAAAUGCUACAUCAGUAUUAAUGUGUGCGCUUGCAGAUCCCAUUUAUUAUUUAUCUAGAUGAGCAAUUGCAUAUUUCAAUACCGCGUCUCUCAUGUCAUGCUAGGGAUGACAACUUGGUUUAAGUCAUGAGGGAUGGGUUCGGCAUUUUUGGCACCGUUAUCAUAAAUAGAAAACUAAGUCUACUUUUGGUAAUGAUGUUAAGAAUGCCCAAUACAUACCACUGCAUGUUUACUUUGAAUCAUCCAUGCAUCCACUUUAUUUAGUUUUCUCAUCCACAUCAUGUUUAGUUCCUUGCAUGCAUACAAUUCAUCUGCAUCUAAAAAUAUAAUAAUAUUUCUCAUUGCGAUCAUACUCUAUCAUCACUAUUGAGUAAAUCUCUAUAAUGCUCUCAUGCUACCUUUGUUUGCUAUAGUAUGCAUAGGCUUUGAAGUAGUUUCAUACAUCUCUUAAAUGAAGCAUGGUGCCUAGUUUAGGAGUGGUGAUCUUACAUUCAAAAGGAUUUUUAAAUUAAGCGUGGUGCUUAGGUUAAAAUGCCUUCGUGAAUCAAAUUAGACACGGUGCCUAGGUUGAUUUUUGAGCUGAUAGUAUGAUAUAUUAGAUAUUGGAAUAUUUUUGUUGGACUAACCCCUAUAGGAAAAUCUCAAAUAUAAAUUGGGACAGUCCUGAGAUGAACUCAUACUAGAGAUGAAGGGAGACACAACUCACACGUAGCCAAGUAGAAAGAAGGGUGCCACGAAACAUGAUCCAUGAUCAAAGCACUCACUCUAUGGAGUUGCAUUCUCUUGUCAACCACUAAUUAUCAGGAAUCAAGAAAAGAUUGACAAGAGAAAAGCAUGCAACGUUCUGCACUCUCACCUCUGAGGUUGAGAAGCUGAGACAUGAGGAAGAGAAGGUCAACUCCUCUAGAUGAUCCAACCAAGUUCUUCCUCAUCGCUCCACACGUUGGUUUGCAAUCUCUAUAUUUACUACUACAUUAUUACUAUAAGUUUAAGUUGAUCCACAAUGCCUAUAUUUAAGAAUCAAAACAUGAGAUGGAAAAAUAAAAUUAAUCCUUUAGAAAUAAGUAAUUGUGAAUAAUAAAUGUGCUAUGCUAAGUAUGUUAAAACAAUUUCUUUUGUAGAAUAGGAAGUGACCCUUAGCUUUGUGUUACAACAAUGCCCUUGUCAUUACUUGUAUACUCCUUCGGUAUGUGUUGUCCACUAAUGAUUUGUAGGGAUAAAAUAACAAGAAGAGCUAAAGGUCAAAGCACAAAUAAGACAGAGAACAAUUAAUGGCAAGAAAGGAGUACAACAAAGCAGACAAGAUAGCCAAGCAAGGAAUGUUUCCACAAGAUGUUACGACUUCCACAUGUUUCAAUACUAAAGGUAACAUCUCUUGGUAAGUGAUCAUUACUUCCAAAAUAUCCUCGAUUUUGGCACUCACAUAAGUAGAGAGCCCAACAUGUUUUGAGUUACAACCUUAUUUGAUCCAAUCUAAUUAGCUCAACAUGUUUAGUUCUUUAUGCUUGUUCCUAAGAAUCACUUUCUUGAUCCUGUAGUUUUUAAUUCAAUAAUCUGAAAUAUUGCACAUCCUAUCUUUGGAAGAUGAUAGUCAUAAUUAUGAAGUUAAAUGCAUAGAUAGAACAUCCUUCCAUAAUGUUGAAUAAUCUGAUCGGCCAAGUGUUUUAAUGCUACAAGCUUGCUAAUCAUUUGUUCCUAUCACCCAUGUUUAGAUUGAGCAAAACACAUAAACAUCAACUUUAUCUCAUUCAAUGUGCCAAAGGCUAGAGUUUAAUGAAUAAACCUUUUGGUUCUAUUGGUGUUUUCCCACCAACAAAGCCCAUGCACAUGAUCUCUGCCUUGUCUCUAUGAGCAGGACACACUUUAGUCAACUCCUCGAGAAUCCUACAAGUGAAGAUUCUAGACCUAUGAACAUGCACACUGAGCGAAGAUGUUGCUAGCUCCUAGAACUAGUACUUGACUCCAACCCGUUGGAGAAGCAAUAAACAUAGGUGACACCAUCUCAAGGGGUGCAAUUAUUAUGGUCUCCACCUUUGGGACCAGAUAAAGCACCUAAGAAUUAACAUGGUAAGAGGUCCUGUUCGGAGGACUUAAAAUCACCGAACACCAUGCCAAGAGGUAACUUGGUAUUUAUCUACAUUUUCCUUUAAGCAUAUUUAUUUUUCUUAACUACAUUAGUAGUUGCAUCUUUAUUGUGUACGCAUUAGAAAAGAAAAUAAAUAUGUACUGCAUUGCAUUUAGAAACCUACUAAGCCCCAUGUAUUUAGUAUGUGAUGCAACAGCUUACGUACUUAUCUACUAUGGUGGCACAAAAAUAAGUUUUAGCAUAUUUAUUUUCCUGGUCUGCAUACUAUAAAUAUGAAAAGUAUUAAAAAAAUAUAUUGAUCCUGCUAAAAGAUAAAUGGGUAUAAAGCUUAGAGGUUUAUUACUAACGCUUAAUCAGUUCCACAAGCUUUGUUGUCUAUUUGAGCUUCAUAGGCUUCAACGGACCAAAAAGAACUAACAGGUAGAAGGACGUCCUGUGCCCUGUCAGAGUACUGUUCGCACGAGGCAAGUGCUAUUGCUAACAACAAGUACCUAUGAUACUUUAGGAGGAUCAGUACGCCUUCACUGCCCGUCAGCAAUCUCAACAAACUAAUACGGCUCGAAGCUGAGCCGCUCCCCAUGCCCAGGCUGCAACCUAGGCCUGGGCCGAGAAUUCCCACACCCGUCUGGGUUUAAUCUAGCCCAUCCAGUCUCAGGCGAUUGUUGGUAUUUAUUAACGUAAAUAGAAAAGAUUCGCAAGCUCAUGGAUACCAUUGUUGCUUUCACUCAGAAGGUUUUGAAUAUCGUGUCCAUAGGGAAACAUGUGAGUCAACUAUGUACUACUUAACUAUAAAAGGUUAAUGAGUUGGAAAUAUAAACUAUGCUAGGGACAAGAUCUAAAGUGGAAACAAGAUUAAAACGUAGGGGAGCAUCAAUCUAGUAUGGGGUCGAUAGUAGGAGUAUAGAGAGGAUAACUCGAUCAGGGUUUUACUUCUAACUCAGGCUGUCCAUGUCUUCUACUAUUCAACUGGGGAAUUACUAUGGAAGACUGCAAAUAUAGUAUGAAUCUACCAUGUAAGGAGUAACUACUCCUAGGAGUAUAAAAAAUGCACCCUAUAUAUAUAUAACUCUCUACAUCUACAUUAACUAGCAAUAUGGUACUAACUGAUGUUGCACCUUCUACCUCCCCUAAUAGGCCUAAAUAAAUAUGAAAGCCUAUUAAUAAAUAAAGACAUGGGCCUUGAGUGUUAAAAAAAUGAUAGAUUUAUGAUUUUUGGGAUUAAUUAAUUUCAUGGAUAAAAUAAUUGUAGAAAAGUCUAGAAUUAUUAUUUAAGCCAUGAAAAAUACUCCAAAAACUCUGAAAAUCCGUAGCAAAUUCUCAGAGACAUUACAGAACAUGAGGAAAUCAAAUAAAGUAUUUGAAGCUAGAUUAGAUUAUCUAAAAAUUAGAUUAUGCUCACAGAAAAAUUGGAACAAGUUCUAUAAAAACUAAAAUAAUUAUAGAUAGGUUUUUAGAGAUUGAUAGACGAAUGAGGAAGUGAAAGAGUGAUUGGCGACAAAGAAAAGAUUUAUUUGGAAAUGUUCUAAUGAAAACUUAAUCUGAGAAACAAGAAAUUUGAUUAUAGAUAAAGAUAAAGACGUACCGAUCAAGGAAGAUCGAUCUACUAAACUCAUUUUAAAAACUUUGCUCACUCUCAACACACAAAGGAGCAACAAGCAAACAUUACAUCAAAUCUUAUGCACCAACAUGUAUGCACAACAAUAUUGCUAAGCCUUAUGAUAAAUUUUUUAUAUAUGAAAAAAUAUUAUUUUUCCUAUAUUUCCAUGAACACAAAAAUACAAAAUUAAAUCAAUUUACAUCUAUUUUGGAACGAGCAAAUUUUAGGGCGUUACAAUUCUACCCCCUUAAGAUGAAUCUUGUCCUCGAGAUUUGGAAGACGGUGAUAAAAGAGAUAUAGAUUUUAAAUCUUGUUCACUUCCUUGAGUAGUUAUAUCUUCAUAACAAUGAUUCCACUGCCUUACUCCAAGUAGCCUGCUCAAAUAUUCCUAAAUUAUUAACGAGACACCUAGUGUAAUAGUUAUGAUCCUUCUUUAAACUUAUUUCUUCAAGGGUAUUUUUUCUUAAGUACUACCAACCAUUCCUCCAACUUUGUCAUGUGGACACCUCAGGUACUCCGAGCUCACUCUCGGGUAACUUCAAUUACAAGGCUACUUCUCUUUAACUUUUUAGUCCAUGUUAGUAACACAAGAAGGAUAGAUGAUCAUAAUCAUAAGAUAUCUCAAGAGACAAUUAUCACUUCAAGAUAGAUUAGAAAAACAUCAACAUGUGAAAUCAAAUUACAACCCCCCUUAAAAUGAGAUUGACUAGAGGACACUAGGGACUAGUUUCUAUAACCUUUUUAGGCACUACACAUCAUAUUGUCUUUUAAAUUGACUCUACUGAGUCUCUUGAUCCAAGGUCAGUUUCAUCACCAAGUUCCAACUAUUAGUACCUUUAUCACAGUUAAGUUUCUUCACUCUCACAUCCUAUAUAUAAAUUUAUAAACUUUGGUGUCAUCUGAUCCUCAUAAGCAUAACUCCCAAUCUAUGAGUAUCAGCCAUGACAUAUACCUCCAUUAAUAUUCUCCAAGUGGGACAAUAUCUUGAAACAAAACCAAACUUACCAAACACUUGAGAUCCUUACACACGAUCCAACUUUUACGAGUCCUUCCCGUAACUCCUUAAACUAGGCUACCACCUUAAGAAAAGGUCAACUAGGGGACACAAGAAGGGUAGCUUGCACUUUUUUCACACAAGUUUACUAGCAUUCACUAGUACAUUGGCACACUAUACAGGCGGUUGGUAACAUAUUUCUACAGGCGUUUUUCGGAUCCGCCUGCGCUGGAGGUCAGUAGAAAUCGUCCAUUUCCACAGGCGGUCGCUUGAGAGCCGCCAGUAGAAAUAUUUUACAUAGGCGGCUCUCUUAGGGAACCGCCUGUGUAAAUGUUCAUUUACAUAGGCGGUUCCCUAAGAGAGCCGCAUGUGUAAACCUAUUAAAAUAUGUAUUAUUUAUUUAUUUAUUUUUAUUUAUUAUUUUAUUGUUAUUAUUUAAAUAUAUUGAUAUUGGUUGGUCUUCUAACAUAGCAACAUGUAAUUUAAAUACUUCAUCUCAUACAUACAUUUGUAUACAUCAAAGUUUGGUGCUCAAAGACAUAAAGUUAAUUACAAGAGUAUAUCCAUCAUCACACAUCAUAUAUAUAUAUAUACAUCAAAGUUUGUUUCUGUCCUCUAAUAACCCUCUUUAGUAAGUUUGAGCUUACUAAUCUCUGUUAGCACUCGGAACUGUGGCCUGGAUAAUUGGCUUUCAUCAUCAUGAUAUUUGCCUUCACAUGGAAUGACAUGCUUCAUGAUGAACGAGCAGAUGUCCUCAACUAUGUUGUCUAAAGCACGUUCGUCCAUACGCUCCGCCAUCCCUUGCUUAUAUACCUGCAAAGAUGUUGAGAGGCAAACAUGUUAAGAGGCAUUAUCCAACCAUAUUAAACAACCCCAUCUAACCAUAUCAACAAAUCAAGACAAAAAAGCUAGCUAUUCUUCUCUCUCACUUGGUGAAACCCUAGAUCCAAAAAGUGGCUCAAACUGAGCUAGAAUGAGCAAAUUGAGGCAAUAGGGACAUAAACUAACCUGUUUUAGCAACCUCCUUCCUAGAAAUAAAGAUCAAAACCUCCCCCCUUGUAUUUUGAGAAAUCUGGAACUCCAAAAUGGAAGGUGGGUGCGAGAUACUGUGUUCUGGUCAGGGAGGAAGAAGGGGUAUUUAUACAGAGAUAACACAGGCGGUUGCUUAAGUCAACCGCCUGUGGAAAUAGUUUAUCACAAGCGGUUGACUUAAGCCAACCGCCAGUGUAAAUGUACACUGGCGGUUGGCUUAAGUCAACCGCCUGUGAUAAUCGUUUCCACAGGCGGCCGAAAAUCUCUGACACCGCCCGAUUUAUACCACAGGCGCAUCGUAACUGGAACCGCCUGUGGUAUAAAAAGGGGGCGCCAGCUAUGAGUCUCUUUCUACUAGUGAUGGAGACCUUCUGACAUCCAAAGAACUUAUGUGUAAGGGAAGAAAUAAAUAUCCUGUCACACCCAUAUUUGAAGAACAAAAUAGGAUGCAUAAAAGACUGAUAUGUGCCCCAGAAACAGUCGCACACAUAAGUAGACAAAUCUCAAAUAUACCAUUGCAGUGUUUAUUACAUAGCGGAACGAUAAUAAAUCACAUAAUCUUAUACAAUAAUGAUAAUAAACAACACCCUCGACGAAAGCACAACACAGGGACACUGUUGACUGGUUGACUCCAAGCCUAGUACUCAUAACGAUAGUCCUCAUUCCAAUCAUCAUCAUUAGCGUAACCUGGGGUGUUGGAAAAUUGCAAGAGUGAGCAAAUAUCAUACUCAACAAGUAUAACCAGGGGUUCAUGAGGCUCAAAUAGCUGACACUAGUUUGACUGCAUUUAGCUUUUAAUAGUGGAUAGCAUGUUCAUAAUUAGAUAGCAAAUGUCAAGGUAGCAUAAAUAAUCCAAUAAUCACAUGAACAAGUGUAAGCAUAAUUAAUUAAUAGCAUAAACAAUAAUUAAAUGAUCAUAAUAACAUAAUAAGCUCAUCAUCUUAAUGUAGAUGUCCCCAAGGCCACUCCUAACCAUGAGCUCGGCUAGUAUACUAGUUUUUAACACUCUGCAGAGGUUGUACAUCUUUACCCAUGAGUCAUAAUUUAUCCUUUCGCCCGAGGCUCGUCGACCUCUUAACCCACUACCAAGGAAGGUCGGCAGGGAUCACUAUGAAGCGUUUCAAAAGUCUGUCUAACAUGUUAGGGCCACAAGGUUUCCUCGGUGAGCAGAUAUAGAUGCCCCCCUUCCAAAUGGCACAAUGACGCGUAGACUAUACACAUAAGGACAGAGGCUCGCACUAUACCUGUGUCGGCAAGCCCCUCUAGCACCCUUACGGAUAACCUCUAACAAGAUAGAAAAGGUCUUCAUAAUGAGCUAAAACCAGAGCCAUUAUAGCCCUCAUGGUUGCACUGUUGUCCCGGGUGAUCACGUACAGACAAGAUCUCAUAAAGUUAUUUGUCAUCCUUUUAUGUCCAUUGCAUAGCUAUUAAUCAUCUUACAAGAUCAUGGAUUAUAUCAAGCACUAGCAAAAUUACACCAAAUGCAUAUCAAGUAGGUAACAUGGAAUCCAGGUAACAAAUAUCUAUGAUUUUGCUAAGGUCGACAAGGUGGAAACAUGCAUAUGAUAUAUAUGUGUAUUUAUAAGUGUAUAGGUAACAAGGAUGAUCCCAAGUUAUACUUGCCUUGAUCAAAGCUCUCCUAAGCCUGUUGCUGGUCUUCAAAAGAUUGACCUUGAUCACCAACGUAUCGCUCACCGUCUAUACCCGAUCAUCAAUCAACAACACGCAAUCCAAUGUAGACAAUCAUACAUGAAGCAAAUAAGAUAUAAUUAGAACAAUACACCAAACAAUAGUAAAACAAAUAUAAAAGAUUAUCAAAAUAUUCUAUGCAGUGCUACGAUCACACAAACGUAAAGUUCACGAAAAUCAGAAUUAAAACGUAGAAGUUAUGAAUUUUCUGAGAUUUCCUAUAGAUAAAUAAUUAAUUAAAUUCUACUGCGAAAAUAGAAAGUUUCAAACAGAGAAUUAAUACUUCUAACGUGUAAAGCUCGUAAAUACGAAUCUAACGAAAUUUGAAUGGACAAAAAUGGAGUUAAAACGAAUAUUUUAUGAGCUAUUUAAAUUUAGUGGCAAUUUUGUAAUUACUGGAAAGCGUAUUUUGCUCAAACCGGCCAGGUUUACGCUUUCGGAAUUGGAAAGCGAAUUCUUGCUCAGGGCGCCAAGGACCGCGGGUUGAAUUUCCAGACUCCACAAGGACUCUUUAGCAAAUUAGCCGGACGAAAGGGUAACUUCUUUUCUCAGCCGUUGAUCUUCCAUCCGGCGGUUGAGACCACUCCUGGGCGCUACCGGGGCCGACGGCCGGCCGGGCGCGAGCGCCGGCGCGGUGGCGCCAUUGCCACCGCCGCAGAGCCCACCGGAGCUCUCCGUUUCCGUGUUUCCGAGCACCAAAAAUGAAACCAAGAGCAUGGAGAGGUAGAGGAGAACGUGGCGAGCUCACCUAGGAUCUCGGGCCGAGGACAAGGAGAGAGAGAUCGGGUCGUGGUGGAGGUUUUUGGCGAGAUCCAAAACCCGAUGAACGUGAUGGCUACGGCUCCCGGGAUGCGGGAAACGACAAAGGGAGGUCGCAGGGAGAUUCCUUGAGCCUUUAUAUGGGCUUGGUGCACAAGAUAGCAAGGAGAUCCCGGGGUUUUCAGGAUCGAAAUGGCCGGCAGGGAGGAGUUUGUCUCGGUUACGAACCGAGGAAGGAGAGGGAGACGCUGCGCUGACAAGUGGGGCCCGAGCGCCAGAGAGAGACGGCGCCCGGCUGCCAGUCAAAGAAGGAGAGAGGGAGGGAGUGCGCGCGCACGGCCUGGGCUGAUUGGGCCGCUACGAGCGGGCUGGGGGCGGGGGAAAAAGAAAGCCAGGCUGGGGGAGGGGGAGUGGGCCGAGCGAGUGGGGGAAGAGAAGGGGGAGAGGGGAGCUGGGCUGGCUGGGGUUUUUUUUUCUUUUUUUUCUUUCUUUUAUUUUCCAAAGCAUUUUCACAAGUGAAUUUGAAUCCUUUUAAAAGAAUUAGACCAAAACACACAACACAAAAAUAAUUAUGCUCCGGCAUGAAUGCACAAUCAAGGUUAUUAAACCUAUGAUAAAUUUUAUUUUUCAACAAAAAAUAUUUAUUCACUAAAUUAAAUGCUCACAAAAAUACUUAAUUAAAUCAAAUUAAUUUCUAUUAAUUAAAAUAAAAUUUUUGGGUGUUACAUAUCCUGAAAUGUCCUUGCGAUAUGAAAACACCAGCGUAGUAAAACAGGUAUAACUCUUAUUUUGUCAAUCCAAUAGAGUUGUAGCUAAUACCGUUAGAAAACUUAUGAAAGUCCCUACAACUUUCAUAUAGAAGACAUCCUUAGGUUAUGUCUUUAAGCUUAGGUAAAACAUCCAACCAUAAUAUCCAUCCCGACAAUGUCUUAGCACAGAUGCAGUAACUUGCAGAAGUCAUAUCUCAAGAUACUUAAAACAUAUGGUGACGAUCCUUACGUUGCUGAAAAUCUUAUGAAAUCCUCUACAACUUUCGUAUACAACCUUUUCAUAGAUUCCGAAGCUAAGUUGACUGAAUAUAGGAAAUAUCAUAUGUGUCCAGACUUUUAAACAAAGCAGAAACAUCCAAUUGUAAGUGUAAUAUCUCAGGCUCCACUUAUCCGAUAAAAUUCCAGCUUACACCGUUGGAAAGCUUAGACAAUUUUCUACAACUUUGCUAUAGAGCACUUUUCCAAAUUCUGUAGUUACAAUGGUCUAAAAUAGUAAGACACUGAAACUGGUCCAGGUCCUUGACAGACAACGGUAUCAUCUUGUGAUUUUCAUAACUCCAAUUCCAAAAUAGCUAUGGUGGUGAUUCUUGCGGUGGUAGAAAGAUCUUGAAGUCUACUAUCAUCCAGAAUGUUCUCAUGAUUUUUGGUCAUCCAAGAACAGGGAUAUAACCCAAUCAAGACAGUACUCUAGAAAGAUUGGAUUAAUAUAACAGGAGAAACCAAAACCCGACUACUUAUUUCAUUAAUCCUUAUACCUUAGACCUAUAAACUAAAUGAAAUUGUGGAGAAAACCUACAAAAUCAUUGCACAUAUUUCAAAGAUCCAAAUCAAGCAUAAGCAUAAUGAUAAACCAUCUAAGCACAAAAGGCUCACACUUCAAACAUUGACUCAACUUGCGAUACUAUCGUUCUCUUCAUACUAAGGGUAAAGAUACUUAAGCUCCUCUUUCAAAGAUGCAAGGAGGUGAUAAAAAAAGAUUCUAAAAGCAUUUCGAAGCAAGAAGUGAAGAUGAGAACAAGGAUUUUUAAAAUAAGCAACAAGAUAGAGAGGAAUAGCAAGGGUGGAGAUAUAGUAUAGAGGAAAAUACCAAGGUUUAUAGAGCAAGGGUGUUAUAAUAAUUUCAAAACCUUAAGACAGACAAUUUCAAACUAGGCUUGCGUCCUACAGUCAACAUUGCUUUGAUACUACUUUGUAAUACCAAAUUUUAAGGUCAAAAUCAGAUAUGCACCAUAUGUGAGCUUUAGAAGUCAAAUCUCACAUAUAGCUACAAGUAAGGGGUAAUAUCAAAAGAUAAUGCAUAAAAUAUAUAACAUACUUAGUACAUCAGAGAUAACCUUAUGUAGCAAACAACAAAAAAUACUCCAAACUUUGGGUAUCAACUCCACUCUACAGGAUCUAAACUGACUGGUUGAUCACAAGCCUAAACUCCUACUGAAGUAUGGAGGAAAUAGCAAGAGUGAGUCCAUGUCGAACUCGACAAGUAUAGCAAUAAGAUUAUAUAGAUUCCACAAUCUUAUGAUCAAUGUGACAUAAAUAAUGUAGAGCAUUAAAUAAUAAACAAUGAGUAUCUUAACACAAUAAGAAUCAUCACCCUUAAUGUACAUGUCCCCAAGGCCGCUCGUGACCAUGAGCACAACUAGUAUACUAGUUUUAAACACUCUGCAGAGGUUGAACAUCUUUACCCAUGAGUCAUGAUUUACCCUUUCGCCCGAGGUCGCGAGUCUCUUAACCCCUUCCAAGGGAGGUCGGCAGGGAUCACUAUGAAGUCUUUCAAAGGUUUCGUCUAACAUGUUAGGGCCAUUAGAUUCACUCAGCAGGCAGAUAUAGAGCCCUCCUUCCAUGCCACAUAACACGCAGCCUAUACAUAGGGACAGAGGCCGCACUAUACCCAAUGUGUCUAGCCAUUAUUACACCAUUUAAGGUAACUGCUAACAAGCUAGAAAAUAGAUCCUCAUACUGAGCUAAAGCCAGAGCCAUUAUAGCCCUCAUGGUUGUAGGAAUCCUCAAGUUGCUAAAAAGUCAAUUUUAUCGUUUGUUGCUUAAACAUUAAUCAAGUCACAAAAUCAUAGCCAUAGAAAUAAAAGUCAAAUGCUAUACUUGCCUUAAUCCAAGUUUUCCCGCUGCUCUUGCUGAUCCUGCUGGUUGCCAAGGUACUAAUCUUGAUCACUAAAAUACUGCUCACUGUUUAUACCCGAUCAUCAAUCAUCAACACACAAACAAUCGAAGCCAAACAUACCCAAUGUAAACAAAGCUACAAUUAGAACAGUAUACCAAUCAAUAAAAGGAUUUAGAAACUAAUCUACGCAUUGCUAUGAAUAAACAGACGCGAAAAGCACUCUAAUCAGAGAUAUAGUGAAAAAGAAAUAACUACCAAAAGAUUUACAAGAGUAAAUGCUAUGUGCUUGUUAUUUUAAUUACAAAAUCAUGCGAAGGUUAUUUAGUCAUUUUACAUUUUAAUUGAAAAGCCGAGUUACUAGUCAAAUUUGCAAACAUGUCUCAUAUUAUUUAAGUAAUUUGAACCUUACUUUAAAAUAGAAAUAAUCUAGUGAGAGCAUCGAUCUGCAGGUUCAAACUAAGCACAUUGUAUUUACGUAAUGAAAACAUAGUUAAGUUAGUAUUAAUAAAAUUAACAUUUAUUAUAAAAGAGUUGUGUAGAACCUAUAUUAAUUUUUAAUUAGAACCUAGUUUCAUAAACAUUAACCAUGUAUUAACUUUUAUUUUUUAUAAAAUUCACAAACAUGUUACGUGGUAAAUAUCAUAGCUGGCACGUAUAUUGUAUAAAAUUAAGACUAACACAAAAAGAAAAGACUUGAAUCGGUAGUAGAUUGAAGGUUUAAGGUUCUACUCGAAAGAAUGCAUUGACUUAAAGUUCCGUCCAUACAGGUAGUUCAAAGGCUCAUCUGAAUUAUCUAAAUUCAAAACAAAAGGAUGGAUUACUAUGCAAGGGUGGGGUAAGCAUGAUUAUAUAUAUAUAUAUAUAUAUAUAUAUAUAUAUAUAUAUAUAUAUAUAUAUAUAUAUAUAUAUAUAUAUAUAUAUAUAUAUAUAUAUAUAUAUUCAGUAUUGUUCAGUAUUUCGUGGUCCUGAGUGUAUAUUAGAUGAUACUGAACGCGUUUCAGUACUGCUCAGUAUUUUUUCUACUCAGAUUUGGCUUGCGGUAAACCUAGGGUGUAGAAUAGCGCUGCCGUAUAUAUAUAUAUAAUACUGAACGAUACUGAAUUUUGCUCCGUAUAAGAGUUCGGUGUAGAAGUAUUCUACACCUAGGGUGUACAAUAGCACUUAUAUAUAUAUAUAUAUAUAUAUAUAUAUAUAUAUUGUGGCAAGAAAGUUCUGCUCUUGCCUAGUAAGACUAAGCAUGCAUAACAAGGGGGUGCAGGGGCAGCAGGGGGCAUGGCCAAUGCCCCUAGUCGCUCGGCUCCGGGGGGUGGUCGUGGGGCUGGCCGCAGGGGGCAUGGCCAAUGCCCCUAGUCGCUCGGCUCCGGGGGGUGGUCGUGGGGCUGGCCGCAGCACCAGCAACGACACCAAAGACGACUCUCUUGGCCAUGGCUUGGAGGAUCAACAGGGUAAUCAGAAGAGGAAGCGCAAAGAUCCAUCUGUCAAGCGUGAAUGUACCAUCUGUACGGAGGAGCACUUCACAAACCAGUGUCCUCUACUACGUGGUCCGAAGCCUACCGUGGCCUAUUGCGGUGCCGCUGAAGACGGGUUAGGUUUCUUUCAGAUUCAAGCUGCAAGGAAUAGUCAAAUCGUCAUGGCCGCUCAGUCAUUGGCGGCAGCCCUUAUUACUGUUGAGGCAGGGGAGGUCUCUGCUAACCUGCUUCGCUUCGAACUGGCCAGGAUUUUUCCAGUGCGUUGGGACUGGGAGGUACAGGAUCAUGGUGCCAAUUCUUAUGUUGUUCCUUUCCCUAGCACGGCAGAACUAGAACGGAUGGUCGCGAUCCGGACUAUCACUACAAAGAACAAGGAAGGCACAAUUAUUAUAGAGGAAUUUAUUGAUGAUGUCCAACCCAUCAAGAUCCUGGAACAAAUUUGGGUGACAGUUACUAGAGUACCUCGGGUGCUUCGCUCCUUUCUCCCUCUGUGGGCAGUGGGUUCUAUAGUCGGGGCAACACAAAAGGUUGACAUGGCUCAUCUCCGGGCGACUGGUCAAGUCCGCAUCCUAGUGGCAGUACUUGAUUCUAAGAAGAUCCCUAAGAAGGCUGACGUUUGUGCUAAUAGCAGUGUCUAUAGGCUUUACUUUAAGUGGUACAGAUGGAGGCCAAUGAUACAGAGGAUGACGAUCUGUUAAAUGAUGGUGACAAGAAUGCUGAUGGGAGCGACAAGGAGAUGGAAGAUGCGGAGCAAACUAAUCCUAAUGCUGAAAAUAAGAAUGAUGCCAAAUCUGACAAGGCACCUGCAGCUUCCCAGCAGAUGCCCCCUCAGAAGCAAGCGGCAUUGCUGGAUAAGGCACUGGACAGGGCUUGUGAACAGCUCAUUAAUGAGAUUUCCAUCAAAGUUAUGUUGGAAUCAGAUGACGGUACAGCAAGGAAGGAGCUCUCCCCUCUAUCAGUGGAAGAACUGACAACUUAUAAUAAUAUGGUCAAUAGUGUUAAUAACUCUUCUCCUGUUGUUUUGCCUUCAACUCCGAUAUUGGAUGACGUUACUCGUAGCUGCUGUUCGACAAACGACAAAGUUAUAUCCUUGUCUGGUUUGGGGGGCUCUACCUUGCCUCCUGCCUCCCAAACUGGUGCUCCUUCGGCUUCGACUUCGGCCGGAAUUACAACGGCCUCGGCUGGGGAGAAUGCCCCGGCUAUUUGCUCAAGGGCGGGCAUCAACUCACUGGCCACCGAUGAUGUAGGCGUGCUGCUGCUUGCACCCGGGACCGACAAAGGGGACGUGCUGCUCCCAACCGUCACGGCGGUGGGGGGCGGAUCUCAGGGGGACACCAACUCGUUGCCCUUCGAGGAUGGGGGCAUGCCGCUGCUUGCGCCCGAGCCUGAGGAAAGGGGCGUGUUGCUCCCCAUCACGUCACCAGGGGACAACACCUCGCCCGACGGCACGGAGGUGUGCGCUGCUGCACCAACUGAGGCAGCGAUCGGCUCGCCUACCGUGGAGGCCACGGUGGACUCCUAGCCGAAGGAGGACGACGGCGGGCCGCUUACUGCUGCAGUAGUGGUUCCCACAUCUCCACCGGCUACUGCUCUUUCACCAACUUCGUCCCCGACCUCCACAACCUUUGCGGCGCCCUCUGCAAUACCCGCUGCACCGAGCAAAGAGCUACGCCGAAGCAGCAGGAUUGCGGCGAUAGCUGAUGUUCGCACUCUACACAAGGCCGAGAAGCUGGCGGCAAAGAAAAACCUCGAAUUCUCAGGUAAAUCUUUUACUAGCUUUUCAGAUUCAAAAGUUGUAUCAAACCUUGGUAGGGUAGGCAUCAACCUAGGACCCUCGGAUGUUCUUGUUUUAAAAAACAUAGAGGUAGAUAGGUUAGUCCUUUGUGCAAAUCAAAAAAAGAAAAUCCCUAAAUCUAUAUUUUCUAGCUUGCACAGUGUUGCUGAACUUGAUGACCAACUGGAGGCGGUUCUCAGCCACGCUUGUGGAGAUCCAAAUGGGAACUUGCUUGACACGGAGAACGAUCAAAUCAUAGAUCUCUCUCCUCUCCAUCGACAGAAAAAAUAUAAUAUUGCCAAAAAUAGUGGCAAGAGCAGACUUCCCAAAAAGCCAAAGGCUCCCUCUAAAAUUAUCAUAAAAUGAAGGGAGUUUUCUGGAAUAGCAGAGGUCUUGCAGACUUGACUAAACAUAGAUAUUUGGCGGAUUUAGUUAAAGAGGAGCAAAUUAAUUUUAUUGCCCUCUCUGAGACUGGGCGAGAUCUUUUCCCAGAUCAUGUCCUCAAAAAUCUUUGCGGAGGAAAUGAUUUUCUUUGGCACACCAUGGCACCACACGGCAAAUCAGGGGGUAUUCUGCUUUGUGUGGACUUGAAUAUAUUAGAUAUUGGAGCCAUUGAUGAGGGAGAUUUUUAUGUAAAAUUCACCCUACGACUAAAAUCGAAUGACUUCAAAUUUGUGCUAUAUGCGGUUUAUGGACCAGCACAACUCCAAAAUAAAAGUGCUUUCUUGGUAGAACUCGCCAACACAUGCUCCAAAGAAACCCUGCCAUAUAUAAUAGGAGGGGAUUUCAACAUAAUGCGAGGACCAGAAGAUAAGAGUUCUGGGAACUUUGACCCUAAAUGGCCUAAUCUCUUUAAUGUUGUCAUAGAAUCUUUGGAUCUAAAGGAGAUUGCUAUGAUGGGUCGACAAUUCACUUGGGCAGGGCCAGGAGAUAAUCCAAUUCUUGAGAAGUUAGAUAGAGUUCUGGUUAGCACUGAAUGGGAAAUCAUGUACCCAUUGACAACAGUACAAACUAGGGAUGGGAAUAUUUCAGAACACACUCCCCUAGUUUUAAACACUGGUGCUUCGACCCACCAAACCCAAAACCGCCCUUUCAAAUUUGAGAGGGGAUGGUUGAUAAGAGAUGGAUUCUAUGAUAUAAUUACAAACAUCUGGCAAUCUCCAUGCUCUGGAUCCACCCCUCUAGAACGUUGGCAGUCUAAAAUCCGCAGACUACGACAAUAUCUAAGGGGUUGGGCGAAACACACUGCAGGGUCAUAUCAAAAAGAAAAAAAGACUCUGCUAGCCCUUUUAGAUAAUCUUGACAAAAAGGCAGCGAACUCUCCCUUAUCUGAUCAAGAGAUUAAUCUGAAACACUAUCUAAAGGAACGCUUAGUUAACCUUCUCAGGGAAGAAGAGUUAAAAUGGUAUGAGAGAGCUAAGGUUAAAACCCUUUUAGAAGGGGAUGCUAACACUAGGUUCUUUCAUCUAGUUGCCAAUGGGAAACAUCACAAGCAACAUUAUCUACAGACUUGAAAAUGAUUAAGGUGUUGUGAUCGGUGUUGACCAACUUUAAAAGCCACAUUACGAGUUAUUAUAAAGACCUAUUUGGCCAGCUAGAAAAUUGUGAUAUCACCCUUAGGGAAGAUCAAAACUUGGAUAUCCCACAGGUAUCACUAGAAGAAAACGAUAUCCUUGUUAGCCCUUUCUCAGAAUCCGAAGUGAGAGAGGCAGUCUUCCAAAUGGAGCAUAAUAAAGCUCCAGGCCCUGAUGGUUUUCCUGCGGAAUUCUACCAGGUGUUUUGGGAAGUCAUCAAGGAGGACCUUCUAUCACUAUUUGCUGAGCUGCAUAGGGAAACACUGGAUCUCUACAGCCUGAAUUUUAGUAUUAUUACCUUAAUCCCAAAAGUGAGUAAUGCCAUGAAAAUUCAGCAGUAUAGACCAAUUUGUGUCCUUAAUGUGAGUUUCAAAAUAUUCACUAAAGUGGGAACAAAUAGGCUUAAUAUGGUAGCUAAAACUGUGGUCAGGCCAACACAGACUGCUUUUAUACCGGGUAGGAACAUUAUGGAAGGAGUCGUUAUCUUACACGAAACCAUCCAUGAGCUCCACACCAAAAAUAGAGACGGUGUCAUUAUCAAAAUUGACUUUGAAAAGGCAUACGACAAAGUGAGGUGGUCCUUCCUACAACAAACGUUGCGAAUGAAAGGUUUCUCCCCAAAUGGUGUCGGUGGAUUGAGACUAUAGUUUCUGGCGGAAGUGUGGGAAUCAAAGUCAAUGAUGACGUAGGACCUUACUUCCAAACCAAACGGGGAAUUAGAUAGGGGGAUCCCAUGUCACCAAUCUUAUUCAAUAUCAUGGCUGAUAUGCUAGCCCUGCUCAUUAAUAGAGCAAAAGACGAUGGUCAGAUAAGAGGUGUCGUUCCCCACCUUGUAGAUGAUGGUCUAUCCAUAUUACAAUAUGCUGAUGACACCAUUAUCUUUAUUGAUCAUGACCCAGAACAAGCACAGAAUCUGAAACUGUUGUUGUGCGCUUUCGAACAGCUAUUUGGGCUAAAGAUCAACUUCCACAAGAGCGAAAUCUUCUGUUAUGGUGCAGCUAAAGAGAUGGAAUCAUAUUAUACUAGUCUCUUUGGAUGCAACGCAGGGGAAUAUCCCUUCAGAUACUUAGGGAUACCAAUGCACCAUAGACAACUCCUAAAUUCUGAAUGGAGAAAGGUGGAGGAUCGCUUUAAACAGAAACUAUCUUGUUGGAAAGCAAAAUACCUAUCAUAUGGGGGAAGACUAGUUCUGCUAAAUUCGGUCUUAACCAGCCUACCCAUGUUCAUGAUGUCCUUCUUUGAGAUCCCCAAAGGGGUCAUUAAAAACUUGGAUAAUUACAGAUCAAGUUUCUUCUGGCAAGGCUCGUCAGACAAAUAUAGAUAUCGACUUGCCAAAUGGGACAUACUUUGUUGUCCUAAGGACCAAGGGGGAUUAGGUAUCCUAAAUUUACAAUUGCAAAAUAAAUGCCUUCUAGCCAAAUGGUUGGUUAACUUACUCAACACAGAAGGUAUUUGUCAAUCUCUUUUAAGGAAUAAAUAUCUAAGAUCCAAAACCCUAACUCAAGCGGCGGCCAAACCAAACGACUCUCAUUUUUGGAGGGGCCUCAUGCAUAUCAAAGAUGAGGUGCUGGCUAAUGGUUCUUUCCAUAUUAAGGAUGGAACUAACACUAGGUUUUGGGAUGAUACAUGGGUAGGAGAUAAGCCACUCAAAGUGAUUUAUCCUUCCUUAUAUAAUAUAGUGAGGGAUCCUCACGCAACUGUAUCAAAAGUGUUGACUACUAACCCCCUAAACAUCUCUUUUAGGAGGGCUUUGGUGGGUAAUAAACUCACAGAGUGGCUUAGCUUAGUAGCACGGAUCUCAAAUGUCGAAUUGGUCGAAGGUUUGGAUUAUUUCAGAUGCAGGCUAACCAAAUCUGGUUUAUUCUCUGUCCGCUCUUUGUAUCUUUAUGAUAUGGAUACACAAACACCUUUUUACCAUAAGAAGAUCUGGAAGAUGAAAAUUCCUCUAAAAAUUAAGAUCUUUCUCUGGUUUUUACAAAGAGGUGUUGUUUUGACCAAAGAUAACCUCGCCAGUCAGAAGUGCAUUAGCUGUAAUAGGAAUGAAACUAUCCUACACCUAUACCUAGACUGUCCCCUUACCAAGACAAUUUGGAGGAUUAUCUUUUUUGCUACUAAUUUAACCCAACCCAGAUCAAUCAGCCACAUGUUUGGUGGUUGGCUUUCUAAUCAAAAUAAAAGGAUGAGAAAUCUGAUCUGGGUGGGGGUGGCUGCCAUGUACUGGGCAAUCUGGAGAUGUCGUAAUGAUGUUAUUUUUAAUCAAAUGAAAUCUAACUCCAUUAUGCAGGUAAUUUCCAGAGGAGCGUACUGGUUACGAACUUGGGCCCCGUUGCAGCAUGAUGAGUAGCUGCGAACGCACUAUCAAUGUUGAGCAAGAAUUUAGAAGUAAUUGCUUUAGAGUUAUCCAAUAAAGGAUGGAAACACAUUUAUUAUUUGUACUAGCGUUCUGGUCGAUCUAUAAGACUAAGGCUUCUCUUUUUCCUUAAACUUUGUAUUAUUUGGCUGUGUACAUCCCAGGAUGUAGAGGCCAGAUUCUUCUAUCCAUUAUCUAAAAAAAUGAUGAUGAUUCCGACUUGGCAUGGAAAUCUGGACGCAGGAGCAAACAACAUAAGGUUUCCUCAGCAUGCUCAUCCGUUCUAGCAAGAGGAACUGCAUACUAGUGUAGGUAUACAUAUAUGGAGACGGUUAGCAAACAAACAUAUAUGGAUACUGAUGUUAGAGCAUCACUGAUGGUUUGCCAUUUACAGUUGCUAUCCUUGUUUAUUUGGCAAAAACUACAAAUUUGAUUCUCCAAUGGUUUGCUAAAGGACUUGCCAAAUUUUGAGAUGUUGCUAUCCAGGGGUGCUCCACACACAAAUUUGCGCGCACUCCGCGACUUGCCAUCGCGCGAGGAAGCCCGCACCGUCCCUUCUCCCGCGUUGUCUCGAAAUUUUUCGGACUCCUUUCCCAUGCUUCUCCAAGUCUCCUUGCUCAUCAUAUAAAUCGCGGCGCUGUUCGGUCUCCCUCGUCGAUGAGAUUGAGUCCCUCGUGUCGCUGAACAGAUCGAGUUCGUCGUGGCGCCGGUCGGUCCCUCGCGCCACGGUGGUCAUCAUCAGUGGCGGAUCCAGAAACGAACCAAGAGGGGGGCUAAAUAACAAAGGGCAGAAAUUUUUUUUCUCGCUCAACCCAGUAUACUAAAAAAUAUAGCUAAGAUUGAUAAUUCAAUAUUGAUUCAAAGUGCUCAAAGGCAAAGAUACAUGAAAUUAUGAUAAUAAGCACAGAAAAAUACCAAAUAUAUGGAGUCUUGCAUCUUCAAGAAUUCACACCAUUUGAACCAUCACGCCCAAUGCUACAUAAUUUUUAAAUGUUAUACACUUCUUCAAUGAUCAAGAUAACAAGCAAGAAGAAAAGUAUUAAAAUAAUACGCACCUUGGGACCUUACAUGGCAUGGUGCCAAGCAAAGAAACUUGUUUUGGGCUAGACAUUAGCUAAAAAGAAAAGUUACUAAAAUUUUUUUGCUGCCCGAGGGGGGGGGGGGGCUGCAGCCACGCCAGCCCCCCGUGCGUCCGCCACUGGUCAUCGUACGCGUGGCCGUCGUCCGUCAUCGUCCGCGCGGCCGUCGUCCGUCAUUGUCCACGCGGCUGUCCUCUGUCCCUCGUCCGCGCGGCCUCCAUCCGUCGUCGUACGCGCGGCCAUCAUCCGCCGUUGUCCGCGCGGCCUCCAUCCCUCGCGUCCGUGAAGAUAUGUUCCUGGAACUGGCCAACUGGGUAGCAGUAGUGAUGAAGGCCGGUUGUUGUAGAGUUGCAGAUGGAUUGAUGAAGGUAUAUGUUAAUCAUCUUGUGCAUGUAUGUGCUAGAUCGAUCAGCUCCUUUUUAUUUGUCCUAUUGUGUAUGUAUCUCUGUUGUCUAUCUGCUAUCGUAAUCAGAGACUAGUGUUCUUCUGUGCAUGUACUUGUCCAUCUAAUUCUUUUUAAUUGCAGCAAGCUGUUGUUCAGGCUACUGUCCAUCACUAUGUUCAGGCUGCUAGUGUAGGUACAUAUAUGGAGACGGUUGGCAAACAAACAUAUAUGGAUACUGAUGUUACUCAAGGAACAUAUAAAACCAGACUAGAGAGAGAAGGGUCUCACGGUGAGAGGCAACAGCUACGGCAGUCAGUGCUUUGGUCCAUUAAUUAUUUUCACAUCUGAUGGUGCUUCAAUAGGCCUCCAGGUUUGGCUUCAAUGGCGCUCGGCCCGGCAUGCAGCUGGGUGGACGUACACACGUGCAUGAAAUAGAUCAUGAGAGACAUAGAUGACAUGCAGAACGGAUCGGAACAUUGGACAGAUGCCAAACGUGAUGGUAUAUUCACUCCCAACAAAUAAAACAAUGAUGACGCUGCUGCGAGAGCUAGAAAUAACAAAUCAGGAACGAAGGUGUUGGUUAUGUGCAGCUUGUCACGGCAAAUUCGAAGUUCCAGUGCCUUUCAUACCGACGACGAGCACACUAAGCUUCAACAGAUCGUUAGUGUCGUCGAUGACAUAGAAAGGAGUCAAAAUCUUAGUUUACUAUCUUAGGGAUUUCCGAACUAGGAGCUCUCUUUAAGAUAAUUCUGGUGAACUUUACCCAAGGGGUUGGUACAUAUAUAUAUAUAGGAAGAAAAACUCUCUACAUCUAAAUUAACUAGCGAUAUAGUACUAAUUGAUGUUGCACCUUCUACCUCCACUAAUAGGCCUAAAUAAAUAUUAAAGCCUAUUAAAAGCAUCUCCAAAGGCUUUGGCAAUUGACUUAGCAUUUGUUGUUUGCAAACUCUCAUAACAAAAUGUAAAGGAUAAAAAUAUGUCAUCUCCAAGGGAAUUGACAUUUGGACUUGCCAAAGGAUAAAAAUAGGAAGUCUCUAGGCGCGCGCGCUUUCCCCACGCGUGACUUUGCUCACGCGAUCGGGUUUGCAAAGCCGUCCACAACUUGACAUUUUUGCCAAGUUUGCUCCCUUAUUUGCCAAGUUGCCCAAAUUGCAAACUCCAAAUGCAAAACUGUUGGAUACCUCUUUCGAAGCUUUUUGGCAAAUUACUCAAAUGCAAAACUCAAGCUGAGAAACAAGAAAUUUGAUUAUAGAUAAAGAUAAAGACGUACUGGUCAAGGAAGAUCGAUCUACUAAACUUAUUUUAAAAACUUCGCUCACUCUCAACACACAAAGGAGCAACAAGCAAAUAUUACAUCAAAUCUUAUGUACCAGCAUGUAUGCACAACAAUAUUGCUAAGCCUUAUGAUAAAUUUGUAAUGUAUGGAAAAAUAUUAUUUUUUCUAUAUUUUCAUGAACACAAAAAUACAAAAUUAAAUCAAUUUACAUCUAUUUCGAAACGAGCAGAUUUUAAGGUUUUACAUUCAUCUUCCUGGGCACUAAGGCUUAGAUUCUUAAGCGACAGCUCAUUAGGUCCUCAAGAUCAGACAGAAAUGCUCCUUUCCUAGUCAGUGGUCAAUGGUCAUAGGGACAACUUUUCACCAAAAGAAGCCAUGCCCCUGUUAGCUGCCCCUGGUAGGACACUAUCAGGUUCAAGGGUGCAACACUGAUUGUCUGGUAACCGCAAAUUACAUGCCAUCUUAACUUCAGUUGCUUGCCAUCUUAAAAUAGGCACUCUCUCUUGUUCCAUCAAUCCAUGGGAAUGAAAUGGGCAAUAGACAAAAUAAACAAUAAAUUGCUCCUGUAUCCAUUUUCAGCAGAAAAUUCUUAUUGCAGAACUUGUUAAAAUCAAUAAGCAAAGGAAGACUGAACAAAACUUGGUUCUGUUAAAUGGAAUAAGACAUUAAGAAUAAUGUUUUGUGUUUUGGGCUGCUGAAUUAUGCAUAGACAUAAAUGGAGAAAAAACUCAGGUUCAUGAAACUGUUCUCUAAAAGGUUUAAGUUUGCACAUAUUACAUAUGGCUGAUGACAUCAAUUUUGAUAUAUCUCAAAUAGAAAAAUAGGUAGAAAACUGAAAAAAAAUAUCAAAAAUAAGAACUCAACGUCUCUUUGGUAAUAUUUUCAAUCUAUAUAAAAACCAAGGCAUGGAAGUCAACUCAUGUCCUUAGCUGAUGGCAAGAUUAGAAAAAAAAACACGAAGUGUUUGUAGUUUGGGAAAUUAAAUACUAUUGGUUCUAUUUUAGAUGAAAGUUCAUUUAGAAAGUUUCAGUUUUGAUAAAUAAUACAAUGUGUUUACCCUAUUAAGAGGUGGCUCAUUGUCCAGAAACACUGCAUCAUUAUCUUUCCAUAGGCAGAAUCAAUUGCAUCAAUGCUUGACUUGGCCUGCAUACUUGCUUAUCAAAAAGUUCCCAGCAGCUCAAAAUUCAUCUUCAGAUGCUUCCUUGCUGAUUCUGAGACGCUUAUAUGGAUCCAUCACAUGGAUUUUGGGAAAGAUAACUGAAAUAAAAUCAAGCAGUCAAAACCGAUGCUCAAGGAUUAUUAUAACUGUUACAAACAACAAAAUCAAAGGUCAAGCAUAGGUACAUGCAAGCCUCCAGCCCCGCGCCUUCAGCACCACGAUGUGGACGCGUUCUUUGACAGCCUUCUCCAACAACCACUGCAGCUCGGCAGAGUUGUUGCCACAGGACGCCGUGGCGUCCAGCGAGCCAAGAUCCCACCGUGCAAGACACUCCAACGGAACGGAACGUGGGCACAACGCUUGCCAUGCGGCCAGACAUGGGUCCGUCAGCAGGGAGAAGACCAGACAUGAGUGUGUCAUCGAGGGGAGAAGGAUGAAUCCCUAUUUAUGAGCCCAGAGAGGAACCCAUUCCCUAGCAAGUGGCGCAGAUGGUCUCUGAUGGAAAGCUCAUACCUGUUGCAGUAGCAGCACGGUGAACGACAUCGAGCUCUCAAACGCGAACGAGGCAACCUCGGCCGCCGAGGCUACAGAUUAGUCCGGUCAGCAGGUGGAGAAUGGAAUGAGCACAAUGGCUGGGUACGAUGCAGCAGCAGUGGGAUGCGUGGUGGAGGAGGGCAGCAGCUGGACACGGUGGGCAGCAGCGAUGGGGGAGAGGUGGGGAAGCAGCGGGGUUAGGGAGAAGCAGCGGCAGGGUGGUGGCAUGGUAGGGGAAGGGAGGCGGCAACUUUGGUGAGGUCGAGGUAGGGUGCGUGAGGUCGGGGAGGCAGGGAAGUCGGAGGCACGUUUUGAUUUACUGUGGGAGGGGGCGGUUGUUUCGCUUGCCCAGUGGACGAUUGGGAACCGUAAUUUUUAGUUAUAUAAUAUAUAUAUAUAUAUAUAUAUAUAUAAGAAAUACGUAUAUGUAAAUUCUAGAUGAGCCUGAGCUGGUCUUGCCAUUGAUUCAUUGUUCCUUUUGAAGUAUUUGUUGUACCUAGAAUUGGUGUAAAGUAGCUAAAUUGUCUCAUGAUUUCCCUUGGUCUUUGGUUUUCUUGGAUUUCGGUUGUUGUUUGUAUGUGCUUCUUCAAAAUCCCAUCUACAUUCUAUAAUAAUGAUGUUCUAAUAUGUUGUUAGUCAGUCAAAAAAUUUAGUUACAUAUGGUUUAAUCUAUUUGUCUUAGUGAUUCAUAAGUUGUAAGUGUAUAUGAUUAGUUGUUGUAUGAACUGAUAAUAAAACUUGGAAAACUCUAGAGCAUCAAGUUUUAUUAUUUACUGAUAAUAAGUCUUGGAAUAAAGUCUUACUAAUCUAUCUGCUUUCUAAUCUUUUUGCUAAAAUAGUAUCUACUUUUUGCUAAUUGGCUAAUAUUUGUUUAUUGCAUAUUGAUUUGAAUAUGUAGUAUGGGUAGAUAAACUUUGUUACUUGUUGUUUUCCUCCAUCUUUUUCUGUUGGAAGCUGCCCGGAUGGAUCUGGAGGUUCCAUCUUUCUUUUCUUUUCUUGGAUCCUCUUAUCACAUCUGCAGAUGUUGUCGCCAUCCUCCCCUGUUGGGGACUCUUGAUAGGUUGGAGGAUUCAAGGUAAAUACCUUUGCUUCUUUUUCCUUUCCCAGAUCAGAUUUGUUUUGGAGCUUCUUGUAUUGCAAGUAUGUCUUUUUUGUGUUUAUACCCUUUCGUUUGUUGUUUUUUCUGCUGGAUUAGUAUUUGUCACUUGUGUAUUCCUUUUUAGGCCUAUCAGGUGUGUCUUGCUUGUAUUGUGGAUAAUGUGUCUUAUGGGCCUUUUUAUUGGGCCUUUUUAAGUCACCCGUUUUUGGGCCCUUUUCAUUUUACUUGUGUUAUUUUUGGACCUUUGUUGGGCCUUUUUUAUUUUACUUUUUUGGCCCAAUUGAGUCCAACUCGAUGGGAAGUCAUCUUUUCACGGUUUUUUCUCAAUUCCUUCAUCCUACAUUUACUCCCCACUGUCUGGACUUAUUGCCUUCUUUGACUGUUUCUUUCUAGUCGACCAUUUCUCCGCCCUACUCUCUCUAUAUUGUUGUAGAUCUCCUUUCUCUCCUCUGUGUCAUUCAUUUUCACUAUUUUGUGUUUGUCUCGUAGGGUUCUCCCCUUCUCCCUUCUCUUCUAUCAUUCAGGUUAUAGUUCUCCCUUUCCCUUUCAUUCUUUUUAUUUUUUCAUAUAUAGUCUUGUAUAUCAUAUCAUUUUGUCCUAUCACUUCUCUUUUUUCCUAUGUAUCUGUUCGAGCAGCUUAUUAUGUUUUGUUUCUAUGACUAAUUAGAUCUAACUUAAAAUCACUAUAGUAUUCAAGUAUUUGUUAUGGUUUCUGAAAAUUCUUCGUAAGAUUUUGACAUUUCAUUAUAUAUGCAGUUUUAUUCUCUCUAGUCUCAGCCUGGUUUUGAUACCAUCUAAAGGUUGUGGAAGGUAUGCUAUAAUUUUUGUUUUUCUAUUGUGUCAUGUCAUAAUUGAUAGUUUAAUUAUUUGUAUGUUCUAUCUUUUUCAAUUGUGCAUAGUAGUCUUUACUUUUUUCCAAUUGAGUUGAAGCUCAAUAGUUGAUCAUUCUCCUAUUUUUAAAUUUGUUGUAUGUAUUUUUUGGAUUGUAACACUAUUAUAUUGUUCCAUUAGGUAUUGUAUAUGUGAUUCAUGUGUGUUCAUUGACAUUGUCAAAUCUUCUUAUUUAUGUUGCUCCCAAUUAAUGAAUACAUAUUAGAGCACAAUCUUUGUCUAGUUUUUCAUAUAUAUAUAUAUAUAUUUUUCUAUAUAAUUUGUUUUAUAUUGUCCACAUUAUUUUUGUUAUUGAUAUUCUAUUUUUUUGUUUUUUUAUUUAGUGUAACACCCAAAAAUUUGCUUUUCAAUAAAUAGGGUUAAAUCGGUUUUAUUUAAGCAUUUUUAUGAGCAUUUCAAACAUAGAGAGAUAAUAACCAUUGAUAAUUUAACAUCAACUAUAGGGUGUAGCAACAUUUUUGUGCAUUCAUGAUAGUGUAUGUGAUUUAUUGUAUUGUGUGGAUUUGACCAAAGUACAAACACAUUUCAAACUAUUUUAAAAAUGGAUUUGAAAAUGGCUUUUGAAUAAAAGAAAAGGAAAAGAGAAAAAAAUAAAAGAGAAAACUCUCUCUGUCUCAAUUCUGGCCCGCAGGCGAGAAUUCUCCUCCCCUCUUUGCUCUUCGGCCGGCUAGAGCCCGUUCUUCCCCACGCGCAUAGGCCGACCCAGCGCGUGUAACACCCAAAUAUUUGCUUUCCAAUUAACAGGAUUUAAUUUAAAUUAUUUAAGUAUUUUUGUGAGCAUUUAAAGUAGUAAAUAAAUAAAUUUUGUUGAAAUUAAAAAUUUAUCAUAAGAUUAGAAACCGUAUAUGCAUUCAUGCUGGAGCAUAUUUAAUUUUGGGCUGUUGACUUUUGAUUAGAAUUCAAUUGCUUUCAAAAUUCCUUUUUAGAAAAGGCUUUGGAAAAUAAAAUAGAAAGGAAAGACAAAAAGAAAAAAAAGGAAAAAACCCAGCCAGCCCAGCCCCCUGGCCUUCCCCGGUCCAACUCCCCUCUCUCCCUUCUCUUCCCCCACUCGCUCGGGCCACUCCCCCUCCCCCGGCCUGGCUUCCUUUUCCCCCGCCCCUAGCCCGCUCGCAGGCGGCCCAAUCGGCCCAGGCCGUGGGCGCGCACUCCCUCCCCUCCCUCCUUUCUGCAGCUGACGGCCGGGCCCCACCCCUUCUCUCACUGCCACGCGGGACCCACCGAGCGGCGCCUUCUUCUUCCCUAAUUGGAACCGGGCCACACUCCCGAACCCGCAUCGAAUCCAAUCCCGGGAAAGCCGUGGUUUCUUGCCAAACGCGCAAACCGACCCCCUAUAAAACCCCUAGCAUCGCCCCCGCGCGUGUUUUCCAUCUUCGCCGCAAGAAAAACGUGCCCUAGCUGCUGCUGCCACCCAAUCGGGAUCUCACCGUGAGCUUGGCAAGCCGACGCGCGUAGCGAGCCCUCUCCUUUGCUCCUCGGUCCGAGAAAAGUCGCUAGGUGAGUCCGCGGUGAGCUCCUCGUUCUAUCGGAGUUUUGCUUUCGCAAUUUGGUGCACAAAACAGCGAGAACGGGCAACGCCGGCGAGCUUCGCGGCUCCAGCCAUGGCGCCGCCGCGUCGGACGGCACUCCGGCGGCCGGCCGCCGCCCGUCACUCCCCUGGCGCGCCUGGGCCGUCCAUUUGGAGAUCUAGGGCGCAGAUUAGGGCGCAGAUUAGAAGGUACCCCUUCGGGGUGUAUUUUCGUAAAGAGCCCCUGGCUUUUUCCAAAUUAAACACGCGAUCGAACGCGCCAUCUCAGGUUUACGCUUUCUGAAUUCAAAAACGUAUUUUCCGAUCGGUUAGUCCAUAGUACGCUUUCUCGAAAUUAUAAUUUUGCCACUGAAAGUAUUUUGCUCAUAAAAUGCUCAUUUUAAAUCCGAUUUGGUCCAUUCAAAUUGCGUUAGGUUCGUAUUUACGAGCUCUACAUGUUAGAGGUACUGUAUCGCCAGUUUGAAACUUUUUAAUUUCAUGGUAUUAUUUAAUUAAUUAUCUAUCUAUAGAAAAUCUUAGAAAAUUAAUAACUUCUACGUUUUAAAUCCAAUUUUCAUGAUCUUUACGGUUAUGUGAUCGUAGCGCUGCGUAGAAUGUUUUUAUAAACUUUUAUCUUUGUUUUAUCACUGUUUGGUGUAUUGUUCUAAUUAUAGCUUGUUUGCUUCUUAUAUGAUUAUCUACAUUGGACUGUGUGUUGUUGAUUGAUGAUCGGGUAUAGAUGGUGAGCGAUACAUUGGUGAUCAAGGACACUCUUUUGAAGACCAGCAGCAGGCUCAGGAGAGCUUUGAUCAAGGCAAGUAUAACUUGGGAUCAUCCUUGUUACCUAUACACUUAUAAAUACACAUAUGUCUCAUAUGCAUGUUUCCACCUUGUCGACCUUAGCAAAAUCAUAGAUGAUUGUUACUUGGAUUCCUUGCUAUCUACUUGAUAUGCAUUUGGUGUAGUAUUGCUAGUGCUUGAAGUAAAUCCAUGAUCUUGUAAGAUGAUUAAUAGCUAUGCAAUGAAAGUAAAAAGAUGACUAAUGACCAUAUGAGAUCUUGUGUGUAAGUGAUCACUGGGAUAACAGUGCAACCAUGAGGGCUAUAAUGGCUUUGGCUUUAGCUCAGUAUGAAGACCUUUUCUAGCUUGUUAGAGGUUACCCGAAAGGGCUCUAGAGGGGCUUGCCGACACGGGUAUAGUGCAAGCCUCGGUCCUUAUGUGUAUAGGUUGCGUGUCAUUGUGCCAUUUGGAAGGGGGGCAUCUAUAUCUGCUCACCCAGGAAACCUUGUGGCCCUAACAUGUUAGACGAACUUUUAAAAGGCUUCAUAGUGAUCCCUGCCGACCUUCCUUGGUAGUGGGUUAAGAGAUCGACAAGCCUUGGGCAAAAGGGUAAAUCAUGACUCAUGGGUAAAGAUGUACAACCUCUGCAGAGUGUUAAAACUGGUAUACUAGCCGUGUUCACGGUUAAGAGCGGCCUUGGGGGUUCUUAUACUAAAGAUGAUGAGCUUGUUAAGUUAUUAUGUUCAUUUGAUUAUCAUUAAUGCUAUGAGUUAAUUAUGCUUACAUUUAAUCAUGUGAUUAUUGGAAUAUUUAUGUUACCUUGACAAUUAUUAUUUAAUUAUGAACAUGCUAUCCACUAUUAAAAGCUAAAUGCAGUCAAACUAGUGUCAGCUAAUUGAGCCUCAUGAACCCCUGGUUAUACUUGUUGAGUACGAUAUGUGCUCACCCUUGCAAUUUCCCAACACACCAGGUUAUGCAAAUGAUGAUGAAUGGAAUGAGGACUAUCGCUAUGAGUAUUAGGUUUGAAGUCAACUAGUGUCGAGGAUAUCAGUAAGGGGUACCUUAACUGACACGCAUAUCGAGAACAUUCGUACACAAGUCGAGGCCUCCAACUCGACACCCUACCCAGUCAUACGCACGGUCCUCAAUGACCAUAGCCUCGAAUACGGAAAGAGCAUCCUGCGAAUCAACCAGGGCUCGAGCGCCAGCUGCCGUCGAAUACGGAAGCAGGCUCGUACGAAUCGGGAGACCUCGAGCGCAAGGACGCCGCCCGCCACCUGACGCGGGCACGGGAACCAGGCAUUUAAUGUGCCUGGCGUGUUCUCACCUAAACCGCCAGUCACGGGAAGCGUGAUAGGGAACAGGCAACCGUCCCGUCGUUUCUUUUUGCAGCCUUCGCCACCAAAUAAGCCAGAACAUGGCAGGGCGCGCGGAAUGGGUCGGGACAUCAAAUCAAGACCCCCCUCGAGUCGCCCAAGGUCAGCGCUCUAGCUAGCAAGGCAUUAUGCGGCACCUGACCCUCGAGUAGGCAUGUUUCCUUCCUGGGGAAGGGUCAGGCGUCGAAUGACAGUACUUCAACCACUCUGACAUAGCUGCUACCGCGACGUACAAGCAUGCAACACAUAAGUCAAUCUAGGACGGGCACAGGAGCAGGAUUCAUGGGCACGCGUAAUCAUCGUCAUGGCACCAAUAUGGGACGGCUCGAGGCCACGCCGGUAUCGAGGCCUCGAGUAGGUCAACGCGCCAUACCUCUGUCGAUCCCUACUCUGUCGCCUAUACAUGUACCCUAGACCUCUCCUUGGAACUAUAAAAGGGGAGGUCCGGGAGCGACAACAGAGAGGCGACACAACACGAGUCAUACGUAGUAGAGCAACCUCACUCCGCCUCAGUUCUUACCACUCUUGUAUUCACCCCUGUACAAGCACUUAGGUGCAGAAUAAUACAAACACUCCCCCCCCCCGCUGGACGUAGGGCCUUCUCUUGCUCGAACCAGGAUAAAUCCUGUGUCUUUCUACAUCACCAUCUAGAAAAGGGAGCACGCAUACAGGUUUUACUCGUUGGUGUGACCCCCCAGGGGGAAAACACCGAUAGUUGGGGCGCCAGGUAGGGGUCCUGCGUGUUUUUCACCGAUUUCCCAUUCCUUUCUAGAUGGCCACUCUCGUUUCGCCGAUUCCGUGCUCCACGGUGAUUUGGUUCGGGAGCCUCGAGUUCAUGUCUACCGGUUUUGGCUAUGACAUGAUCCUACUCUCGGUCAAAGGAUAGGGAGGAGCUCGCGUUGCGACGGCAUGAUUGAGGGCUCCGAGAUGUCCUCACCACCACGCCUCCCCGCCUAAGAAGAGGCGUGGACAGCACCGCCAUCACCCCUUGGCCUCAUCACGAUCGCCAGUUCGCGCCAGGCGGGAGGUGAUCCAGGAGCCGACAGCCCCGCGCAUCGAAACCACGGGCACGACGGCCUGACGCCACGAAGACCGCACAACGACGACGAGAGACAGCGCACCUUGCGCACCCUCCACGACGCUGCUUCCGCAUGGGUUGUUCGCCACAAGAAGUGCGCUGCCGUUCGGGCUGGACAACGCCGCAGCAUCGCUCGGCAGGACAAUAUGUCCAAACGCCCAGACGUACGUGGAGAGACCAAUAGUCCUCCCACGCGACAAUGAAGCACGACCACAAACGUCUGAGCUGCCGGACUUCUCGUAGGUAUGAGGUCUCCGCCGCCUAGGACCUGGGCGAUACACGAUCACCUCCCUCAGACAGCGGCUGCUGGGGGAAGGACGUGGAUGCUUCUACGCUGCCGAGCCGGACUCUGACUCUGAGUCCGACAGCUACGACCCUACUAGGGAAUGCUUCAACAUCGACGGGGCGAUGGAAACCACCGACGAGACAAAGGACACCAUUGCGGGCGGUCGAGUCCCUGUAGCAAGGGAGGACCCCAGAACGCCUGGGAAUGACGGUCAGGUCGACCCCCCUCCACAAGAAGACAGAACUGCGCAACUUGCACAGGUACGGGAGCUCAAAGCAAAGCUUGACGAAGACUGCGAGUGCCUUGUCCUGCUUGAACAGAUCCUCGAGUAGGACCAGCCAUGCUUGCAUGGCGGAAGUGUUCGCAGACGGGCUCAAGAGGUACACCGGCAGAUCGUCAGAGACGGGGAACCUGAGCAACCUGUCAGCCGCUUCCCCCGAGCGGGCUAGAACGUCGUGGCGGCGACGAUGUUGUUGCGAAACAUGCCCGAGCCCUUGAACUCCCAAGCACGGCGCAUUCGAGACGAGGUGCAAACUCUACUCCAGGUGGCGGCAGUUUAGCAAGCCGAGAGCUCGGCCUCUCGACGUCGAGGAGCGGCCACAGAAAAGCGUGAUGAGCCGGCCCAGAAUGAAAAAGAGGUGUUAGUCCAUCAGCAGCCACCCCCUUGAGGGAAAAAGACAGCGCUCGUCCUCCACCACCCCAUCGACAACCAACGACGACACGACGCACGACGCGACAUCGACGAGAAUCGACGACGUUGGUAUGGGGACGCAGAAGAGCGAGGUUACAGCGCCCACCGCAGUGGGAGAUACGACAGCGAUGAGGACCGGAUGGCCCCGAAACCACCGGGCCCUCGGGUGUUCAGCAGAGCAAUCCGCAGCACGCCGCUGCCCAGCCCGUUUCGACCCCCGACUAGAAUCGCUAAAUACAACGGCGAGACCAAGCCAGAGCUGUGGCUGGCAGACUUCAGGCUAGCCUGUCAGCUGGGAGGCGCUCGAGGAGACGAUUGAGCCAUCAUCCGACAGCUACCACUUUUUCUCUCUAACACCGCCCGUAGAUGGCUCGAGGAGCUCCCAGCCAACCAGAUCCACGAUUGGGUCGAUUUGGUUAGGGUGUUCGAGGGUAACUUCAAAGAAACCUACAUAAGGCCCGGCAACUCGUGGGAACUCAGCAAAUGCAAGCAGAAGUCAGGAGAAACUCUCCGAGAGUACACUCGACGCUUCUCGAAGCAGCGCACCGCGCUGCCGCACAUCCCCGACCACGACGUCAUCCUGGCCUUUGUCUCUGGCACCACCAGUCGAGACUUGGUGCGGGAAUUAGGCCGGAAUCGCCCUCAGACCGUCGACGAGCUGAUGGACGUAGUGGCAAACUUCGCUGCAGGAGAAGAAGCGGUCGGCGCCUUCUUCAGCUGCGAAGGAAGGAAAGGCAAGCCAUCCGCCGAUGAUGACGAGGGCCCCAGUCGAGGACCCAAGAAGAACAAAAAGAAGAAGAAAACACGGCCGUUCCAGUGGGAGGACCUCGACGACGAUCUCGUCACCACCAUUGAGCGCAAAAGGCCUCGAGGACCCCAGAAGGAGCUAUCUUCGACAAGAUGCUGAAGGAGCCAUGCCCUUACCAUAAGGGAGGGGCAAAUCACAAGCUCGAGGACUGUCGUAUGCUGAAGAAGCAUUUCGACGGCUUGGGGUUCAAGAAGGACGCCCGUGACGACCUGAAGAAAGAGAAGAACGGCGACAAGGGGGACGACAAAAACAACGAAGGUUUCCCAGCCGUCCACGACUGCUACAUGAUCUACGGUGGACCCUCGACGCAACUGACCAUAAGGCAACGAAAGAGGGAACGCCGCGAGGUCAUUGUGGCAAGGAUGGCGGUGCCCCAGUACCUCAGCUGGUCGAGCAACCCCAUCACCUUCGAUCGAGACGACCACCCCGACAAGGUAGUCGCCCCUGGCGUCUACCCGCUCGUCAUCGACCCCAUCAUCGUCAACACUAGGCUCUCAAAGGUGUUGAUGGAUGGCGGCAGCAGCCUAAACAUCAUCUACCUCGAGACCCUCGACCUUCUCGGCAUCAACAGGGCACAGCUCCAACCAAGCGCCGGUGGCUUCCACGAUGUCGUACCUAGAAAGAAGGCGUUACCGGUAGGUCGAAUCGACCUACCGGUCUGCUUUGGCACGGCGACCAACUUCAGACAGGAGACCCUCACCUUUGAGGUGGUGGGAUUCCGAGGCACGUACCAUGCCAUCAUCGGGCGCCCGAGUUACGCCAGAUUCAUGGCUAUCCCCAACUACACCUACUUGAAGCUGAAGAUGCCCGGACCCAAGGGCGUCAUCACCGUCAGCUCCUCCUACGAGCACGCGUACGAGUGCGACGUCGAAUGCGUCGAGUAUGGGGAAGCUGUCGAGAGUUCCACCGAGCUCGCCUCAAAGCUCGAAGCCCUAGCCGCAGAGGCUUCAGAGCCCAUACGUCACGCGAGAAGCUUCGAACCUGUGGAAGGAACGAAGAAGAUCCCGCUCGACCCCGACAACUCCAACGACAAGGUGCUGACGAUCAGCGCUGACCUCGACCCCAAAUAGGAAGCCGUGCUCGUCGACUUUCUCCGUGCAAACGCCGACAUGUUUGCAUGGAGUCCCUUGGACAUGCCAGGCAUACCGAGGGAAGUCGCCGAGCACUCCUUGGAAAUUCGAGCUGGUUCCAAGCCAGUGAAACAACGGUUGCAUCGCUUCGACGAGGAGAAACGCAAGAUCAUUGGCAAGGAGAUCCACAAGCUUUUGACGGCCGGAUUCAUCAAGGAGGUUCAUCAUCCCGACUGGUUAGCUAACCCUGUGCUAGUUAAGAAAAAGAAUGGGAAAAUGAGGAUGUGUGUCGAUUAUACGAGUUUAAAUAAAGCUUGUCCCAAAGUACCUUUUCCAUUGCCAUGUAUCGAUCAAAUUGUUGAUUCAACUGCGGGAUGUGAAACGCUUUCUUUCCUUGAUGCGUAUUCUGGUUACCAUCAAAUAAAAAUGAAAGAGUCCGACCAGCUCGCGACAUCUUUUAUCACGCCUUUUGGGAUGUAUUGUUAUGUAACCAUGCCGUUCGGGCUUCGAAACGCGGGAGCCACAUAUCAGCGCUGCAUGCUCCACGUGUUUGGCAAACAUAUAGGGUCAACAGUCGAGGCAUACGUCGACGACACCGUCGUCAAGUCAAAGCAACGGGGAGACCUGAUUCAGGACCUCGAGAUCGCUUUUAGUUGCUUACGCGCCAACAAGAUCAAGCUCAAUCCCGAGAAGUGCGUUUUUGGUGUCCCCCGAGGCAUGCUCGUGGGAUACAUAGUCUCCCAACGCGGCAUCGAGGCCAAUCCCGAGAAAGUCUCGGCCAUCACGAGAAUGGGGCCGAUCCGAGACGUCAAAGGAGUGCAAAAGGUCACGGGAUGUUUGGCGGCGCUAAGUCGUUUCAUCUCGAGGUUGGGAGAAAAGGCUUUGCCACUAUAUUGGCUCUUGAAAAAAGCUGAACAUUUCUCUUGGACCCCCGAGGCUGAGGAAGCCCUCGACAACUUGAAGAAAACGUUGACCUCUGUGCCAGUCUUAGUCCCACCUCAACCUGCAGAACCUCUGCUUCUGUACAUCGCCUCGACGACCCAGGUCGUCAGUGCGGCUGUGGUAGUCGAGAGGCAGGAGGAGGGGCAUGCGCUACAAGUCCAGAGGCCGGUCUGUUUCAUCAGCGAGGUACUCUCGGAGACCAAGGCACGAUACCCGCAAAUCCAGAAGCUAAUCUACGCCGUGAUCCUCGCCCGACGCAAGCUGCAACAUUACUUCCUCGGCCACCCUAUCACGGUGGUCUCAUCCUUCCCCUUGGGUGAGAUCAUCCAAAGUCGGGAGGCCAUGGGAAGAAUCGCCAAGUGGUCGAUCGAGCUCAUGAGUGAGACCCUCACUUAUGCGCCUCGAAAAGCCAUCAAGUCUCAAGCUCUGGUGGAUUUCGUCGCGGAAUGGACGGACUCCCAGCUCCCCCUGGCUCAAGUUCAUGCAGAGCUGUGGACGAUGUAUUUCGACGGGUCUCUCAUGAAGAUGGGAGCUGGGGCGGGCCUACUAUUCAUCUCGCCCCUAGGCGUUCAUAUGAGGUAUGUCAUCAGGAUACAUUUUGCCGCAUCCAACAACGUCGCGGAGUAUGAGUCCCUUGUCAACGGUCUGAAGAUCGCCAUCGAGCUAGGAGUCCGACGCCUCGACGUCCGAGGCGACUCCCAACUCAUCAUCGACCAAGUGAUGAAGGCCUCCAACUGUCACGACCCGAAAAUGGAAGCAUACAGCAAGGAGGUACGUCGGCUCGAGGAUAAAUUCCACGGCCUUGAGCUCGUCCACAUCGCCCGACGCUACAACGAGGCAGCCGACGAACUCGCUAAGAUCGCGUCGACUCGAGGCACGGUCCCGCCCGACGCAUUCUCGAGAGAUCUACACGAGCCAUCUGUCGACUUGGGCUCGGGGGCUGGCGUCGAGGCCGCCCCCACCCAGCAAACCGAUACCGUCGAAGCGCUGCUAGCGGCAGCCGAGGUAAUGGAGGCAGAGCAGCGACCCGGUCGACUGUUCGACUGGCGCACGCCUUUCCUCGACUGCCUGAUUCGUUGCGAGCUACCAGAAGAUCGAUCUGAGGCCCACCGUAUCGCUCGACGGGCCAAGUCAUACGUAAUCUACGGCGAAGGCAAUGAGCUAUACCGACGAAGCCCGACAGGAAUCUUGCAGCGCUGCAUCACGAUAGAGGAAGGCCGAAAGCUCCUCGAGGAUCUACACUCGGGGGCAUGUGGCCACCAUGCUGCUCCACGGACUCUAGUAAGGAACGCUUUCCAAAAAGGCUUCUACUGGCCAACGGCCAUAGCUGACGCUAUCGAACUCGUACGCUCGUGCCAUGGGUGUCAAUUCUACGCCAAACAGACGAAUCUGCCCGCCCACGCUCUCCAGAUGAUCCCCAUCACGUGGCCAUUUGCGGUGUGGGGGCUCGACUUAGUAGGGCCUCUACAGAAGGCAACAGGAGGGUACACCCAUUUGCUGGUGGCCAUCGACAAAUUCUCCAAAUGGAUCGAGGCUCGACCCAUCACAAACAUCCGCUCCGAGCAAGCCAUCCUUUUCUUCACCGACAUCAUCCACCGGUUUGGGAUCCCCAACGUCAUCAUCACCGACAACGGCACUCAGUUCACCGGCAAAAAGUUCUUGGACUUCUGUGACCGGCAUCACAUCCAUGUGAACUGGUCCGUAGUGGCCCACCCUAGAACUAACGGCCAGGUCGAGCAUGCCAACGGCAUGAUUUUGCAGGGGCUCAAGCCAAGGAUCUACAACCUCUUGAAGAAAUUCGACAAAAAAUGGGUCGAAGAACUCUCUUCGGUCCUAUGGAGCUUAAGGACGACACCAAACUGGGCCACGAAAAAUACCCCGUUCUUUAUGGUCUACGACUCCGAAGCCGUGCUCCCAACGGACCUCGAGUAUGGAUCCCCUCGACUCAAAGCAUACAACGAGCAAUCAAACAAGGAGACUAGAGAGAAUGCGGUCAACCAACUCGAGGAAGCUCGAGACAUGGCCCUCCUCAACUCCGCCAGAUACCAGCAGAAGCUUCGACGCUACCAUGACAAACACGUGCGCAAGAGAGAUCUGAACGUGGGCGACCUUGUCCUACGGCGGCGGCAAAGCAACCAAGGAUGCCACAAGCUGACUCCACCUUGGGAAGGCCCAUACGUGGUGGCCGAGGUCCUGAAGCCGGGGACAAACAAGCUUGCGGACAAAAAUGGGGCAAUCUUCACCAACGCGUGGAACAUCGAACAGCUACGUCGAUUCUACCCCUAGAAUUUCAAAGCUUUAUGCUCCCAUGUACGUUUUGUACCAAGGUUUUGCGAAUGAAUACAUGAUUGAAUAAGAUCUUUCCCUCGAGUAAUUUACUUUUUCAUGAGUCAAAAUCUCGACGUUAGAAGGGAGUACCAACUAUGACCCAACAUACACCAUAGUCGAUACCCCCUCGGGGGCUAGCAGGGGGGCGCCCCCCCAAGUGUCGAAAAAACCAAGUGAUUUUUUCUUUCCUAUUAAGUAAACCUCGCACGAUCGAGUAGUAGAUGUACCCCGAGCCCCUUAAGGGCCGAGAGACAACGAGCCUGAGAAAUCCUAUGCCCCCAGGCUACGGUAACUCUACUCUCUUUCUCACCCUCAAGGCAAUCGAGGUCGCCUUAACCAAAGAUCAAACAGGGAAUACAGAUGUAGGCAGAAAAGAAAAUGAAGAAACCUCGAGCGGAAAGACAAACAUUUGCAAAUCUUAUAACCCACUUAAAACACAGUAUCACUUAAGACAGAGUAAUAAAGUACUGUACAAGGGGCCUCAGCACCCAGAGUAGGCUCGCAGGCCUCAGUCUACGUCUCGACCCUCACCACCAUCGUCCGUGCCCGAACUAGUCUCGGGAGGAAGUACUUCUGGCUCAAACAGCCUCGCCAGCCUUUCCCUAAGAGCCUCCGCGUCGUCGAUCAAGGCGUGGAGCCUCUCCUCGUUCUCUGCGUCGGUCUUGGAAAUAUCGGUGACGAAGCCGUGGGACACCACCUCCAUAUCGUAGGAAAAGCCUGAGCAGACAACUGCCAUUGCCCGCUUUACCCCGGUAUGAAGGGCGUCCCGCACCCGGUCCCUCAGCGUAGCACCUAGAUAGCAUAGCUGGUCGACCAGGGCGUCGCCUCGAGCCUCCUCCCUCGACUCGUCCAUGGGUUUGAGCUCCCAAGAGGCUGAGAGAUCACUUAUCGCCGUCCGCAGCCGAUGGUUCAAAGCGACCUCCCCCUCGGGCUGAGCUUUGGUGGAGUGGGCCUCGACUUGAGCGGCAAGCAGCUCAUCUUUAAGCCCUACAAGGACCAACACAGAGAAAUUAGAUAACACAAAGCACACCUUGGAAAGGAAAUUCGAUAAUGGAAACAUACCACGAAUCCUCUCCUCCAAAGCCGUAUUCUCGCCGACCAAGUUGGUGUUGGCCCUCUCAAUCUCCUUGUUGGAGCGCACCAGCUCGGUGUUGGUGACGCGAAGGUCCUCGAUCACCUUGCCGGCCUGCGCGAUGGCUCCAUCUUUUUCUAGCAGCGCUCUCUUCAGACGGUCGACGUCGUCACAGAGGCUGCGAGAUCACGUCCGCUCCACCUCGAGAUCCUCAAGAGCUUUCUUUUUGGCCUCCUCCGCGGCACUCCGGGCAAUCUCGCCAUUUACGCACUCCACCUUCAUCCUUUGGAAGGAUUCUCGGGCGGAGGCAAGUUCAGUCCUAAGGAGGCCCUUCUCCUUGUCCGGUCAGCAACCGCAUUCUUUUAAGACAAGGCCUCGUCCCGGGCCUUGGACGCAGCCUCCUUGACCAUCAUGGACCGUUCCCUCAACAGCACGGCCUCUUCUACCGCCUUCCUCGAGGCCUCUCGAGCCUCAGCCAGAGCAGCCUCCCUCUCCUUCUUCUCCUCCUCAAGCGCUAAAAGCUCCUUGUAGGCCUUGAGGAGCUUCUCCUGCGACUCCAGGAGUUUGUCCUUGAGAAUGGGGAGUUGCUCCUAGCCGCCUCUUGUGGUGUGGAUGAAGCUCGACUUGAUACGAGAGGACUCUUUCAGGUCCUGCGAGCCAGCAGUUGGAUAGUUAGAAUACAAAACCAAACAUCCAGCAAGAGUUAAGGCCUAGAGAUACAAAGUAGGCUGGACCAAGCCCAUUGUGGACGACGUCAGACAGGAGCCCCACCACAUGCUUCAUCCAGAGGCAAAGCUCCUCGAGAUGCUCCCACUUUUCGGCCUCCUUCCGAUCAUCCAAAAAGAUAUUAGGUUCGGACGGGUCGGUGGAGGCACGAAUGCGGAUCCGGUCGGGGCACCAGUUCUCCAUCUCCUAGUCGGCACGCACCUUGACGCCCCGGAUGAGCUCCUCGACGGUCUCGAGUGAGCCCCCGUGGCGCAGGAAUAGGUCGAUGAGGGAGGGGAACCGCCCGUCGUCAUCCACCGUCUUCCAGGUCCCGGUCUCGCUGGCACCUCCGCCGCCCGACGUCCCGGCUUCAUCUUCCUCAGCGGGAAUGCGGUCCUCCCACGACCGACGCUCUCGAAGAAAUCCCGGAGCAAUCCCGUCCAUGCCGUAGAUCGUACCCUUGAUCUCGGACUGAGGGUUGAUCGGGGUGCACAUCAUACAAGCGAGCGCCACCACGCUAUCCGCCCGCCCCGACUCAGCUGGGAUCGAGGCAGGCGCUCCCGGACAGAGCCACGCCAGGGUCGGAGGACCAUAAACCGGCAGACUCUCCUCCCUGUUUCCACGCUCUUGCGGCGCUGGUGGCACUGGCUGGGGUGGACUGUGAGGUGGUGGCUCGAGCAGUUCCUCCAACUGAUGGCUCCUCUGCUGCUGCUGCUCCUGGAGUUCUCGCAGCUCCUGCUGCCGGUCCUGCUCCAGCAGCUCCUCGAGCUGGGGACCUUUUGGCUGCCGCCCCUCCUCUCUUUCCUCCUGCUGCGGCUGCUGCUGCCCCUCCUGCAGCUGUUGCCGCAUCUCUCGCUCGCGCUCCUCCUCUUCCCUCUUCCUUUGCUCCUCGACAGAGUGGACCCCGACGGGCCAAGGCGUCCGCUCCGUGAUGCGAGAAGCCUCGACCUCCUCGUCCAUAGGGCGAGCGUCCUUCGAAGGCCCGUCGCCGCCAGACCCAUCGCUUAUUGUGAUAGGAUCCCCCUCGACCCCAGAUCGGGGAUGCUCGGGGGCUUCCACCUGCUCUUGGGGGCGAGGCGCCUCGACCCGCUUCGGCGACGGUGGGGUGGACUCACCCACCAGGGGACGGGGCAGGGCACUCUCGGCACCAGUCGGCGGUCGUGGGUCGGAGGAGCCUAUAAAACACUCAAAAGCAAAGGUCAGUCGUCAUGAUGAUUGACAUAAGAACAACACAACUCCCACAACGACCGGAAUGAGCCACUAACCUGAAUCUUUGGAGACCGCUCCCACUUUAAGCCUUUUGGCCAUCGAGGGAUGGGCCUGCUCGAGCGUCCGCUUCAACCUGGGGAGAGAGGAACGGGCAUGAGAGAGGCCAUUACACGAGAAGACGCAAAGACACAGGAAGAUGAGAAUCACAAUGCCAAAGAUCUUACCGCACAGGGAGAACGGCUCGCCUGCCGAUACCUAAACUGGUGGGCCUCGAGCCACCCCGCGUCAAGGCUCCAGGCCCCUCACGAACGGGCGCAGGCCUCGGCUCGGCAUCUCCCGCCUGGCGAGCGCCAGGGCUAGCGCUUCUGCGGCUUUCUUCCCCCUUACUCGAAGCCACGGCGCGGCCACGGGUCAACGGCCCCGUCGCCAGGGACUUAGCCCGCUCGCCCGCCUUCGACGCAGGGGGAGGUUGGGGGCGCGGGAUGGUUCGACCUUGCGCAGGCGCGGGAGGGGUAUUAGCACAGGAGCGGCGUGGGGAUGACUCCCUCUGUUGCCUCUCGAGAGAUCCGCUUGGCCCCCCCUUUGGGGCUCCAGUCCGCGGGGCGUCGACGUCGGUCCGAGGCGGACCCUCGAGGAUCCUGUCAAGACGGGACACCAUCCCCUCAGAGUCGUCACUGUCGUCGUCAUCAGUGCCACCAUCGUCCUCAUCAGGGGACUCUUCCUCAGGCUCCGCCCUCUGUCUGGACUUCGAUCGGCGUGUCUCCAGUGCUUGGCGCUCGAGAUUAUUCUUCUUCUCCUUCUUCUUUUUUAAGUCCAAUGCAGAUUUCUGCUUUUCUGCGGACUCUCGCCGCUUGUCACGAUCGACCUCAUCCUCCUUUACCGGGGGCUUGGAAGAUCGAACAUCGAUCGAUCCCUGUACGAGCAAAAGUAAGUCUUAAAAGAAGAUCGAAGGGAAUCGACGAUCAGAACCGUAAACAGGAAAAGGAACUUACCAGGUCAAUCGACCCCUGAUCGGGCCUCAUAGGGAAGCCGUUGACGUGCUUAGGCUGGAAAUCACCUGCAACAGCCACCCUAACACUGGCAGCGACCUCAUCGUCCGCGGGUGCCUCGUUAGACAUCUGGGAUGCCUCGAGACCCCGGGACGAAACGCUGGGACCCAUCUCGUCCAUCCUCAGUGGCCGAGACAUCAACGGGAGAACCCUUCGAUGAUGGACGGCUGAGAGGACGAGAGCGGCUGUCUGGCCUUCUUCACGUAGCUUCUUCAAGGCGCCGAGGAGGGGGUCGAGCCGCGACUGGUGAGCCUGGACGACGUCAUACGUCCAGUUGGCCGGGCGCUCCGAGAUCAAACGGCCGGUGUAGGCAGGAAGGAGGUCGUCGUCAUUUCGUAAGUAGAACCACUAGGAGUCCCAUCUGGCAUGGUUCGAUGUCAAUCCCACCGGGAUAUACUCGCGCGACCUCUCCGUUUUGCCAGUCUUCAGCACCAGGUUGAGGCACCCGGCCCGUACAGGGUUCCUCACGCCUGUGGUUCCAGUGGGGCGUUGAAGAGCUCGCCCCGGUACAAAUGGAGCCACAGGUCCCAGUGGGGCAUCAUCCCCAGAUAGCCUUCACACACCGCGGCAAAGACCGUCGUGGCGGUGACGGCGUUCGGCGAGAAGUGCUGGAGCUCCACCCCGUAGUGGUGGCAGAGCGCCCGCAUGAAACGGCUCAGAGGAGAACCCAAGCCGUGGCGGUGGAACUUGGCGAAGGAGACCACGUAGCCCUUAGGCGGCCUAGGCUCCCGGUGGUCCGCCACCGGCGCGAUCCACUCCGGCCGCGACGAUGAAGUGCGGGGGUGCAGGAGCCCCUCCCUCUCGAGCUCCAGCAGCCGGCGCUCCGUCAUCGACGACGGGCGCCAGUCAUCGGCAGCGAUAAGUCUCACAGGCAUUUUUCAGGUGGGAGAAAGGCGACCUCACUACCGCUUGAGGGUGCGCGCGUAAGAGAUGGCGAGGAAGCUGAGGCAAGGAAAAAGGCAGAAGGCGGAAGGAGCGACGGCAACAAGAUCGCGGGGCAUUUAUAGGCGGCAGCCCACCAACGGACAUAUCCGAUAAGCACGGUAACUCCUCCCAUAAAUGCGCCGUCUAAUGGUCCUCACCUCUCUCACAGAUGGGACGCUACGAAUUCCGCGCCGAUACAGUGCCGCAACAGCCCCCGCCUGAAAAGGCGCGCCCAACGGGCGAAAAGGUGAACCGCCACGGCCCCUUCCUUCCCUCGCAAGCCAAGGUACGCAUACGUUAUAACUAAAAUCUCGAGAGGUCGCAGGCUGACCCGCCGAACGGGUUCGACAGCUGAUCUCGAGUAACAAAGUCAGGGAUGCCCGGCGAGUGGUAAAAAAUCGAGGCCUGCCUCGAGAACUCGCCAGGGAUAUCCAAGGUAGGGUUGGGACGGUCGAAAGGAAUCCCCCCAAAGGGAGGCAUCGAGCCGCUGGACUCUGUCGAACGAGACCAGUAACCCCGACCACGUCGACCCUGCUUUAUGAGGACGCCUCCGGGCUACAGCCGACCCCCUCGAACGGGGCACGGGUUCUCACUAGGACUACCAGCUAGGAACUCAGUCUGUGGGGGACGACGCUCGCUCCACCGGGAGUACGUCGCGACCCCAGCACAAAACAAACCAAUCCCGGUUUUCAGCCCAUCCUCACGGUGGAAAUCGAGAGCGUUUGCACAGACCAGGUAACAAAACCCUCGAAGGAGUCCAAAACUCCUCCAAGGGCUCGGGGGCUACCCCCGCAGGGUCGCUCGCGCGCCCCCAUGGAAACCCAACCAUAAAAUAUAGCCUCCACUCAAGCGCAAGUGCUCAAAUGGAGGCUCGGGGGCUACUGUCGAGGAUAUCAGUAAGGGGUACCUUAACUGACGCGCAUAUCGAGAACAUCCGUACGCAAGUCGAGGCCUCCAACUCGACACCCUACCCGGUCAUGCGCACGGUCCUCGACGACCAUAGCCUCGAACACGGAAAGAGCAUCCUGCGAAUCAACCAGGGCUCAAGCGCCAGCUGCCGUCGAAUACGAAAGCAGGCUCGUACGAAUCGGGAGACCUCGAGCGCAAGGACGCCACCCGCCGCCUAACGCGGGCACGGGAACCAGGGCAUUUAAUUCGCCUGGCGUGUUCUCACCUAACCCGCCAGUCAUGGGAAGCGUGAUAGGGAACUGUUGAUGCAAAAGCUGAUCUGCAAACACAAAGGGCUAAUACCCGAUUUAAACGUUAAGGCGUGCCAGCCGAUUUGACCUUACUAUCGGCAAAGGUGGUAACUCGAAUACUUUGGUCCCGACAACAGCGAUGCGCCCGGAUGUCACGGCCAAGAGGUAUUGUUGACGGUGGAUAUACCAUAGAAAUCCACAUACAAAACACCGUCAACAUGCCUCGGUUGCAAGAGGAAACGACAUGACAUGAACAUAUUUUAUCCAUAACUAGUUCCACUUGUACUCUUAGCUUGUUUAUGCAGGAACAACAAAUUCAAGACAUUAUUUGACAAAGCCAACAUCAGAAUCAUCAAGAGGAGAUCGAGGGGACAACAUGUGACACCCUGGGCCCACAGGGAGGGGGUCGCCCGACCCCUCUUUUGUGGGACCCAGGUGUGCCACCUAGUCCACCGACAUAAGGGACCCCUGUGGACACUGCUGGUGGGCCCAGAGGCCCAGAAGUGGGGUCGCCCGACCCCACAUCAAAGGCGGUUCCAAGGUCGGUGGCCUCCCACCGACCUUCCCCACAUGUCCCACAUGUUGAUUUGCCCCUGCCGUUGAUCAAAUGGCGGUUGUGAGGUCGGUUUGAUCCAAGGGUGGAGAGAAGAUGUCACGCGGAUCGAUGACGUGGCGAUGGAGUAACCCCUACUCCAUCUCCCUCUAUAAAAGGCAGCCUCCAUCCUUCAUUUCAAGUGUGCAAUUCCAAGGCCAAGUGCAUUACAAGUUCCAAGCAUACAAGUAGAGUAGUAGUUAGUCUAGAGUGGGAGUUAGAGUCGAGUCGAGCGAAGCUCGGGGUCUCCGGAGUCGUCUUCUGGAGAGUCUGGUAUAGCUCUUGUACCUUUAUACUUUUGUAAGACUUUCCUUUUAUUAAUAUAUUAUUCUUACUUUACUUUACUGAGUUCUUACUUAGUGCAAGUCUUUUAGUCUUGUUGUGCAUUUACUUUAGUAAUAUAGUUGUCUUAGUGAAGUUAGUGACCUGUAACCACUCCUGUGUGUGCAUCAUCGUCCUAUCUUGUAUAGGAGCUCUAGCUAGCUGCAACUAGUUAGCGCUGUAGGAUUAAGUGUGAGCGUGGUGCUCAUACUUAAGAUUACCUUUGAUUACCGCUGGCUUGAACGGAAAGUAGGAGCGCACUCCCUAGUAGCUGACAGAUCGUGGGCGGCAUUAGGUUCUCCUCACGUACAGGCUAGUUCUUAAAAGGUAAGGCAUCCAUAAGCCCAAUAGUCGCUUUCGGUAAGGGGUUAGGUGAAAAACCUUCUAAGCGUCUUACCAGCUCGGCUGUCCCUCGCACACAGUUAGUAAGGCUCUAGCGUAGUUAAGACAAUUAUCUAUUAAAGUAAGUCACAGAAGUCAAGUUAGAUACAUAGGAGUCCUUUACUCACUCGUUGUCCUCCCACCUAGCUAACUCUACCAUUUACCUUUAGCAUAGGACCUUGGAUUCACCACUACCCUUCCUAUUCGUUAUUUACCACCCUUAUUCACUAGUUGAUACUAGAUAACUCAAGGAAUCUCAUUCCCCUUUUUGUUAAACACACUUAGCCGCUUUCCCUUGGGAAAAUAUAAAUUACGAUACCUUGGAAUACUCCUUGGUGAAGUGCUACAGCGGUACAUUCUGUGCGCUUGCGGAAUUAUCCAAUAGUAAAUAGAGUUACCCUACCAGGGCACUUCUGGCGCCGUCGCCGAUAUCCGGUGGUUGCGUUAAGAAGUGUCAACAAGCAUUUCUGGCGCCGUUGCCGGGGAGAGCGUCUGUCUAAGAGUUUUAACAAAAAGAGAAUCCAGAGUUUGCUAGUUAUCAAGUAGUGAUAGGGAUAACCCAUCACUUGUCUUGUCUUCCUUUAUUGUGAAGCCUGACAGUGUAUGAGCGGUUUCCAAUUGCCGUCAAAACUUCGUUGAAGAUCCUGGGCAACUGUUGAGGAGAACUAGACGUCGUCAAGUUCCACCUCAAAGGUUCAUCUCGAACCUGAAUCCGUUAGAGGAAGGAGUAUCUGCACCGGUUAUCAAAGAAGCUAUGGCCCAGAAGACCAUCUCUGAGUACUCUGCGCCGUCGGCUGACAAUGUCGCCACGGGUCCGCAGCUUAACUUGGGGGAUGCGACUUUUGAGUUGAAGCCUGCGCUUAUCAAUAUGGUGCAAGCUAAUCCCUUCUGUGGAAAGCCACACGAGGAUGCCAAUGCCCAUCUCCAACACUUCUUGGAGGUGUGCGGCACCUUCACCAUCAAGAAUGUCGCCGCAGACGCCAUCCGUCUUCGCCUCUUCCCAUUCUCGUUAUUGGGGAAGGCGAAGCAAUGGUUCUACGCCAACAAGGGUGAAGUGACCACGUGGGAGAGGUGCGCCAAUGCAUUUCUCAAGAAGUUCUUUCCGAUGGGCAAGACCAGCGCCCUUCGUGGAAAGAUUUCCAGCUUCCAACAGCAAGCAGAUGAGACGAUUCCCGAAGCAUGGGAACGUCUGCAGGAGUACAUUCGCGCCUGUCCUCAUCAUGGGAUAGAGGAGUGGCUCCUAAUCCAAGGUUUCUACCAUGGCCUGACCGGUUUGGCCCGUAGUCACCUUGAUGCUGCCGCUGGAGGAGCAUUCUUGCAACACAAUGUCAAGGAUGCCAAGGACCUCAUUGAAAAGAUGGUUAUAAACCAAGGAUGGAAUGAGGAACGCCUCCAACCCAAGAGAAGAGGUGUCCAUGCCUUGAAUGAGGUGGACAUGCUCUCUGCUAAGAUGGACCUCUUAAUGAAGAAGAUGGAAGAAAGUUCCAAGCAAGAGACCAUUCAACCUUACGCCACUGCACGGGCCAUUGAAUCUGAUUCAUGGUGCGAAGUGUGCGGAGGAGAUGAUCAUUCGGGAAACAAUUGUCCCGAAACAAAGGAGGAAGUGAGCUUCAUCAACAACAACAACAAUGGGUACCGGCCCCAACAACAGCAAUGGAACUCGCGCCCCUUCUACCAAGGUAAUCAAGGUAAUGGUUACAAUCAAAAUUUCAAUAAUUCUUUUGGUAACCAACCUUCUCUUAGAGAUCUUGUCUUAGGCCAAUCUAAAAUCAAUGAUAGCAUUAACAAGAAAAUGAUGGCUAAUGAUAAGAUCCUUGAAAACUUAAGUGAAAAGUUGGAUAGCUUUAACUCUGCUAUGAAAAAUCAGUUGAGCUUUAACAAAAUGCUAGAAACACAAUUAGCUCAAUUAGCAGCAGCUGUCCCAUCCUUCGAGCAAGGUAAGAUCCCAGGGAAACCUGAGGACCCAAUUGAAGGAGUUAAACUAGUUACUACGAGGUUCGGUAAGCCUCCGGUACAAUCCAACUGGAGCUAUCUUCUGGAUUCGCCCUUCAUCACCAAGAAGGACGACCCAGGCCUGCCGACCAUCACCUGUGAGAUCGGACCGCAAAUCUUCCACAACGCCUUCUGCGACCUUGGAUCGGGUGUCAACAUCAUGGCCAAGGUAACUUAUGAUAAUUUGCUAGGGGGGCCUUUGCACCCCACAUUUGUUCGUUUGCAGAUGGCAGAUCAGACGAUCAGGUUCCCUGAGGGGUUGGCAAGGGACAUACUGGUAAAGGUCCAAGACGACUACGUCCCUGCCGACUUCAUCAUUUUGGAUAUGGGAUCCAAUAAUGAUGUCUCGAUCAUCUUGGGAAGGCCAUUCCUCAACACGGUCAAUGCAGUCAUCUAUGUGGGGUCCGGCCAGAUUCACCUCCAAUUCCCAGGAUGGAUGGUAAAAUGUCCAUUCAAUGGUUAUAAAGCUAACAUGCAGGUGAAGGACAAAGAACCUCCGACUAAGCCUCGCCACAUCCGACGCCGAAGGGACAAGAGAGGUAAGUCGGCCAAAAGGGCCGAAAAGAAAGAAGAGGAACCCGCUGAACCAAAAAUCAAUACCAAGCAAGUAUGGCGGGAGAAAGAGGUGCAAUCAAGGUCCACGUCUCCGGGACCAUCUGAUGCACCCGAAGGAUGAACAAGAUGGAGAGGUCCUGCUCUACGGACCUAAAACAUGGAGCCCUUGCUGAUAAGGUAAAUCAGUAGUUAUCCCAUAUUUAUUUUCUGCAUUUCAAUUUCUACUAUUCACUUUUCAAUUGCAUUCCUACUUUGAAUUUUGCAUAUCUUAUUUCGACAAAAUGUUUAGCCAUAAUAAAUAAAAUCUUGAGAAUAACUUGUCAUAAAAAUUUGAGCUGCUGGAGCUCCCAAAGGGGGGUCGCCCGACCCCACCUUGGGGCCCACUUCACCGCAUUUCAACCUUGCUAGUCAUAGAGGUUCCAACCCAGCACUUGGAUGCUCUGGGAGCUCCAAUGUGGGGGUCGACCGACCCCCAUAUUGGCCCCACUUGCCUCCUGCUGGCCACCAUUUGAAUCACAAUGGAGUCCUAUGCUUGUAACACUAGCUAAAGUUUGAAAAAGAGUGGUCCCUUGAUCCUUUACUUUAGUCAUAAGAUGCUCCUUUCAUCUUUGAUUCUUUUGGGACCACUCCACUAGCUUAAAUUCUGCAAAGUGGUCACCUAGGCAUGCUUGAGUGCUCCCAUGGUCCAUAGGAAUCACUUUAGACAUGUCUCCACUUUUGCCAUUCAUCUUUUACCUUUCACAAAGCACUAAAACAGGGAAUCUCAGAAACAAUUUGAAAACUUUUGGUCCACACCUAGCCUUUACUUUUCCAGACAAUCAAUGACACAAUGUUUAAAGUGGAGGAGGGGCUAGGAUGGGGGUCGGCCGACCCCCAUUUUGGACCAUCUCUGCAAAAUCUUGAAAGCAUGCAGAAUGGUUCCCUGUAUAAAGCUAAACUCAAAUUCAAAGUGCUUCUAGGGGGGGUCGGCCGACCCCUAUAUUGUGGGUCCACUACUUGCCCUUCUCCCCCUAUAAAUACCACAGCAUUGUGAGCUCAACUCCACACCCAAAACCACCAGAACCAUUUCGAGCUCACAAUCCUUUCUCUUCUCUCUUUGUUACAAGCCAUUUCUCAAGUUUAGUUUAGAAAUAGUCAUCAAAACAAAAACCCAAAAAGAUUCCCCUUGCAUAGUAGUAGUAGUAGUAGGAGCUUGGUUUGCCUCACUUAUGUAGGAGGAUGAAGAAGCAUAUCUUCGGCAAGUUCAAGAAAGCAAAGGGUGAGAGCUCUUCUCAAGGCUCUCACCAUGCUCAUGGAAGGGAGGAAGAAGAAGGUUACCAUGGGAUGGUACCCUACGAGCCUCCAUCAAGGAUGAGAGAGCCCGAGAGCGGCCUCAUGUUAAGCCAAGAAGAGUUGCAAAGGUACUACAUCAUCCGAGAGGGUCUCUUCCUACACACUAGCAUCAUCGAUCCGGACCUUUUGGCCCGCACAGGUAUGGAUGUUGAAUUCGAUAAGGUGUUUAGAGCAAUUGGUUGGAGUAGUUUUUGGCAAGUGCCUGAAUUUGGAAAAGAAUUGCUUGCUAAGGAAUUUCUAUGCACCCUAAAACUCACAAAUAAUGGAAUAUCUUUUCGCAUGUGUGAGCAAGAACAUCAAUUAAAUUGGAGUUUGCUAAACACUGCUUUAGGGUGUGAACAUGAAUGUGAACUUGAUCUAGAUCAUGCCACUAGAAUGUUCGAUAAAUUUAGAUUCUGGAAAGCAAUUUCUGGCUCUAAUGAUUGUUCAAAUCCUACUCCCAUUGAAAUCCAUAAUCCAACCUUGCGCUUUCUUCACUUCUGGAUCAUGUGCACUCUAUAUCCUGGCAUGGGAACUGAUACUUUAAUUGAUGAUGAACUUAAAAUUCUCUAUGCCAUGGUUAGUAAAAUCAAGGUCUCCCCUGUGAAACUGCUAGUGAACUAUUGGCUUAACUCUAUUGAGUAUGGGAAGCCCAUCUAUUUCACAUCCUUUAUUACUCGAAUAGCCGAUACUUUUGGAUUACUUGAAUCACAUUAUUUUGAAGACAUUGGCUAUGUUAGAGGAGUGGUAGAUGAGAACUUCUUUAUCAAUGCUAACAUGCUCAUAAGAGAUCCAAAUGGUGAACUUAAAAUGAUUUAUCCGGGCUAUACAACCGAAAUUCCUCUCCCAUGUGCGAGGCGCCGGUUGUAUGGGGUCCGCACACUUACCAUUAGACUAGCCCGAGUGGCAAGUCCAGAUGUUGCAGGGACACGCAGGGUGACAAGAAGGAUGAUGCAAGCCGCCCAGAUGGAGCAAGGAGGAUCCUCGCACCAUGACGUUGAAGAGGGCGAUGAAGCGAUGUCAGUGGAUGCUUCAGACUCCAUGGGUCUACCUCCACAACGCACUCCACGCCCAAGGGACAGGGCUAGGCGUCACCAGCCCACAGGUAUGGACAGUCUCAUGAAUGACAUGGGCGAAUUGCAGAUUGGGCAAGAAGCAACAUUGCAACUGGCGUUACAAAACGGCCAACAUAUCCGACGUGUGCGAGAGGAAGACGCACAACGCUGGGCUGGAUGGUACCAGAAUUUCCCGCCACCACAGUGAGCGAAGAUCUAGCUUGGGGGAGAUCCUCUCCCCCACUAAGGUAAGUAUUCUAUCCUAUUUAUUUUCAUGCAUUUUAUCAUUCUUACUUAAAAAAAAUAUAAUAAAUAAAUAUUUAUUAGCAUUUCCCUUUAGCAUAUAUGCUUCAUGUAUGUUUAUAUCCCUCAUGGAAAUUAUGACUAGCUGCUUGUUAAUGUUUCUCUAGUGCCUAGUAUACAACUUAGUAUUUCUCUAAGUAUGGAUCACUUAGCUCACUUAAACAUCCAUGAACCUAAAAACUUUGUGGGUUGCAAGUGCUAGAACUAAGUCUAAGUUGUUGUGGGACAUGAGAUAGUAAGACAAGAGCUACUAUAAUAUUUUUCUAAGCAUGCAUGAUUAUCAGAGAUUUAUUCUUAAAAUGAUCAAAACCUUAAUUGUUCCUCAAUGGUGAUGAAUUCCUACCACAGCCAUAUCUACUUUACAUAAUUGCAACCUUUCCACAUAAGCUAUUUGCUUUGUGUUGAGUGUCGUCAAGUCUUGUUGACCCUUGUUAAGAGACUUUUCAUGCUCCUAAGAUCAAGAUCACGUACACACCACAUAUAUAUAUGCUGCUUCUACACUGGAAGUACGCAACCACAUGUAUUUCGCAUCCACUAAAUAGGUUGCUCCAUACUCUAAAUGUUAGAACAUCUCUCUAAGCAUUAUUUGGUAAAUGAGACAUCAAAAGGCUAGGCAAAAUGAAAUAAAAAGAUGGACAUGUGCAAGUCCACAGAAAAAGAAAAUUGAGCACAUGAAAGCUCAUAUAUAUAAAAAAAAGAAGAAAAAAAUGCUAGCCAUGUCUCAAUACAUAGAGAGUCUAUCAAAUAAAGGAGCAACCUAGUCCACCAUAUAUCACACUUGCACAUCUUGAUCUGGGAGUAUGACACUUCUCUUCAAGGAUCCGAGCUUUGACUUCGCAAUACAUGCAAAGUAAGUAUGCUAUCUCCUUUCAUCCCUACCUUGAACUCCACAUAAGCCUUUUAGAAAUAGGAUGAAAUAGAGAAGGCAACUCUUACCAUAUGCCUUGGUGAGGAAUCAUACACCAUUUGAGUGACAUGAGAGAACCAUAAGAGGAACAUUUAAGCUUUCUUUUGAAAAUAUCACAAAACCUCUGAUAUGAAACUUGCUAAGAAUGAGAAAGUUAGUGCUCAAGUCAAACUGUUCUGUCUCUCAACCACCUAAGACAAAGGAAAAGCCAUAAGCCCCAUAAGGGACUAAGGUAAUAGGGGUAAGUUUACAUAGCUAAAUUUUUCAUGCAAAGAGAAGAACUUUGUUGUACACAUGGUACUCUUGAAAUGUGAACAUAGUAACAAUACCUGAUCCACCGAGGCUAAGUUUGAUUGUUUGCUCGGGACGAGCAAAGGUUAAGCUUGGGGGAUCUUGUUGACGGUGGAUAUACCAUAGAAAUCCACAUACAAAACACCGUCAACAUGCCUCGGUUGCAAGAGGAAACGACAUGACAUGAACAUAUUUUAUCCAUAACUAGUUCCACUUGUACUCUUAGCUUGUUUAUGCAGGAACAACAAAUUCAAGACAUUAUUUGACAAAGCCAACAUCAGAAUCAUCAAGAGGAGAUCGAGGGGACAACAGGUGACACCCUGGGCCCACAGGGAGGGGGUCGCCCGACCCCUCUUUUGUGGGACCCAGGUGUGCCACCUAGUCCACCGACAUAAGGGACCCCUGUGGACACUGCUGGUGGGCCCAGAGGCCCAGAAGUGGGGUCGCCCGACCCCACAUCAAAGGCGGUUCCAGGGUCGGUGGCCUCCCACCGACCUUCCCCACAUGUCCCACAUGUUGAUUUGCCCCUGCCGUUGAUCAAAUGGCGGUUGUGAGGUCGGUUUGAUCCAAGGGUGGAGAGAAGAUGUCACGCGGAUCGAUGACGUGGCGAUGGAGUAACCCCUACUCCAUCUCCCUCUAUAAAAGGCAGCCUCCAUCCUUCAUUUCAAGUGUGCAAUUCCAAGGCCAAGUGCAUUACAAGUUCCAAGCAUACAAGUAGAGUAGUAGUUAGUCUAGAGUGGGAGUUAGAGUCAAGUCGAGCGAAGCUCGGGGUCUCCGGAGUCGUCUUCUGGAGAGUCUGGUAUAGCUCUUGUACCUUUCUACUUUUGUAAGACUUUCCUUUUAUUAAUAUAUUAUUCUUACUUUACUUUACUGAGUUCUUACUUAGUGCAAGUCUUUUAGUCUUGUUGUGCAUUUACUUUAGUAAUAUAGUUGUCUUAGUGAAGUUAGUGACCUGUAACCACUCCUGUGUGUGCAUCAUCGUCCUAUCUUGUAUAGGAGCUCUAGCUAGCUGCAACUAGUUAGCGUUGUAGGAUUAAGUGUGAGCGUGGUGCUCAUACUUAAGAUUACCUUUGAUUACCGCUGGCUUGAACGGAAAGUAGGAGCGCACUCCCUAGUAGGUGACAGAUCGUGGGCGGCAUUAGGUUCUCCUCACGUACAGGCUAGUUCUUAAAAGGUAAGGCGUCCAUAAGCCCAAUAGUCGCUUUCGGUAAGGGGUUAGGUGAAAAACCUUCUAAGCGUCUUACCAGCUCGGCUAUCCCUCGCACACAGUUAGUAAGGCUCUAGCGUAGUUAAGACAAUUAUCUAUUAAAGUAAGUCACAGAAGUCAAGUUAGAUACAUAGGAGUCCUUUACUCACUCGUUGUCCUCCCACCUAGCUAACUCUACCAUUUACCUUUAGCAUAGGACCUUGGAUUCACCACUACCCUUCCUAUUCGUUAUUUACCACCCUUAUUCACUAGUUGAUACUAGAUAACUCAAGGAAUCUCAUUCCCCUUUUUGUUAAACACACUUAGCCGCUUUCCCUUGGGAAAAUAUAAAUUACGAUACCUUGGAAUACUCCUUGGUGAAGUGCUACAGCGGUACAUUCUGUGCGCUUGCGGAAUUAUCCAAUAGUAAAUAGAGUUACCCUACCAGGGCACUUCUGGCGCCGUCGCCGAUAUCCGGUGGUUGCGUUAAGAAGUGUCAACAGGUAUUCACGCAGAACUUGAGAACACGCCGAGCUUAAGUCGACGAAUUCCUAAGAACUCGUAAUAAAAAGGAAAAUGUAUGACGAAGUCAUCGAAAAAGUAGAUGCUUGGAAUAUGAGUAAAACAUGUGUUUGAUUGAUUGAUAGAUGUCUGAUUACAAAGCUCUAGGGUCUAUAUUUAUACCCUGCUCAAAGAACUACAACUAGACACGACUAGAACUCGAAGUCCAAAUUAAACAAAAUCCGUAUACAAAACGAUUUAAAUAACUAAGGAAAACAUAAAACUAUCCCCCCUGACAAACUGGAACACCUCCGCAAGCCGAUCGGCAACUUCCAAACUCUUGCCCCGCAUCAUCGGCAGACUGCCUUGUUGUAGCCAUCGGCAUAAACACAUCAUCACCUAUGGACUUGGUCACGUUCAGCCAUCCUUCCAUCGGCAACUCAUCCUGUAGAUCAAGUACUGCCGUCCUGUUCUGCCGACCUACACUUUACCAAUCAUGGACACGUGCCCAAAAACGGUGUCAACACAUGCCCCCCAAUUUCGGAGUAUGAAAUCAUUAAUGCUCCGAAAUUCUCCACAGUAAUGAUGCCUUUCCGCAAUUAAUGCUCCCAAUCUGGUAACCGACAGCCUUAAUCUGAACAACUCUGAUUUGAUUCUUCCGCACAUUCCUCGAAAUCCUCAACUUCCCAAACGGACAUUUCCAUUUUAGUCGCGCAUCGGCAAUAUUACCGUUACAGGGACUUGCUGAUGGACUGACAAGGACGCCCAUAUCUUAUCCCUCCAAACGGCUAUCUCCACUUUAUUCGCCCAUCGGCAAUAUGACUGUUACAAGGCGCUGCCGAUGGACCGACUAGGAGAUCCCGCACAGUAAAAUAUCUAUGGAUAAUGACCGCUUCCUAUCAAAUCACCUGCACAAUCCCUUGAUUACCGUGCGAACAGUUACCAUAUCUACCUGAGUACCCUCGGGUUUCACGGAUACGGCGAAAAGAUAAGUCAGAUUUGCCCUUGCCUGUUUUGUCCUAUAAAUAGUUCCUUCUCGGGUACCCCUUCUCCAUCACAUCAUUCCACAGCCCCAACUUCACUUUCCCAGCGGCGGUGCUGUUCGAGAGCUUCAAGAUCUCCAAUGAAGCCCCUUCUUCACCAACUCCGAAGCCUUCAAUCUUCUUCCUCGCGAGGAAAAAUGACCAUCAACUUCAUCGUCCCUGAGGUUAGUUCAUCACUCCAUCUCUUGUACUUUUCCUCGCACCCCUGUUCAUCCGCAAUCCAUUUUACUGAACAUUUUCUUUUUCUUUCUUUGUUUUUCUUUUACCUUCAAAACCAUUAGGAUUUGUCCAACAAAAUUGUCAUCCCCACCGAUCAACCACACCUCCAAUUCCUUGGCCCGUUAGGGGAUCCAGAUCCAACCGACCUCAUUAACGCAGAAACCAACAGAAUCCAUUUUAGAGCUGAGAACUUUUCUUUGGAUCUGUGGAAAGAUACUUUCCGUUCUUGGCCCAGUCCUACCGUGGGAUGGACGGAUUGGUUUUUGAGGGUCAGCAACUCAAAUGAAGUCCAGUGGGGCGAGAGAAAACUAGACCAAUGCAUCAGAUUGUCUAUUGCCGAUAUGCAUAGAAAUGAAUCAUUGCUGAUAGCUGCAUCAUACUUUUGGUCAGACACGCUCAACGCCUUUGUCUUUGGCCACGGCCCUGCUUCCCCUACUCUUGCCGAUGUAGCUAUGAUCACUGGCCUAGAUGUAUCUUCUGCUGAUAGCACCCAUUUUUUCGACACCAAGCCUAGUGCCAAGGUAGAAACUCGCUCCAUCGGCGGUUGGUCAGGGUAUAUUCAGAAAUAUAAAUGAACUGGCCCUGUCAACAUAAAGGAGCAGACCAGCUUUCUGAACAUGUGGCUGGACAAAUUCGUGUUUUGCGGCCGAUCGGCAGGACCAACCUCCGUCUAUCUAGCAGCAGCAGAGAACUUAGCUAAUGGUGGCUGAUUUCCCCUCGGCCGAUACCUGCUUGGUGCAGCCUACCACCUCCUUCACCAAGUGACUAGGAAACUCUUACUCGGCCGGUCUAUCGGCAACUUGGGAGGUCCCUGGUGGUUUAUCAACAUGUGGCUCGGUCUCCACAUGCACAAGCGUCUUGAGUUUGACCUUUUUGCACAGCGUUUCCCAAGGGACAUAGCCGAGAACUAUGAACUGGAUGAAGAAGAAUCGGCAACACGCCCUCCCCUAAACUUCGGUGAGGCUGUCAUAGUUUUACCUGGUACAGGGGGUAAUGCAGACCAGGUCAGCCGAUUCUUCCAAACCUUGUAUGAAGGCUUGACCAGAGAGGAGCUAGCAUGGUUAGCUUAUGACGAUCCAGCCACCAUGUUUCCUCUAGUUUUCAACCCAUUCAAUGAUGCUCUUGACACGGAUCACGAAGUGAAGAUGGCACUGGUCACUCCUAGAGCUAUACCAGUGAAUUUCUUUGGUAGUGGGAAAACCUCCAUCCAGACCUAUGAGUUUUAUAACCCAUCGGCAUUAGCUCGUCAAUUAGCUUUCGGCCAGCUACCGAUUGCACUCUGUUAUGCCGAUGUGAUAAAACCUAGGGAAGCCAUCACUAGCCUUCUUGAAUGGAUUCGAGUGGCCCAACUGCCAUCAAGUGCCGAUACAGAUGUAGACCUGUCAGAGUGGGUUCCAGGUGCCUUCAUCACUCAGGCAUACAAGCAAUGGUGGGCAGAAUGGAAGGAACAUCUGUUCUGCAGAUCGGCUCUAACGUAUCGCGGCAUGAUCGACCCCGAGUACAAAGUCCCUGAUGACACUGUAAGUAUCUUCGAACCGAUGUUUCAAUUUUCUCAUUUUUAUUUCCAUCGGCGAUUUACCCUUGUAUCAUCUUGCAGGUUGACAACACCCCUCCAUCGGUCAGCAGGAGUGGCAAGCCGAUUGACUUGUUUCCAUCAGGCCCAAUCUCCUCAAUCGGCAACAACGCUCCUACCCUGGCCGCCAUCAUGCAUCGAGGUGUACGCCUCAAGAAAGUCACCACUAGGAGGACUCAGAUAUCUCCAUCGGUAGCUGCUUCCACCUUGGCACAGGUGUUCAAGGUAAUUGUUAAACCUUUUCAUUCAUACCGAUUUUUAUUUUAUAUCUGCCACACUUGUACUCAUAAAUCUUUCCCAUAUCAGCAGACCGGCGCAUCGGCAAAGACCAGAAGCAAAGGUGUCGAUGCCCCCCAGUCUAGCCAGCAGAAGAGAAAAGGUGCCAAGAGUACCAGAGCACAAACAAAGUGCCAGAAAGUGGCAACUCCUCCUCCUCCUCCGGUAUCUCCAAUUCCGGUGGAAUCCUCUCCUUCUUCUCCAGAAACACAGACACAGCAAGUACCAUCUCCCCCUCAACCGCAAGAAGCACCACAAGCAGAAGAACCCCGACCAGAAGAGCUCCAACCAGAAGUACAUCAGCCAGAAAGCAUAUCGGCUGAUAUAGGUGAGCAGACUACCGAUCCGGUAGGAUCAAUCAUAUCGUCAGUAGUUUCCUCUAUCCAGACGAGCACUGUACCUCCCCAAGGUAACACAUUUUCUUAUGAAAUUAGCACCGAUGAACUUAUUUCCUCUGUCCUUACAAUCAUUUCUGUUAUUUUUCAGCUGAUAUAGUUCCAUCGGUAACCCCAGCCGAUCAACCCGUAAUACCAUCGGCAUCCUCCAGUCAGAGGCGAGAGAUUGCCCUGAAGCAAGUAAGCCACCCAAUCUCUAUCAGUACUAUUUGCUGAUGCUUGACCAUGGAAUGACUCACUUUGUUUUCUUUUUCAGGAACAGGACUCUCCCGACAGCCUGUUCUCCUUCGCCAUUGAUAUCUCUGAAGAUGAAGGCGAGGAAGCAAGCUCCUCCCGGGCAGUUGGGAUCGCAUCAGCAGAGAUUAGGGCAAAGCUAGAAGAACUGUCGGCUCUCCUCCAUCAAGACACAGCCCAAUUGGUCGAUGACUCUGACCCGGCCAAGGCUUUGUUCAAGACCCUCAGAGGCCAGAUUCCUACCGAUACUGAAGAAAUCCUCUUCCAGGCCGCACAUCUGGAGAGCCGUCAGCUGUAGUACCAGAAAGCUGCCCAACGCCUUGCCGACAGAGUGGCUCAUGCCCAACUCUCUGAGGAGAUGAUGAAGGUGAAACUCCUUGCCGAUGAGAAGCAAAAGAACAUCGGCAUUUUACAGUCCUCAAGAGAUGUAUUGAAGCAGAAGAUUUCUGAUCUAUUGGCGAGAAGAGAAGCCCUGCUGGCAGAACUCAAGCAAGUAGAGGAUGCCCUGUCCCAAGCCCGACAAGAAGAAAGCCAACUGCCAGAGACAAUUAAACUCCUCGAGCAAGAACGAAACAACCAUGGCCGCAAGGUGCUGCAGAUGAAAAAGAAGCUGAAGCCUGUGGAAGGUUCUGCCGAUGACGACGUGAAGGAGAUAGAGGAAGCCAACCAGAUUCGUCUGCGCGCCAUAUCGGCGAUCCAGGCGCUGUAGAACACAUGAACCCUUCAUCGGCAACACAUCCUUGCCCCUCUGCACUUUCCAGCUCUCUUAUUGUUUAGUCUAGCCGAUAGGACUGUUAUCGGCAUCUUUUGAAACAUUAAGUCCGGCCCUAGAUACAUUUCAAUCUAGCCGAUAGGAGUGUUAUCGGCAUCUAAACUUUUUAUGCAUCGACCCAUAUACUUGGGUAGUACUUUUUUAGAUAUUUACCAUUUAAUGCUCUAGGAAAUUCGACUCCUUCGAGAGUUUCUAGAAUAUAGGCAUUACCAGGAGCCGACCGACUUAUCCGAUAGGGACCCUCCCAAUUGGGAGACCAUUUCCCAAAUUUUGAACUUUUAGUUCCAAUCGGCAAGACCAACUUCCAUACCAAGUCUCCAUCGGCAAAUUCUUUAGCCUUUACUUUCUUAUCAUACCAUCUAGCAACUCUCUUCUUAUUUUCUUCUAUACUCAUUAAAGCCUUUAACCGAUGUCCUGCUAGAUCAUCUAACUCAUCGGUCAUCAAAGUAGCAUAAUCAUCAGCAGCCAAUUGAUUCUGAAAAGAUAGUCGCCUAGAUCCAGCCUUAAUUUCCCAAGGCAACACUGCAUCAUGUCCAUACACCAACUGAUAAGGUGAAACCUUGGUUGAUCCAUGACAAGCCAUUCGAUAGGACCAUAAAGCUUCAUUUAACAAUGUGUGCCACCGCUUAGGAUUUUCUUCAAUUUUUUGUUUGAUAAGCUUGAUAAUUCCCUUGUUAGAUGCCUCGGCCUGCCCAUUAGCUUGAGCAUAAUAAGGAGAAGAGUUUAACACCUUAAUUCCCAUACCGAUUGCGAAUUCAUCAAAUUCUCCUGAUGUGAACAUAGUACCCUGGUCUGUAGUAAUUGUCUGAGGAAUCCCAAAUCGGUAAAUAAUGUGCUUCUUCACAAAAUCAAUCAUAUUGGCCGAGGUAACUUUCUUCAAAGGAAUAGCCUCAACCCAUUUGGUGACAUAAUUAGUGGCAACCAAGAUAAACUUAUGCCCUUUGCUAGAUGGCGGAUAAAUCUGACCGAUUAAGUCAAUAGCCAAUCCCCGGAACGGCCAAGGUUUGAUAAUGGGUUCAUGGCUGAUGCGGGUGCUCUUUGAAUGUUACCAAAUUUCUGACAUCCUUGACAUCCCUUGAAAUAUUUAAAGCAAUCUUCAAGUAUGGUCGGCCAAUAAUACCCGUUCCUCCUAAUCAUCCACUUCAUUUUGAAAGCCGACUGAUGUGCUCCACAUACCCCUUCAUGGAUUUCUCCCAUCAAACUCCUAGCUUCAUCAUCACCUAAGCAUCGGAGAAGAAUCCCAUCAAUAGUUCGAUAAUACAAUUCAUCUUCGAGGAGCACAUACUUGGUGGCUUGAAACCGAACCCGCCUUUCAACUUUCUUAGAUGGAUCCUUCAAAUAAUCAAUGAUUUCCUUUCUCCAAUCAUCGGCACCGAUUGCCGAUAUUGUAUUAAUCAUAGGCUGAUAUCCCGAGGCAUGCUGAGCCAAUCGAUUAGCUUCUUCAUUAUGCAAUCGAGGAAUAUCCUCUAAUUAGAAAUCUUUGAAUUCCUUUAACAGUCGCAUACUCCUUUCGUAAUAAGUUAUGAGAACUUCACUUCGGCAUUCAUAGCUUCCAGCCAAUUGAUUUAUAACCAACAUAGAAUCCCCGAAGACCUCAACAGCAUCAGCAUGAACUUCCCUUAACAACUCCAAUCCUUUUAUUAAAGCUUGAUACUCAGCCUGAUUAUUCUUCGACGUGGCAACAAUCGGCAAGGAAAACUCAUACUUCCUGCCCCGAGGGGAAAUCAAUACUACGCCGAUUCCUGCCCCCUGGCCACAUGUGGAUCCAUCAAAGAAGAGCGUCCAAGGUACAAUUUCCAAAGCCUCCACUACACCGCAAUGUUGAGUUACAAAAUCGGCCAUAAUCUGUCCCUUAACUGCCUUAGCCGAUUCGUAACGCAGAUCAAAUUCCGACAGCGCCAAAAUCCAUUUACCGAUCCUGCCACUCAUAAUCGGCAUAGACAGCAUGUACCAGACCACAUGAUCCUUGCAAAUGACAGUGCAUUCGGCCGAUAGCAGGUAGUGCCUCCACUUGACACAAGAGAAAUACAGACACAAGCAUAGCUUCUCAAUAGCCGAAUACCUGGUCUCAGCAUCAAUCAACCUCCUACUUAAGUAAUAAAUCACGCGCUCCUUCCCUUCAAAUUCUUGAAUUAAAGCCGAACUGAUGACCACCCCAUCGGUAGACAAAUACAAUCUGAAGGGCUUCCCUUGCUGAGGUGGAAUUAGAACUGGAGGAUUCACUAAAUAAUUCUUGAUUUCAUCUAGAGCCAACUGCUGUUCUUUCCCCCAAAUAAAUUCUUGAUCGGCUUUUAGUUUAAGAAGAGGACGGAAAGCACGAAUUUUACCAGACAAAUUAGAUAUAAAUCUCCUGAUAAAAUUUACCUUGCCGAUCAAGGACUGGAGCUCAGUCUUGUUGGUAGGGGCAACUAUUUUGUUGAUAGCCUCAAUAGAUCUUCGACUAAUUUCAAUCCCCCUUUGAUGCACCAUGAAACCAAGAAACUGCCCUGCCGAUACACCAAAUGCACACUUAUUGGGAUUCAUUUUCAAACCGUGCUUCCUUGUGCACUCCAACACCUUUCGUAAAUCGGCAAGAUGCUUCAUGAAGUCUCCAGAUUUUACCACCACAUCAUCAAUAUAAAUCUCCACCAGCUUGCCGAUGAACUCAUGAAAUAUAAAAUUCAUGGCCCUUUGAUAAGUAGCACCAGCAUUCUUUAAGCAGAAGGUCAUGACUAUCCACUCAAACAAUCCAACAUGACCAGGGCACCUGAACGCGGUCUUUGGAAUAUCCUCUUCAGCCAUGAAUAUUUGGUUGUAUCCUGCAUUGCCAUCCAUAAAACUAAUAAUCCGAUGUCCAGCUGCAGCGUCAACUAGCAGAUCGGCAACUGGCAUUGGGUAUCCAUCCAUCGGUGUAGCUUUGUUGAGAUUCCUAAAAUCAAUGCAAACCCGAAGCUUCCCGUUCUUCUUGUAGACCGGAACAACAUUGAAAAUCCAUUCGGCAUACCGACACCGCCGAAUAAACUUGGCUUCAAUAAGUUUAGUUAUUUCGGCCUUGAUGUCAGGAAGAAUAUUAGGAUUACACCGGCGAGCUGGCCGCUGAUGUGGCCGAAAUCCAGACUUGAUAGGCAACCGAUGUUCAACAAUCGAUAGGUCAAAACCAGGCAUCUCAGUAUAAUCCCAAGCAAAGCAAUCUUUAUAUUCUUUUAACAAAUCAGUCAAUUGCUGCUUACACUCAGGACUUAACUUAGCACUAAUAAAAGUAGGUCUAGGUUUAUCACCACUACCUAUAUCUACUUCUACCAAAUCAUCGGCCGAUGUGAACCCCUGGCCUAAUUUUCCUUCAUCGGCGAACCUAUCCAUUAAAAACCAUCUUCAGAACCGACUGCUUGGAUCGGUGGAAUUUCAUAAUCGGCAACCUUGAGAAAAUCCUUUUCCCAAGCUUCUCCUGAAAUACACCUAGUCUUUCAUAGGUUUCUGCUUCCGCCGAUGCGAUGACAUAAGAAGAGUCUCCUGGGACAAUUUCAAUUUUAUCACCUACCCACUGGACCAAGCAUUGGUGCAUUGUAGAUGGGAUGCAACAAUUGGCAUGAAUCCAAUCUCUUUCCAACAGUAAGUUGUAAGCACCCUUUCCACUGAUCACGAAGAAGGUUGUCGGCAAGGUUUUACUGCCGAUGGUCAACUCUACGCAUAUAGCUCCUUUAACUGGGGAUACAUUGUCCUCGAAGUCCUUGAGCAUCAUAUCGGUCUUGGUCAGGUCCUGAUCUCCUUUUCCAAGCUUCCGAUACACUGCAUACGGCAUGAUGUUGAUAGCAGCCCCACCAUCAAUUAGAAUCUUGGUCAUCAGCUGCCCAUCAACCCUUCCUUUGACAAACAAAGCCUUAAGAUGUUGCCUUUCAUCAUCGGCAGGCUUCUCGAAGAUAGCUGUCAUCGGAUCCAGAGCCAGUUGAGCUAUUUGGUCGGAGAAUUCCACCUCAUCAUCACUGGAUGGCGCAAGGAACUCCAUCGGCAACAUAAAGACCAUGUUGACAUCUGCCGAUGGACCUUUCCCCUCAGGAUCUGACUGUUGCUGAUCCCCAGACUGUCUAGAAUUCUCUCCCUUGCUCAGUCCUUCUCGCCUUUCGUGCUCUAGCCUUCUCUUCUGAGUCCUGGUCAACCCCUCCAGACACCAUGGAGGAAGUUGCUUCUGCCUUACCGAUUGGCGACGAUUUUCUUGUAACACCCCAGUGUUAUGGUUGCAUCAAACAUGUGCAUAGCAUGAGCAUCAUCAUUUAUUCAAAGCAUCCAUGAUCAUCAUCUAUCUUGAGACAUGUCAUUCUUUGCAAAAAUGUGUUUUAAAUUGUUUAAAUAGGCUUCCUAUGCUUAUGUUUGAGUGAACAAUGCUUGUGUUUGUGCUUAAUGCCUUGGUAAAUAGCUUAUCUAUGCUUAACUUAAUCUUGGGAACAAUGUUCAUGUUGAUCACUUCUCCAAAAUAAUCACUUAAGUCAUACUUAUGCAAAUAGGCCCUAGAAACCUCUUUUGCUUAGGCUUUUUAAAAGUGUUUCAUAAAAUGUUUGCAUGUCAAAACUUCCUACAGAAAAGUUGUAGCAAAUUUUAUAAGGAACAAAAGUUGUUUUAUGGCCAUCUCAUGAAAAUGAUCACAAAUAGCUCAAAAGUGGCCCACAAGGCAGAUUUGGGGCUGUUUUCAACACUUAGAAAAUUUUCUAAGUCCUGGGUGCUUUGCAGUUUGCUUGAUCGAUUUUGGAAACUCUAUAUCUAUCGAUCCAGGCCGAUCUAGCCUUUGCUCUAGUUGACAAAGUUGUAGAUCUCGCCUAGUACUCCAAGUUUGUCAACUACACCAUCUCCUAAUUCGCUCUGGUUUGGGAGAUAAUCACCGGUGAAGUCGCUCUGUCAGUCGGCCGAUGCGCUGCCUGAAUCGUUUUGGACCUCGCCGACGUGGCCGACCGGCGGCAGCACAACGGCGACAAUUGGCGCCCGCACGCCGUUCCUGGCCCCGCCUGUCAGCCCUCGUCGCGUGCAUGACCUCCACGGCGUCGCCCGCGCAGAGUGGACGCGUCCACUUCGCUCCUCCUUGCCUCCACUCGCCAGAAAAGCUCCCGCAGCGAGCCCUCCGCCGCGAGCUCACUCCGGCGAGCUCGUGUGCGCUCCUCAUUGCGCCUCCGUCCACCAAACUCCACCCAAAGCUCCGCCGUGAGCCGCUCUCCAAGCUCCACCCUCUAACUCGCCGAGAAACCCACCGGUGAGCCGACAUUUCUUUCUUCCCCCAAAUCGGUCCGCCGUGACCUUCUUCUCCGGCGAACUCAAUGCCGAGCGCUGUGAGGCUUCUCAUCGUCUUUGGUUAGGUCCUAGAGGUAGCUUAGGUCCUUAGCGAGCUUUUGCGCCACCUGGUGGACGCUCUACCGGGUUCUCCGUCGCCGGACACGGUGCGCAGCGCCGCCGUGCUUCCGCCGGAGUUGGGUGCUCUCGUGGCCAGCGCUUUCCACGGGGAUCCAGGCCAAGCCGCGUACCUAGGAAGCUUCGCCCUAGUCUGCUGGUGCUAUAGAAGGCCUUAGGUCGCGCUCUACCGGCCUGAGGGCUCCGGCGUAACGCCGAGCACCUCCGCCGAGCCGCCAUUGCCGACGGUGAGCCCCUUCCGGUGGCUCCGCCGUGGCCAAAGUGGGGUCAAUCGAGUCGUUAGGGUUUGGGGAUCACGUUGAUGCCCUGGGUUUGGCCGGAGACCUCGCCGUCGCGGAGAAAUCGCCGGCGAAAGUCGCCUCGGCCGUGAGGAAGAAGAGCCUGACGGGUGGGACCCACUGUCAGCGACUCUCUCUUUCCCUCCUUUUCUUUUAUUCAAAAUCCUGAUUUUUGGCUUUCUUGCAAAAAUCAUAUCUCCUGUUUCUGAGAUCCAAAAAUUGUGAAACAAAUUUCGUGUUGUUUCUUGAGAUGGCUAGUAUUUAAUAAAAAUAUAAAAUGAAUCAUGUUUUCUGAGAAAUUAUUUAUUAAGGAUUUAAUCUUGUUAUUUAUGGAUAAAUGCAUAUCUCUGGUUUUACUGAUUAGUUUGCUCUGAAAAUUUUAUGGUGGUCUUUGCAUGGCAUUAGAGUGCUCUGAUAAUUAUUUCAUGAUUUUUGGAGCACUGCAGUUGUGAUAUGUAAUUUGUGUUUGAAAUAUGGCUUGUUUCUUUAAUUAAAUCACAUAAAAUAAUUGGUGCUUAUGCUGGUGCUCUAUUUUGGUGGUAAACUUGUUUAUGGUAUUCCUUAGAUAUAAAUAAUCUGAAAUCUGUUGUUUGACACUAUAUAAGUCAUGUCUAUGAAUUUAUGAAAUAAAUGCCUUGAUACAUGCUAAAUGCAUAUCUUUAAUUUGGCAUGUGCAUUGGUCCUGAAAUUUUUAUGGUGGUGAUCUGAUGUUAUACUUGUGCCUCUGUAAUUUUUGUAGAUUUUUUUUCUGAGCACUUUAACUAAUAUCUUGUAAAUAUGCCUUAUCUAAAAUUAAUUAAUAAAUGCCUUGUUAAGUAAUUGUUUUGGGGUUUUCAACUGAUGAUCUGGUGACCUUGUAAUAUGUUUGUGCUCAUGAGUCAUAUGGUUGGCAUGGUUUGUGUUUUGAUCAUGUCAUUAAAUAAUUAACUAUAGGGUUAAAUGCUGUCUGGACAGCAAGUGAGUAAUUUAACUUUGCUUAAUGAUAACUUGACUUUCUGUGAAACUUGUAUAAAACAAAGUUGUUCUAAACUUGUUGAACUAACUGUGGUUUAAAUUUGAGGUCAUUUGGCCAAGUAGUUUAAAAGUUAUAGCUGUUCCAAGUUGGGUUCCAGAAAUAGGUGUUCUCUGUUUUUCUGGGACAGAACCUGGAACUUUGUUAAAAUGACUAGUUUAAUGUUUGAAUCUUGCUAUCAUGUUUAAAGAUGAGUUGUAGACAAUUUCCUAAGCUUUCCAGAAUGUCCUUACUCAUGUUUGUUGGACCUGUCUAUCUAUAAUUAUGAUUUAUUUACUGAGCAUACUUGUUUUGUGUCGUUUGCUGCUUUGGUGCCAUGAUAGGUUUUGGGUUAUGUUAACUUGUUUAUUCAUGUGAGUUAGUAUAACUCUUGCUCCGUAAAUGAGUGUCCAGUGAGUUGCUUGUGUUAUUAAGCAUUCAUCUGUAGCAUGUGUACCUUCUCAUUCAUCGAGCAUGCAAUAGGUGCACCGGACGUGGCAGUUUCCUUCGAGCUCCAAGCGAACCCCGAAGGCCAGGAAGGCAGCCAGGAGGUGGAGGUCCAGCAAGCCGGACUCGAGGAGCCCGAAGAAGAAGUUGAGUGCCCGAAUCACGAGCCGGCAUCGUUCGUGAAAGGCAAGCCCCGGAGCAUUCUAAGCCUCCUCUAUUUUCGAAAGUUUACUUAAUACGUUAUAUCUAUUGAUGCAUUACGUAUAGGAGUUGUGAUGAAAAUGUUGCUGCAUUCUACUCUAUCCUUGUCCAGAUAACUCACCCUCCCUGGUUGUAGAGUUAGGUCCGAGUAGCAGCUUAGUUAUGCUUUAAUCGGCAGAAGUCGGGUGAUAUUCUGUCAUCCGCGCGAUAUAGGGUUGUGUCGGGUCACGAUGGUCUAUAUGUGCUAUCGUGGAUGGAACCUGGUUAAAUUGACUUAAGCCGGGCGGAGUUUUGCAAGUGUGUAGUAACUCCGUCUGUGGCAGCUAAGGACCGAUCGUUGUACGUCCUCUUGUCAUGUUGAACGCAUGCCUGACACUUAGUUGGCCGGAUAACUCGUUCCGACCGCGAAGCCGAGUAGUAUGACUCAGGCCGGAAGACCGGCAAGUAUAAAGUGCGCACUACCGGAGGAAGUGCGGUGUGCGGGGGACCAUUGGCGUAAGUCCAAAGGCAGGUGAGUUAAAAUUCCUGACCUCCCUGGCAGAGUGGUAGCCCUGGGAGUGCGGCGCUGAUCGGAGCCGCGAUUCCUGAGUUGUACCAAAGGUGACCCGUUGGCUCUCCGGCAGGGGAUGCUUGGGUGAGUGCUAGGAAUAAUCCUCCAGCUGGAUAGGAAUUCGAUUCGAAUCGCCGUCUCUCCCGGUUAGUGAGAACUUGACAGAGCAGCGGCAAACGUAGCAUUCACUAAUGAACUUGGUUCAUGAUAAUGAUGAUAGCAAGAAGAACAUAUGAUGAAUUUGGUAUGGUUAUUAUUGUUUGUAAUAAUCAAGUGAUGUGUUGUAGUACAGGUGCUAAUCUAGUGGUAGGCUGAUGAUAAAUAAAGAUGAUGCUCCCAAAAUAAUUUAGUUGCAACUUAAGCUUUUGGCAAAAGAGUGAGUCAACCAACUCCACUUGAUAUUUAGCCUGGCAUGAUCCUUGGUGUCUUUUGUGUUUUACUAGACGGGUAAGUCUAGCUGAGUACAUCCUCGUACUCAGGGUUUAUUCCCACCUGUUGCAGAUGAUAUCUUCUAUGACGGUUUCUGCAAGACCUGUCUCCAUCCCGCUGGGGAUGAGGACUAACCGUUGGGCACGGUUCUCUAAUCUUCUCGUCUAUGAUGCUUUUGGAAGGAUGGCAUAGACUCUGGCAGUAACAAACUUGGGAACUGAACUUUGAACAAGUGUGUGUAAUUAUUUUGCUUCCGCUACUUCGAACAAGUGUUGUAAUAACUUAAUACUCCGAUGUGGUGCCGCUUCGACGGCAAUGAAUGACUAUGUAACAUUCGUUGUGUUUAUGUUGAACUAUUACGAUCUUGGUUUGUUGCGAGUUGGUUUGAAGUCCUUCGUGAUUUCGAUUGACUACCGGGAUUAUAUGGGCUCAAGUUUAGAAACUUGAUUGUUUGACGAUCGUUUCUGCACUUGAACUCUUAUAAUUUGGUCGGUUCUGUGACAUUUCUCCUGACUCCAUUAGGUAAAUAUUGGCAUCUCGGCAGAAGAUGAACUCAUCGGGAACCCGUGCAUUAGCCAUCUCUUCGAGUUCUUCCUGGUUCCUGGGAAAAUAUUCAACCCGAUCCCCAAGUCUGUCAUGCACACUGAGCCUGCCCCCCAGCCGAUCAUGAACGGAUGCUCUCCCCCUAAUCGGCCCAUUAAAUCGCCGAUCAUUAUCACGAUAGUACCGAUCGGACCUGUCGUACCGGUCAUAACCGUUGCACUCAGGGCAAUCUCUGACAGUGGGGAGCUUGAUAUUUUCCUCCCAACAAUGAAUGAAGAACGGGCAAUUCCAGUGAUCCCUAUGCCGAUUCCACUCCUGUCGGCGUCUGUCCUCUUCUCGACGAUAAUCCUCUUGCUGGCGCCGAUACCGAUCUUCUCGUUGCUGCCAAUUCUCCAGAGGCCUCCUGUGAGUUAUCACAAUGCCGGAUCGGGGAGGCCUUCCUGAGUUAGCUCCUUCCUGGAUCAAGCCUUUCCCUUUCGCAUCGGCAGUAGUGAUUUGAUGCUGAGGAUCCACCGAUGCACUUCUUUCAGCUGCUUCUGAUGUCAAGACCUUGGCCUUUCCCUUAGCAUCCAGCAUAUUUGUCGGGAAAGGGUGUUGGUCAAUCUUCAUCAGCUUCUGGGUCUUGGAGCUGUCAAAUUUGAUCCUUCCAGAUUCUAUAGCCGAUUGCAGCUGCUGUCUGAAAACCUUGCACUCAUUUGUGUCGUGAGAAGUUGCAUUGUGCCACUUACAAUAUUUCAUCCUUUUCAAUUCUUCAGCCGAUGGGAUCACAUGAUUAGGUGACAGCUUGAUCUGACCUUCCUGAAGUAGAAAGUCAAAUAUCCUAUCGGCCUUAGUGGUAUCGAACGCGAACCUCUCUGGUUCUUUAUGUCCAAAAGGGUAAGACAUCGGCUUCUUAUUUUUUACCCAUUCUGCCAAGCCGAUGACUGGUUCCUCAUUAGAAUCUGAGCUCGUUGCCUCAUCAACGAACGACACCUUUUUGUUCCAUGCUCUCUUCAGCUCAAAAGGCUUGAUAUCCUGAUCAGAGAUUCUCUACACCAAAUGACUUAAGCUUUCAAACUCCUGAGACGCAUACUUGUCCCUGAUGUGUGGCAACAAACCCUAGAAAGCCAAAUCGGCUAGCUGCCGAUCAUCCAGAAUCAGGCUAUAGCAUUUGUUCUUGACCUCCCGUAUCCUCUGCACCAAACCUUCAAUCGAUUCAUCAUUGCGUUGCCUCAAUUUAACCAAAUCGGUGAUCUUCUUCUCAUGGACCCCAGAAAAGAAGUACUUGUGGAAUUGUUUCUCCAGAUUGGCCCAAGUAAUCACUAAGUUAGGAGGUAACGAUAUAAACCAGGUGAAAGCCGAUCCGAACAACGACGACGAGAAUAAGCGAACCCUUAACUCGUCCCUGUUACCAGCUUCCCCGCAUUGGAUGAUGAACCUGUUGACGUGCUCCAUGGUUGAUGUGUCAUCCUGCCCAGAAAACUUAGCAAAAUCCGGUACCUUGUACCGAUUUGGAAGUGGGAUCAAAUCAUAUGCGGGUGGAUACGGUGUCCGAUAAGAGUAAGUGUUGACUUUGGGUUUUAUCCCAAAUUGGUCCCUCAUCACUUCAGCAAUCUUAUCGGCCCAGUAAGCAUCGACAUCUUGCCGAUGAGGUGGUUGCGGAUCCGGCGCCUGCUGGUAAGCUUCCACGUGCCUGUGCGUCGCACGAUCUGCAUGAAACAUCAGGUUAAUCCUUUGGCCCCCAAUCUGUGGACCACCAAGCUGUUGCCCGCCAGUCUGCUGCCCGAAAUUCAUCGGCUGGUUGGGUGGUCCCUGAUUGUGGAACCCGCGGUAGAUCUGGCCUUGCUGGAACCCUGUAGCCUGAUGAUUCUAUUGGGGCGUUUGCAGAAAGACUUGCUGCCCAAGCCAUCCACUAUUUGCAUUCAUCGGCAUGGGUCCUGCCGAUGACUGGUAAUUGGGCAUUAUCAUUGAAUUGACAUGCCCUGGCUGAGUCAUAAACCUCUGUUGCAUCAGCAUCGAGUCCGCCGAUGCGUUAGGCAUCUGGAACAUCGGAGCUUGAGAACUCCCAGUAUAAGGUCUUGCAGUAGUAGUUGUAGUAUACUGGGGACUCUGGUUCAUUGGCAUAUUUGGAGGUGCCGAUGCCAUGGGAGCCUUGCCUCUCAUAUCGGUUGCCUGAGAUGUGCCAGGUGUCUUCAAGUAUUCCGGGGGCAUACCGUAACCCCACCAGUUGGGAGGAGAAACUGGUCCUGACAUUGCCGAUGCCAAUAGAUCUGUGGUGAGCUUGAUCUGCUCAUCUGAAGUCGGUGGAUUAGUUGUCAUCGGCGUAGAUUGUGCAUUAGUGACUCCCAAUGUACUUGGAGGAACGGUAGUUUGUGUUCCCGCAACGGCUGUAGCAGCCGAUGGGGCUGCGACCACCGGUGAUCCUGGUUGAUGAUGAGAGGGGCCCUCAUAAUCUAGUGGUAAUUGUCCUUCCUUGAAAGUUCUAGCCAUGGCGUUGAAAACUGUAUUGGACAGCACACCAGCUUGGUUGAUCAAAGCAAGGUUGAUAGCACUAUCAACCAUCUCUUGAAGUUUACCAGGAUUGGCUUCAAAAGUAACCUGCCGAGGAGCCGGCAGUGCAUCUUUCUAGAUCACUUCGCUACUCCUGUUCAUGCUGAAGGACCUCAGGCAUUGCUGCUUGUAAUCCUCCAUGGCUUUAGCAAUAGCUUGCUUCUGCUCAUCCUUGAGAUUGACCUCCGUCACGGGGAUGACGUUCUCCUGAUCAAACUCAGAAGUCGACAUGUUGAUCUUGAUCUUGAAUAGGUCCCAUCGAGCGUGCCAAAAGAUGUGUUGAUGCAAAAGCUGAUCUGCAAACACAAAGGCCUAAUACCCGAUUUAAACGUUAAGGCGUGCCAGCCGAUUUGACCUUACUAUCGGCAAAGGUGGUAACUCGAAUACUUUGGUCCCGACAAUAGCGAUGCGCCCGGAUGUCUCGGCCAAGAGGUAUUCACGCGGAACUUGAGAACACACUGAGCUUAAGUCGAUGAAUUCCUAAGAACUCAUAAUAAAAAGGAAAAAGUAUGACGAAGUCAUCGAAAAAGUAGAUGCUUGGAAUAUGAGUAAAACGUGUGUUUGAUUGAUUGAUAGAUGUCUGAUUACAAAGCACUAGGGUCUAUAUUUAUACCCUGCUCAAAGAACUACAACUAGACAUGACUAGAACUCAAAUUCCAAAUUAAACCAAAUCCGUAUACAAAACGAUUUAAAUAACUAAGGAAAACAUAAAACUAUCCCCCCCGUGACAAACUGGAACACCUCCACAAGCCGAUCAGCAACUUCCAAACUCUUCCCCCGCAUCAUCGGCAGACUGCCUUGUUGUAGCCAUCGACAUAAACACAUCAUCACCUAUGGACUUGGUCACGUUCAACCAUCCUUCCAUCGGCAACUCAUCCUGUAGAUCAAGUACUGUCGUCCUGUCCUGCCGACCUACACUUUACCAAUCAUGGACACGUGCCCAAAAACGGUGUCAAUAGGAACAGGCAACCGUCCUGUCGUUUCUUUUUGCAGCCUUCCCCACCAAAUAAGCCAGAACGUGGCAGGGCGCGCAGAAUGGGUCGGGACGUCAAAUCAAGACCUCCCUCGAGUCGCCCAAGGUCAGCGCUCUAGCUAGCAAGGCAUUAUGCGGCACCUGACGCUCGAGUAGGCAUGUUUCCUUCCUAGGGAAGGGUCGGGCGUCGAAUGACAGUACUUCAACCACUCUGACAUAGCUGCUACCGUGACGUACAAGCAUGCAACACAUAAGUCAGUCUAGGACGGCGCACAGGAUCAGGAUUCAUGGGCACGCGUAAUCAUCGUCAUGGCACCAAGAUGGGACGGCUCGAGGCCACGCCGGUACGGAGGCCUCGAGCAGGUCAACGCGCCAUACCUCUAUCGAUCCCUACUAUGUCGCCUAUACAUGUACCCUAGACCUAUCCUUGGAACUAUAAAAGGGGAGGUCCGGGAGCGACAACAGAGAGGCGACACAACACGAGUCAUACGUGUAGAGCAACCUCACUCCGCCUCAGUUCUUACCACUCUUGUAUUCACCCCUGUACAAGCACUUAGGUGCAGAAUAAUACAAACACUUCCCCCCCACUGGACGUAGGGCCUUCUCUUGCCCGAACCAGGAUAAAUCCUUGUGUCUUUCUGCAUCACCAUCUGGAAAAGGGAGCACGCAUACAAGUUUUACUCGUUGGUGUGACCCCCCGGGGGGAAAACACCGACAACUAGUAAACAUUUGUCCUUGUGUGGAACUUCCGUCGAGGGCGUUAUUUAUUCUUAUUAUCACUUUUGUAUAAGACUAUGUAAUUUAUUAUCAUUUUCGUUAUGUAACAAACACUGCAAUGGUAUAUUUGAGAUUUGUCUACUUAUGUGUCUAACUGUUUCGGGGGCACAUAUGUGUCUUUUAUGCAUCCUAUUUUGUUCUUAAAAUAUAGUUAUGAUAAAUUGGUAUCAAAGCUUUGUUGACUGUCGCACGCAAGCCUAGUUAGAAAUUGGUCGUCUUAAGGUUUUGAAAUUGCUAUAAAAUCCUUGUUCUAUAAACCUUGAUAUUUUCCUCUACACUAUAUUCUUACCAUCACUUAUUCCACAAUACCGGUUCUGCCUGUCCUAUCAACGGAGGGUGGACUAUAUAAGAAUCAACGAAGCUGUCACUAUCGCGAACUACCACACAACCCGGCCAAUAGGAUACAUUUGCAGAUAAAUAACAUCUAAGCACCACGCUCACAUGUGAUCUAUCACCUAACUCCCUCGCGUCAAGAGCUAAGCGCUUUGCAAACUUAUACAUAAACUCAUUAUCAAUCAGAACUAUAUCAAAUAUAGAACUAGAGCAAACUAAGAACAUAAUAAUUAGAGACAUAAUGCAAUUAGAACAAAGAAUUAGAGAAAGAUAUGAAUAAUACCAAUCUUUAUUACCGAAGAUCCGAAUCCAGAGCGUAGUGCUCUACUUCUCUAAUUGCUAUCUAAUCAAACCUCUAAACUUGAAGGAUUAGGGAGUAGCUAAUUCUAAUUCUCUGUGGGAGAGAAGCUCUAAACUCUAACUUUGAUGGCUACCUCUGAAUAAUGAUUUCUUCUCUUCUCCUCUCUCCCCAGGGGGCCAGGGGGUCUGGUUUUAUAGUCCCCUCAAGUGAACGCGAGCCGUCGGAUCAAACCGACAUUGAUUGUGUGGUUUAGAUUGAUCCUUUAGGUCGGUGGAGCAUAGCCCCAAAGCAGAGUCCUAAUCCAACUCCUGGCCAGGGCGGGCGCCCAAGGGGGUUGGGCGGGCGCCCUGCCCUCGAGCCCGAUCGUGCUCUCAUUCGUUCCCGUGGCUUCUGGACUCUUCUAGAUUGAAGAAAAUUGCGCGGCACGUAAUUAUCUCAUUGUAAACAUGACAUGUGGGCCUUCUCUCCAUAUUCUCUGAUAACCCCCUGCAGAAAUAGAUAAACACCAAAGCUCGUGGAAUUCUGUCAGAUAAAACCCUAAUUCUAGAUGUUUGUUUCAUAUUGAUCCUUUUUCAUGUUUAUUUGAUUAUUAAUUUUAGUACUUAAGGACCGUCAACAAACUCUCCCAAGAUUACCCUUUGCUCGUCCCUGAGCAAACAGCUAAACUCGGAUGAAUCAGAAGUUGCUUCGAUGUUUUCUUUCCUGACAGGCACACAUGCUUUUACAUAAAAUUCUUCCAGAUUAGAGUGAAGUGUUAUGGAGUUUAGUACCUGCACUUAAUUCUUAAGUAAUUGAAAGACAAAAUAAUUAAGUCAAGCACUAUUUCUCCUGUCUAUACUUCACCUUUGUUCCAGAGUUUUUCAUAAGUUUUCAAAAUAAAACUCAGAGUUCCCAGCAAUGAUUCUCUCAAGUCUCUCUAUAUGUGGUAUUUGUGGAUCCUUACCAUAAUGUCACUUACCUAUAGCUAAUGGAAUAUUUAAGUGGAGCUCAUAGGAGUGAAAACAGCUCAUACAUAUGUUGUCUAAUCGAGCUAUGGAUCCAAAGGAACUCAGCAUAUAAUUAAAUCAAGAUGUGCAUGUGUGGUGGAGUAAAUGAUAGUGAUGGUAAAAAUGUAUAAGUAAUAAUAAAACUUGGUUCUCAUUGCUCCUCAUAUUGCUAUCUCUCCUCCUCUUUGAUCUUAGCUUUGGGAGAACAUGGGCUAUCUUUUUCUCUUUUUCUUCUUUCUCUUUUUUUUCAGGUGGGUAGUGGAUACCCCUAAUUCUACUAUCGGACUCUUGUCCAUUUUUUUCCGCUCAAGUGGGCGUCUUUGUACCCCUAAUUCUACUUUGGACACUUGUCCAUUUUUACCUCUCGUCUCACUCUUUUUCUUUUCUUUUUCGAGGUUCCGGGCACUUGCCCCUUUUUAUUUCCUCGCAUAUUUUUGCAUAACCCAUGCCUCUUCUGCAUUAAAUCUUUUUAGAGAGAGAGAAUAACAAUAUUGGGACAGUGAGUGAUAAUAUUUUUAGCAAUUUUAAUGAAUGGUGAUGGAUGGUGUAGUGGAUGUGUGCAAGUGAAUAUCUUAAUUUAAUCACAUGAAAAGCUCCUAAGGGUCUACACAGCUCGAUCAAACUCAAUGUAAAUAUAGUAAAAGAUGUUAUAGCAAGUAUGGCUGUGGUAGGUAGUUUGUUAUGCUAGAAACUCAUCAUGUGAUUUGUAAGUUUCCAUAAUAAAUCUCCAGAACUUAGUGUAGUAGGAACAAGAUAAACAGUAGCUCAACUUUAUAUUAUGCCUUUCUCUUACCUAGACUUUAGUUUUAUGCUUCCCAUAGAUAGUAAAUUCAGUUUUAGUAAUUCCUGGAAGAACUCUAAUAUAAAAGCUAGGUACUUGAAAGUAAGGAAACAGAGCAACCAUUCAUCAUUUCCAUCAUGCAUCUUUUUGGUCUUUUAUUUAUUUUUUUUCAGAGAUUAAACUUAGUAGGAAAAUAAAGCACACUUAUCUACAUACUCUUUUUAUUUUGUUUUCAUGUUUAUAGAAUGUAGUAAAUUAAAGCAAGAAAAUAUUUAUUGGGUUUUCUAAGUUUUUUUCUCUCUAAGAUAAAUAAAACACUAAAAUAGAAAAGGAUAAAUAAGAAGAGCAAAUAAAAACUUACUUGAUAAAUUGGGGAGGAACUUCCCCAAACUGGAUGUUGAUGUCGGCCUUACCCGAGGUUCCAGAACCGCAUCAUGGUUGUGAUGUUGUUGUUCAUUGUUGUUGUAUCUUGUCUCAGUUCUUGUACUGCAGCGGCAUGGUCCUGGUUCCAUUUUUGUUGCUCUUCUAGGAGUCGUCCAUGUUCUGCUUGCAUGUUCUGGAUGUCGAGGAGAGUGUUCUCGGUACGAGUGAAGAAAGCACCGGCCUCUUGAUAGUAGUCAUUCGUGAAAGCGUAGGAGGCGUCGGAGUAUCGUCCUGCAUCAAAUUGGGGUGGAGGUCUGGAUCCUGAAGCUCCAUAUGGAUCAGUGGAGUACCUGCCCGUAUGGAAAGGCGGGUUUGUCCACUGGUGGUCUUGGCUCUCCGGCCAUGUCUCCUCUAUUGGCUCUUAUGGUUGCGCAUGUCGAACCCAUGGGUCUCGAAGGACUCAGGGGUUGUAAUCGCAAUAAUGCAGGUGCGCUGCUUCUUCUGGUCCAGGAUCAGCUCCAUACCAGGUGCGUUCUCGAUGUGUGGUCAUCCUUUCAGAUGCCACUCGCUGUGGAGCUCUCUGGUUCAAUGGUGUUGCUGCAAUCUCAAUCAAAAAGUUUUGAACAACGUUGAGGCCAAGGUUCGGGUUAGGUAACCGAAUCUUGCCUUUAUCAUCAUAUAGCAAAUAUAUUAUAUUCCCCUCUUUCUUUAACAUCCGAGUCUGUCUAAAUGUGUCAUAGCCAUGAUAAAUUCUUAACUCAUCUAUGAAGUCCAACGAUGAGUUUUCUAGUAAGUGAAGAUUAAAGGCUAGACUAGUGAUAAGUGAAGUACAUCCUACUGGUCCCUGAAGACUAGGUACACUAAGCCAAUGAGAAACUAAUAGUGUAACAGGUGAAGUGGGUACUUUACUAAUAGCAGCAUAUAAAAGUUGUAAAUCUCCUACUCUUACUUUCCUAAUAUCAUCGCGAUAGAAAAGAUUGUACCCAAGCCAUUUGUGGAACAUCCUAAGAGUGGGGUGUUCCAUGUCACUGGUUCGGGCUUGACUAUAAAAAUUAUCUCUAGAUAUUUCUCUCCAAAACUAGUGUCUCUCAAAGUUGGGUAAAUCGGAGUCAAUGUUCAAGAUGCAUCUUGAAGAGAAACCAAGAUGGUCGCUCACCUCUCUCCAAGACAACAUAAUCUCCUGUUUGAACAUCCGAAAAACAAUUCCCCCCUCAUAGUAUUGUAAAGUGCAAAGAAAUUCGAGGGUGAGAAGAUGAGAACCCAGCUCAGUUAUAUUCCAAAAAUUUGUCCAACCUAUCAUCUGAAAAAUUAAGUCAAAUUCAGUGUCCAUACCUGUUUCUUGUAGUAAGAUUGGAUCGAGAGUAGGGGUGUGAAUGAAAUCUUUGUCCUUCAGUUGCUGAUAGACUUCCUUCUCCCUUCGGGUCUUCAGUCCUAGGUCUCCUAUAUUGAGAAGGACCUUAACUUGCUGACCUGAUGAAGAUGAUGGAGCUUGUGUGGGUGUCGGGUCGACGCUCAUCUCUGAUGGGUGUGAGGAGUGUCGGGAUGAACUCCUUGUUCCAAUGUUCUUGAGAGCCUUCCUUGCAUUCUUCACCUUCUUAAACAUCCUGCAAACAAAAGUUGGCAAAAACACAACUAGUGGAAAAUGUGAGAGAAAAUGUUAGUGGUCAGCUGUCCGGAAUGUCAGUAGUCCAGGGGUUAAACGUUCAAGACAAAUUUCUAUUUUGGUAGAGCCUCUCCCCCUAAACAACUUUUACUUUCGUUUGGACAACUACUUACUAGGUGAUACUCACUCUCUCACUCAAAAGAACUACCAACCUUCUCACACUCAGAGCUAUUCUCUGGAAACUGAGCUUGCAAGGUUUUCUGAAAUGUGUGUGUGAAGAGAAGGGAAGCUGGAGGUGGCCUUUUAUAAGCUGAGCAGGGGACAGGGCGGGCGCCCUUGGUAGGUGGGCGGGCGCCCACUUGUGAUGCCCAUCCUGGGUGUGCCUCCUCCACUUGCUUCCUUGCUUUGAUCUCACGCAGAAUAAUGUUGUGUUGGUGGUGGUUGGACGGUGGAAAGAUGUCAGGUGAGUGGAAACAUAUUGGUGGAUGAAAUUAUGUGAUGGGAUGUAUGUGAGGUGAAGUGUAUGACAUGUGGGACCCAAGGAGUGUGGGUCAUGCUUCUAGAAGAUUAAUAUAAUUAAAUAUAAUGCAGGAAAAUCUAUGAGAAUUAAAACUUAUUUAAAACGAUUAUGGAAAAUAUUUUUGUGCCUCCACAAUAAUUAAUAAAUAUGGGUUGUUACACACCAUGAAUAUUAUUUAUAUGGGGUUUUUUAUUAUUAUAAUAAUGCUAUGAAUAUAUAUGACUAAUGCAAGAAUUAACUAUGCAAGAAUUUAAGUAUGAGAAAAUUAAUAAUGCACAUAAAUAACGAUUUACCUUCCGGUGAGGGUUUGGGAUUUUUUUUAGGUCCCCCAAGCUGGACCUCCAAAUCUUUUAAUCUUCUGAAUUACCUUCCUCCGGAGAUGGUGUCUCCAGUGGUUCUUCAUGAACUUCCUUUACUGUAGAGUCUCUCUCUGGUCUGGGUUUGAAUGUGAAGUGUUCUUCUUGUCCGUUUAUGUUGAACUUGAUUUCUCCUUUCCCGACAUCAAUGUGGGCAUUGGCAGUGCUCAGAAAUGGCCUUCCAAGGAUGAUGGACACUUUUGAGUCAGGGCUCAUGUCCAAUACUACGAAGUCUACUGGCACCAGGAAAUCUCUGAUCUUGACUGGAAUGUUCUCGGCGAUGCCCAACGGGUGUCGAACCGAUUGAUCCGCUAGUUGUAAGCACAUUGAUGUUGGUUCUAGGGUCGCAUGCUCAAGCUUCUUGUAGACUGAUGCUGGCAUCACACUGACACUUGCUCUGAGAUCACAAAGUGCAUUGUUAAAGUGUUGGUUUCCGAUCGAGCAGUCAAUAGUGGGACAUCCGGGAUCUUCCUUCUUCUUUGGUGGUUUGUUGAGGAUGGCCGCACUACGUUCUUCUGUCAGCUUGAUAACCUCAGUGGUGGGCAGUGGUCUCUUCUUGUUAAGAAUAUCUCUGAUGUACUUUGCAUAUGUAGGUACCUGUAUGGCAUCGAGCAGAGGUAUGUUGACAUAUAAUUUCUGAAUGACCUCUACAAACUUACCAAACUGCUCAUCCGACUGCAGUCCUCUGUUUCUUCUGGGAAAUGGCAAAUAGUUGGUGUCGUAAAAAUCUUUCCUCAUUUCUCCAGUUCUUGGUGGUUGUAGCAGAUCUUCUGCUUCAACUGGGCUUUCUUCUUCUAUCACUGCUGGUUGCACUGGUGCUGAUGUUCUUUGUUUCUCUUUUGGGUAUGGGGGAUCUCUGGUAGCUUUGCCUCCUCUAGUAGUUAUAUUCUUUACCUGCUCAAUGUUAGUAGCAACAGGCAGUGCCACAGCUAUCUUUAUUAAUUUAAGCUCUACCCUUUUAUUAAGAGUGUUUUGCUCAUCAAAGGCAGUUAGUAGAAAAUCCAUUUUAUUGUGUAUAUCUUUUAGAGAUGAUUCAUUUGUAUCUAGCCUUUGUUUAACUUCAUCAUUAAUUUUGGUUUGUUGAGCAAUUAUCUCUUUUAAUGAAAGUUGCUUGAAAGUAUUACCUGAAUUCAUACCUUUGCUAUUGGGUUGACUCGAAGUUGGUUGAUAUUUGUAUGCUGUCUCUAUGGCCCUUUUAUCUUCUUUGAACUUGGCCCUCUGGUCAAUCCAAUGGAGCCAAUUUUCCAUCUUAGUUGAUAAUGCAUUUACUUCUUCUGAUAUUUCUUCAGUUUGAUGACAUUGUUGAGCUUUAUCUUGGAACCAGCUUUGGUUUUCUGCUAUCUUAUCCAAAAGUAUCUCUGCUUUUCCAAUUGUAAGCUCCAAGAAUGAUCCUUUAGCAGAUGCAUCUAGGCACUCACGAGCCUUCUGGGUUAAUCCAUGGUAGAAGGUCUGCAUAAGUAACCAUGUGGCCAUUCCAUGGUGAGGUCAGUUUGAUAUGUAUCCUUGAAAACGCUCCCAUGCUUCUGAAAUGGCUUCUGUCUUCUGUUGUUGGAAACUGACAAUAUUUCCUCUUAAGGCAGUUGUUUUGCCUAUAGGGAAAAACUUUGAUAGAAAGGCAUCUGACAAGUUCGUCCAGUUGUUGAUGUUAUCUUGAUGAGUGUAGAACCACUUCCUCGCUUUUCCUUCUAGUGAGAAUGGAAAAAGGCGAAGCAGUAUGACGUCUUUGUCAACUCCGUUGAUGUGGAUUGUGCUUCCAAUCUCUAAGAAAUUCUGCAAGUGUGCACUAGCAUCUUCAUGUACCUUUCCACUGAAUUGUGUAGCUUGCACCAAAUUGAUGAGGCUUGACUUGAGCUCAAACUCGGGUACUCCUACUGCAAAUCUUGGACCAGUUGGAAUGUUCUCAAGGCUUGGAGCAGAGAAUUCUUGUAAGGUCUUCUGUGCCAUAGCUUCAGCAAUUGGUAGCUAGCUUCUUCCUUUCUUGAUUGCUUUGGUUCUGAUGAUGAAGAGUUGAAUGUACCCAAAGUCAAUCCUGAUAUACCCUAUAUAAAAUAUAAACAUAGAAAAACAACAGGGUGAACCUGCCAAAGCACAGGUGCCUUGUUAUGAUUUCUCACUUAGUAGCUGUUUUUAUGCAAUUAUUUCUCUAUAGUCUAGUCUAAUAUUUUAUAUGAAUAACCUUGAUUGAUUUUCUGGCUUUCCUAAGUAUUACCCUUCUGUUCCCCUUUAUGACUUAUUCAUGAGACUCCCCGGCAACGGCGCCAGAAACGCUUGUUGACACUAGCUAACACCACUUAGAUACUAGGUUGUCAUCCCCAGCAUGGUGCCAGAGUGUACAAAGGUAUUUAUAAAUGUAAAGGCUCUUUAGAAAAUAAUCUAUUCUAUCCGCAAGCGCACAGAUAAAACACCUCAUUGUAGCAUUUCACCAGGAUAAGUAUUCUAGGUAUCGUUAUUUUUAAUUUUGCUCAAGAGAUCUAAGGAGAUUAAAUUAAGGGCAAAAUCUGUCAAGGCAUAGACUAGAGAUAAACUUGCAAGAACAUGAUUACUAAUGAGAAACUCGUCACACAGUCACUUACUUUAGCAGGGGGUAAACCAUAAAGAUAAUGAUAAUGAAUUAUAAGUUCAUGGGAUAAAUAACACAGCGAUUAGAAAAUAGACUACUCCUCAUAUAUGUAGGUGAUGUCGGAUUAGCUAGAGAAUGGAUUCUAAGUUAUCUACUAACUACUAAGUCAUAAUCUACUCUAGUUAUCUACAAGAUCAUAUAUAGCAUAAAAGACUCUUCAUUCAUGUAUAAGGAACAUUGAUAAAGUAAAUCAGAGCAUCGCAUGACUUACUCCACAAUACCGAUUCUGCCUGUCCUAUCAACGGAGGGUGGACUAUAUAAGAAUCAACGAAGCUGUCACUAUCGCGAACUACCACACAACCCGGCCAAUAGGAUACAUUUGCAGAUAAAUAACAUCUAAGCACCACGCUCACAUGUGAUCUAUCACCUAACUCCCUCGCGUCAAGAGCUAAGCGCUUUGCAAACUUAUACAUAAACUCAUUAUCAAUUAGAACUAUAUCAAAUAUAGAACUAGAGCAAACUAAGAACAUAAUAAUUAGAGACAUAAUGCAAUUAGAACAAAGAAUUAGAGAAAGAUAUGAAUAAUACCAAUCUUUAUUACCGAAGAUCCGAAUCUAGAGCGUAGUGCUCUACUUCUCUAAUUGCUAUCUAAUCAAACCUCUAAACUUGAAGGAUUAGGGAGUAGCUAAUUCUAAUUCUCUGUGGCAGAGAAGCUCUAAACCCUAACUUUGAUGGCUACCUCUGAAUAAUGAUUUCUUCUCUUCUCCUCUCUCCCCAGGGGGCCAGGGGGUCUGGUUUUAUAAUCCCCUCAAGUGAACGUGAGCCGUCGGAUCAAACCAACAUUGAUUGUGUGGUUUAGAUUGAUCCUUUAGGUCGGUGGAGUUUAGCCCCGAAGCAGAGUCCUGAUCCAACUCCUGGCCAGGGCGGGCGCCCUGCCCCCCGAGCCCAAUCGUGCUCUCGUUCGUUCCCGUGGCUUCUGGACUCUUCUAGAUUGAAGAAAAUUGCGCGGCACGUAAUUAUCUCGUUGUAAACAUGACAUGUGGGCCUUCUCUCCAUAUUCUCUGAUAACCCCCUGCAGAAAUAGAUAAACACCAAAGCUCGUGGAAUUCUGUCAGAUAAAACCCUAAUUCUAGAUGUUUGUUUCAUAUUGAUCCUUUUUCAUGUUUAUUUGAUUAUUAAUUUUAGUACUUAAGGACCGUCAACAAAGGCAUAAGGAUUAAUGAACUAAAUAGUUGGGUUUGGUUAAAAUUUCUGUUUCUGCCUUUGCUGAUUUCUGGAGCAGUCUGCAAUAAAUCUGGUACGUCUCAAAAUCUGUUCGUGCAAAGUCCGUCAAAUUUUUUUGGGAACAAGUAGACUUUUAUAUCGUUCCAAUGCCGCAAGAAUGACAAUAUUAUCUGUUAUGAGCUGUGAGUUAUGGCUGCUCAAAUUUGAGGUUUCUGUGCAGUUUGGAAUUCUGGAACAGUUUCAGUUGUACCCAGUUUUUGAUUAAUUUAACUAUGGAAUCUGUUAAUGUGACCUAAAUAAAAGUUGUAGAUAAUUUCUUUAUAUUUUAACGGUGUGCAGAAUGUAUCCUUUUGGAUUCUUGAACUCGAGAUAUGACUAAUUUUCUGAACUGCUGAUGUUGGAUGUUAUCCAAAAAAAUUCCAGAUUUCAUUACCUCUUGAAAUUGCCAUGUGGGAUGUUACUAAGACAUGAUUCUAUACCUUGAAAUGCAGAUGGUAGCAAGGGGAAGAGGCAGAGGCAGAGGUCAUGGCAUGGGUGCCAAUGUUCCAAUUACUGUCGAAGAGCUCAUGCAAACUCAGAACGAGAUGAUGCACGUUUUCAUGUAGCACCUACAGCAGCAACCUCCACCACCACCACCACCACCUGUUCAUGUGAGAGAUAAGCGUGGCGAAUUUAUGAAGGGAAGACCUCUAGUAUUUACACACUCAGCUGAUCCUAUGGAGGCAGAUGAUUUGCUACGUGCUGUGGAGAGGCAAUUGAACAUAGCACAGUGCAAUGAUAUGUUAAAGGUGUUGUAUGCUUCUGGACAACUUCAGGGAGCAACUCAGACCUGGUGGGAGUCAUAUCAAACUGCUCGUCCCAACAGUGCUCCUCCUAUCACUUGGUUGGAAUUCACUUGGCUGGUAUUUUGCAGAGAUUUCAGAGCACGACAUAUCAAUGAGGGAAUGAUGGAGCUCAAGCAGGAAGAAUUCAGAUCUCUCAGAAUGGGUUCCAUGACUGUGGCUGAGUAUCAUGAUACAUUUGAGCAGUUGGCCUGCUAUGCCCCAAAUGAAGUCAGGGAAGAUGCUGAUAAGCAGCGUCUCUUCAUGAAAGGUCUUCACUAUGAACUCAGGUUGCAACUGGCUGGAAAUACCUAUCCUACCUUCAAGGCUCUGGUGAAUCGUGCUAUUAUGUUGGAUAACAUGCGCAAAGGCCAGGACAAGAAGAGAAGGAUGCUAGCACAAUGUCCUGGUAGCAAUAACCGCCAGCAUUUCAUUUCUCAGCAGAGCGAUCAACAGAGGUUCCAGGGAGGAGAUAAUGCAAACUCAGAACGAGAUGAUGCAAGCUUUCAUGCAGCACCUUCAGCAUCAACCUCCACCACCACCACCACCACCACCUGUUCAUGUGAGAGAUAAGCGUGGCGAAUUUAUGAAGCGAAGACCUCCAGUAUUUACACACUCAGCUGAUCCUAUGGAGGCAGAUGAUUGGCUUUGUACUAUAGAGACAACUGAACAUAGCACAGUGCAAUGACAUGGAGAAGGUGUUGUAUGCUUCUGGACAACUUCAGGGAGCAGCUCAGACCUAGUGGGAGUCAUAUCAAGCUGCUCGUCCCAACAAUGCUCCUCCUGUCACUUGGCUAGAAUUCUGCAGAGAUUUUUGAGCAUGACACAUCAAUGAGGGAAUGAUGGAGCUCAAGCAGGAAGAAUUCAGAUCUCGGGAUAGGCUCUAUGACUGUGGCAGAGUAUCAUGACACGUUUGAGCAGUUGGCCCGCUAUGCCCCUAAUGAUGUCACGGAAGAUGCUGAUAAGCAGCGUCUGUUCAUGAAAGGUCUAUACUAUGAACUCAGGUUGCAGUUGGCUGCAAAUACCUAUCCUACCUUCCAGGCUCUUGUGAAUCAUGCCAUUGUGCUUGAUAAUAUGCAUAAAGGUCAGGAUAAGAAGAGAAGGAUGCUAGCACAGGGUUCUGGCAGUAAUAACCACCAGCGUUUCAAUUCUCAGCAAAGCUUUCAACAGAGGUUCUAGGGACCGGUUAGUCAGUGGAACCGCAACCAGCAACCUCAGCGUUCCCAGAACCAAUCACAGUGUGGAAAUCAGCGUCCUCCAAUCCAUCAGCGUAAUCCUAAUCAAUAGCAGAAUGGUCAGCAGACACCCCGCUUAGGAAAUUGAAAUGCCACCCCCAUGAAGAAAAGUGCUCCUAAUACCCCUACGAGGUGUUUCCGCUGUGGGAAGGAAGGACAUAUGUCUUAUGAUUGCCCAGAGAAGUUCAACAAGCAGAACAGCAAUCAGAAGGCUACUUCUUAUGCGGCAACGAUGAACAAUGUGGCUGUAGAGACAGCUCAAGAGGGACCAUAGAUUAUGAUGGGUACGUUCAACAUCAACUCUAUCCCCGCUACAGUUUUAUUUGAUUCUGGAGCUUCACAUACAUUUAUUUCAUAUGCAUUUGUUAGAGUUCAUAGCAUUCCACUAGUUGCCAUGAAAACCCCUAUGCUAGUACAUUCACCAAGUGGGACUAUACCAGUUUUUUAUUGUUGCCCCUCAGCAAGUCUUUCUUUAAGGGGAGUAGAGUUUCCUAUCAGACCCAUGGUUAUGAGAACUUCAGGCAUAGAUGUGAUCUUGGGUUUGGAUUGGACGAAGAAGUAUACCACAAAAAUUAAGUGCAAAGAGAAAAUGGUAGUUCUGACAACACCAAAAAGGGAGCGGAUUAGUGUUGAUGUAGCAGUACAGGCAGCACCCACAGCUACAGUGAACCAACUAGAUGAUGAUGUUGAUCCUCAGGACGUGGUAGUGAAUGAGUUACCGGAUGUUUUUCCAGAUGAAUUGCCAGGUAUGCCACCUGACCGAGACAUUGAAUUUAUUAUUGAAUUACUACCUGGUACUGCACCUAUAGCUAAAAGACCAUAUAGAAUGGGGGUUAAUGAGUUAGAAGAAAUUAAGAAACAAAUAAAGGAAUUGCAAGAUAAAGGGUUCAUUCGUCCUAGUUCUUCACCAUGGGGUGCACUAGUUAUUUUUGUUGAUAAGAAGGAUGGUAGUCAAAGGAUGUGUGUUGAUUAUCUGUAACACUCCUAGUGUUAGCUUGCAUGUCAAUCAUGAGCAUUGCAUCAACAUAAGCAUCAUCAUGCUCAUUCAUAAGAAUCCAUCAUGAUCACAUGUCAUCUUAUGUAUACCAUGUAUGAUUGAAUUGCUUGUGUGACUUGAUAUGAGUGAUAGUAAUGGGUGACCAAUGCAAAUAAGUGUACAUUGUCUUCCAAAAUACUUUAAUGAUGUUUAGAAUAACAUUUUGAACAAAGUUUAUAUUGGAGGUUUUGCCCAAAAAUGCCCCCAAGUCAUGGUUAGCCCUAGGUUGACCUAGUUGACCCCCUAGACCUCUUUUCAAAGAUGUUUUAUGAAACUGGUGUUAGAGACCUUGCAUGUAAAGGACAUCUAAAACAAAGUUGUAGUAAAUUUCAUAAGCUACAAAAGUUAUGAUGAUUACUUCUUAUGAAAAUUCUUGGAACCAGACCAAAAGUGGCCCACAAGCCAGAAAAUCAGUGCUGUUUCCACACUUAGCCGAAUUUGGCUAAGUGUGGAAUUCGGCAGUUUCGACAUAGGGUUCUUGGGAGCCUUGUAGUUUGAAAUCCAGGCUGAGUUAGAAUUCAAUUAUGAAAACUGUAGAUCUCGUGUAGCUCUACCCAAUGGAGCAAAUCUGAGCCAAAACCAUCGAGGGAAUCGCGAGUAAAACGUUGGCAAAGAUCGAGCUUCAGUCACUGGCCAUGGUGACUGAAUCGCCCGAUUCAAUUGGGACAGAACUCGCCCGCCGCCACGUGUCCAGCCACCUGUUGUCCAUACGCCGUCGAUGGCCCCUCCUGUCAGCUCCAACGACGUCCACAAGUCGCCACACACCGAGUGGACGCCUCAGACGCGCCAUUCACCCCUCCAGUGCUCCACAUUGCGCCCACCUUCGUCCUCGACGAGCUCCACCGUGCUUCGGCGAGCUUUCCCGGCCGCUCCACCGCGUCUCCGGCCAAGCCAGCCCGCCCAGAGCUCCACCUUGAUGUCCUCUACCUCGACGUCCACUUCUUUCCCUUAGCCGAGCACUGGUGAGGCCGCAUUGCCAACUCCGUCGCGAGCUCCACCUCGCUGGAGUUCGCAGAGAUCACCGACGACGUGGCCAGACCUCUCUGGUUCACCUCUGGCCGUGAUUCUUCUUCCUAUAGCUUCGCCUUCCUUCACUCUUGCUUGUCUGCAACCUCUACCGCGUCGCCGUUGCCUAGGUUCGCCGGCGUAACGCCGCGCAGCACCGCCGCUCCGCCAUUCGCGACGGCGAGCACCUUAGAGGCCAGUAGAGCGCGAGUAAAGUAGGUCAACGAGUUCGCCAUGAGGAGAGGAACACGUAGAUGCCCUCGGUUUCUCCGGAGACCUCGCCGUCGUCGAGUUCCGCCGGCGACGAGCCCUCCCCUAUCUUUGUCCCUCUGUCACGUGGGUCCCGUCUGUCAGCAGACCCCACCUGUCAGCCUCUCUCUCUCACACCUCUAGUUCACUGUUUAGUAGAUCCUGUGUUGUUUUUGAAAAAUUCAUAACUCGAGUUAUACAGAUCCAAAUGAAGUGAUUUUAAUUUUGCUAGAUUCCUGUGUUAAUCUAGUUUUUAUUAAAAAUAUAAAAUAUGCCAUGUUUUUGCAAAAAUAAAUAGAUAUAAUUUAAUCUUGAUUAAAUAGGAGGUAAUUAUAUCUUGAGAUCUGUGAAUCUGAUGGCCAUGAAAAUUUAGGAUGUUGUUACUUAUGACAUGAGUAGGUCUGAUAAAAUUAUCAUGAUUUUUGAAUAACUGUUAGUGAAGUUAUAAAUGUUUCUUGUUUAAAUAGGGGUUUCUUGUGGCAUUUUUAGUAAAUAGAUUAUAACUCCUUUUAUGGUGAAACUUGCUGAGUGAUGUAAUCAUGUGUAAACAAAGCUAAGAAAAAUUUGAAAUCUAUUGUUCGACACUUUUGGAUAGGGUUUCACAUUUAUGCCUUUCAUGCUAUUGCUAGCUUGUUAUUUUUGUAUCUCACAAUCUGCAUGUGCAAGUGCCCUGAAAAUGUUACAGUGAACUGGUGGUAGUCUAAAUAGCUUGCUGUAAUGUUCUUAGAAUUUUUGGAGCACUUGUGAUAUAUGCUCAUUAAAUCAUCUUAAUAAUUAAAUAAAUAAAAAAAGGUGAUGAUAGAAAUGAGUUUAACCCUUACCAUGAUGUUUUCUGGUGUUUCUUAGACAUGUUCCAUCUACUAGUGCAUUUGGUUUGAACCAAUGUGACAUUCUAAGUAUGUGUUAAAUAUUAUUUUGCUAAUUAUGUCUUUCCUAGAGCAUUUCUGUGCAGCUGAUAGCAAUUGGUUAAGAACAACUUGGAGAUGAAGUUUUCUGGAAAACUUGUCUAUAACAAAUUUUUAGCUAACUUACUUAUCUACCUUGUGUCCAAAUUUCAUGAAAUUUGGCUGAGUAGUUUAAGAGUUGUGGCUGUUGCAAGUAGCUGCUACGAACUACUUGUUCUCUGGAUUUUCCAGGACAGCCAGCACACUUUGCCUGUUUCAACUUAUUUUCGUUAGGAAUCUUCCUAGGAUGUCUGAAAGUGAAUUGUAGACAAUUUGUUAGGCUUUCCAGAAAGUAUCUACUUGCUUAGUUUGGACAACGGAUGCUUAAGUUAUAGCUGAAUCUUGUGACUAGUUAAUCUGUCCAUGAAACCAGUGACUAAGUAGGAGUAGCUAAGGUUGAUUAGCUUGUCUAGUUAUCCUCUCUACCAGAGAAGAAGUAUGCACUUACUUGUUAAUCUGUGACUCACUUAAUUUUAGGAACUUGUACUCCUAUUUAUACCUUGCUAUGUGUUCCUUGGCUCAGCAUCUUGACAUGUUGCAUCCUAUGUGCAUUCCCUAUGUUUAUCGCCUUGUCAUGCAUACAUAGGUGUACCCAAAGGAGUGACGGUCUUGGAGUUCGAACUGCCCGAGCCGGAGGAACAGCAAGGGGAGCCACCUCAAGGAGCUGAGGAGGAGGAGGAGGAUCUACCGGAGUGUCCUGACCACCGUCCCUCUACUUACGUUGAAGGCAAGCCGCGGAGCAUUAUAAGCCUCCUACUAUUUUUGUUACCAUGUCCAGCUAUCAAUUGACUAUGGUUAUGUAUUGUUGCAUUAAGUGUUAGGCGUUGAUAUGACACCCUUGCUGCAUAAUGACUACCUUGUCCACCUUAUACCUUGCCGAAGUAGGUCCAGGAUCGAAAUGAUGCUUAGCCAUGCUUAGCUCAGUAGAAGCCGGGUGAUUUCCUGUCACCUGCGAGAGAUAGGUGGAUACUGAAUCACGGUUGCCUAUAUUGCUAUCGUGGAAAUAACAAUGUGCUAAUAAUGAAUUUGAGACCGGGCGGGAUGAUGAUAGUGCAGCAACAAGGCAUAGAGGUCUUAGGUGUGAACCUAUCCCCGUCUGUGUCGGUUAAAGACCGAUUCGCUGUACGUCCUCGUGUUAUGUUGAACGCAUGCCUAACACUUAGCUGGCCGGAUAAGUCGUUCUGACCGUGAAGCCUACGAGUGCAUCUCCGGCCGGAUACCCCGAUCUGGUUAAAGUGCGCACCCCGGUUGGUAGCAAGGAUGUGCGGGGAGUCAAUGGCGUAAGAACGAGGUGUCAGGUUAGAGUCCUGACCCUGGCAGAUUGGCGGUCCCUGGGGGUGCGGCGCCGUACGGACCCACGACUUGGUCCAGAGUUGUGCUAAAGGUGACUGUCACACCCAUAUUUUAAGAACAAAAUAGGAUGCAUAAAAGACUCAUAUGUGCCCCAGAAACAGUCGCACACAUAAGUAGACAAAUCUCAAAUGUACCAUUGCAGUGUUUAUUACAUAGCGGAACAUAAUAAAUCACAUAGUCUUACACAAAAAUAAUAGCAUAAAGUAAACAACGCUCUCGACAGAAGCUCCACACAGGGACACUGUUGACUGGUUGACUCCAAACCUAAUACUCAUAGCGAUAGUCCUCAUUCCAAUCAUCAUCAUUAGCAUAACCUGGGGUGUUGGGAAAUUACAAGAGUGAGCACAUAUCGUACUCAAUAAGUAUAACCAGAGGUUCAUGAGGCUCAAAAAGCUGACACUGGUUUGACUGCAAUUAGCUUUUAAUAGUGGAUAGCAUGUUCAUAAUUAAUAGCAAAUGUCAAGGUAGCAUAAAUAAUCCAUUAAUCUCAUGAUCAAGUGUAAGCAUAAUUAAUCUCAUAGCAUAAAUGAUAAUCAAAUAAACAUAAUAACAUAACAAUCUCAUCAUCUUAAUGUAGAUGUCCCCAAGGCCGCUCCUGACUGUGAGCUCGGCUAGUAUACUAGUUUUAACACCCUGCAGAGGUUGUACAUCUUUACCCAUGAGUCAUGAUUUACCCUUUCGCCCGAGGUAGCUAAUCUCUUAACCCCCUUCCUAGGGAGGUCAGCAGGGAUCACUAUGAAGCCUUUCAAAAGUUUGUCUAACAUGUUAGGGCCGCAAGGUUUCCUUUGGGGGCAGAUAUAGAUACCCCCUUCCGAAUGGCACAAUGACGCGCAGCCUAUACACAUAGGGACAGGGGCUCGCACUAUACCCGUGUCGGUUCAGCCCCUCCGCCCUUUCGGGUAACCUCUAACAAGCUAGAAAAGGUCUCCAUACUGAGCUAAAGCCAGAGCCAUUAUAGCCCUCAUGGUUGCACUGUUAUCCCGGGUGAUCACGUACAAACAAGAUCUCAUACAAUUAUUUGUCAUUCUUUUAUGUUCAUUGCAUAGCAAUUAAUCAUCUUACAAGAUCAUGGAUUAUAUCAAGCACUAGCACAUCUACACCAAAUGCAUAUCAAGUAGGUAGCAAGGAAUCCAGGUAACAAUCAUCUAUGAUUUUGCUAAGGUCAACAAGGUGAAAGCAUGCAUAUGAUAUAUAUGUGUAUUUAUAAGUGAAUAGGUAACAAGGAUGAUCCCAAGUUAUACUUGCCUUGAUCAAAGCUCUCCUGAGUGUGCUGGUCCUCAAAAGCUUGGUCUUGAUCACCAACGUACGGCUCACCGUCUAUUCCCAAACAUCAAUCAACAACACGCAAUCCAAUGGAGACAAUCACACACAAAGCAAACAAGAUAUAAUUAGAACAUUACACCAAACAGUGGUAAAACAAGUAUAAAAGUUUAUGAAAAUAUUUUAUGCAGCGCUACGAUCACACAAACGUAAAGUUCAAGAAAAUCGGAAUUAAAACGUAGAAGUUAUGAAUUUUCUAAGAUUUCCUAUAGAGAAAUAAUUAGUUAAAUGCUACUGCAGAAUUAUAAAGUUUCAAAACAGAGAAUAAAUACUUCUAACAUGUAGAUCUCGUAAAUACGAAUCUAACAAAAUUUGAAUGGACAAAAACGGAGUCAAAAUGAAUAUUUUAUGAGCAUUAUAAAAUCGAUGGCAAAACAAAUAUCUGAAAACGUAAACUGAGUUGAACCAGACAGGAAUACGCUUUUAAACUUAGAAAACGUAAUCUCUUCCAGGGCGCCAGGGACCGCGGGGUAAUUAGAGAAAGUUUCCAGGGACUCUUUAUGAAGUUUACAGCCGAAAGGGUAUCUUCUUUUAGAGAUCGUUGGAUCGCCAUCCGACGGCCCUGAACAAACCAGGGGGUCUCCAGGCGGCGGCCGGCCGCUGGCUGUGGGCUCCGGUGCGGUGGCGCCAUGGCUGGAGCCCUUGAAGCUCACUGGCGCCACUGAUCUCCCAAUUCCGGUCGCUAGGGAACAAAAGAAAAACGCCGGGCAGAAGAGAAGCUCACCCCGAGCUCACCUACGGGAUCGGCUCGGCCUGGGAAGCAGCAGAGAGGGUUGGCGAGCUCCGAGCUCUUGGCGAGAUCGCGACCUAGAAGAAAACAGCGGCUAGGGUUGCUAAAUCGCGCGGAGAUACAAAGGGGAAGCUGCAGGGUUGGGGAAGACGUUUUAUAGCGCUCGGUUGACAAAUUAGGCAAGGAAUAUCCCGCGGAUUUCGGGAUCGAGUCGGUCGGGGGAAAGAAAUUCCUCUCGGGCACGCGCGAGGAAGGAGAUGGCGGCGCUGCUUGGCGGGUCCCGCAUGUCAGCGGCAAGGGGGAGGGGGGGCCCGGCUGCCAGUGGCCAAGAGAAAGGGGGGAAGACGCGCGGCUGCUCAGCUUGGGCCGCGGCUUGCUGGGCUGCGGUGGAAAAGAAAGCCAGGGGGGUGCGGGAAGGGACUGGGCCGCGGGGAGCCAGUGGGCUGCAGGGGCGAUUUCCAGGGGCUUCUCCCCUUUUUCUUUCCUUUUUAUUUCCUUUUACCAAACUUUUCAAAAGAGAAAUUUUUGAGCAUAAACAAAUAAGAAAAAAAUAGAAACAAACAACACAAAAAUAAAUGCUAUUCUCAGCAUCAAUGCAAAAGCAUGUUUCUAGCUUUAUGAUGAAUUUUAUUCUCCACAAAAUAAUUUAUUUGCUAGGUUUAAAUGCUCACAAAAAUACUUAAAUAAAUCAAAUUAAUUCCUAUUAAUUGAAAUCAAAUUUUUGGGUGUUACAAACUCUACCCCCCUUAAAGAAUCUCGUCCUCGAGAUUGAAAGGUGCUUACUCAAACAAGUAUGAGUAUGAUUUCCUCAGAUCAUCCUCUCUUUCCCAUGUUGCCUCUGCUUCUGAAUAUUGAUUCCACUGCACUUUGCACAUUCUAAUAACCCGACUCCUGGUGACUCUCUCAGCUGUCUCCAGUAUUCUGACCGGAUACUCUUCAUAAGUGAGAUCACCUUUAAUAGAAAGCUCUUCCAAUGGUAUUUGCUCCUCAGGUACACGCAAACACUUCUUAAGUUGUGACACAUGGAACACAUCAUGCACCCCAGAUAAACUUUCAGGCAAUUCUAACUGAUAUGCUACUUCUCCACGCCUUUCUAAUACUUUAAACGGACCAACAUAUAUUGGAGCUAGCUUUCCCUUCAUAUUAAACCUCUUUACACUCCUCAUUGGUGAUACCUUCAGGUAGACAUAAUCACCCACUUCAAAAACUAGCUCUCUCCUACACGUAUCUGCAUAGCUUUUCUAACGAGACUGAGCAACUCUCAAGUAAUCCCGAAUAGUCCGCACUUGUUGUUCUGCAUGUCUAAGCACAUCUGUCCCAAACACCUGAGUUUCUCCUGUCUGAUUCCAAAACAAAGGUGUCCUACACUUACGACCAUACAGUGCCUCGAACGGUGCCAUCUUAAGACUCUGUUGAUAGCUGUUGUUGUAGGAGAAUUCUGCAUAUGGCAAACUCUUGUCCCAACUAGUCCCAUACUGCAAAGCACAAGCUCUCAACAUAUCCUCCAGUAUCUGAUUGAUCCUCUCAGUCUGUCCAUCUGUCUGUGGAUGAUACGCUGUACUAAAAUUCAACUUUGUUCCCAAGGAAUCAUGCACUGCUUUCCAAAAGUGAGAUGUGAAUUGAGUACCCCUAUCUGACACAAUCUUCUUAGGUACUCCAUGCAAACAAACAAUUCUCUCCAUAUACAGCUCAGCUAGGCGUUCUCCGGUGUACUUAGUCUUGACAGGUAUGAAAUGAGCAACCUUAGUCAAACGAUCUACUAUCACCCAUAUUGAGUCAUACCCUCUCUGUGUAUGUGGUAAACCCACAAUAAAAUCCAUACCCACUUCUUCCCACUUCCAUUCCGAAAUCUUCAUUGGUUGCAACAGUCCAGCUAGCCUCUGAUGUUCAGCUUUCACUCGCUGACAAGUAUCACAUAUAGCAACAUACUCAGCCACAUCUCUCUUUAAACCAUACCACCAAUACUUCUGUUUCAGAUCUAGAUACAUCUUAGUGCUACCAGGGUGAAUGGAAUACGCUGACUCAUGAGCCUCUCUCAGAAUCAUAUCACGAAUAGCCUUCACUUCAGGAACACAUAUCCUUUUUCCAAACCACAGUACACCAUUGUCAUCUAUUCUGAAUCCUGGUGCUUUGCCUAGUACCACAUUCUGUGCUAUCUCCUUUAGUUUCUCAUCUUCCAACUGUCCUUUCAAUAUCUCUUCUUCUAGAGUAGGAGUGACCUCAAUUUCCAUAGCAUUGACUACAAUUCCCAAGUUCAAAUAUGCAAAUUCAGCACACAACUCCUCAGAUUCAGGUGUCGCCUGAAGCUCAUUAGCAUAUUUCUUUCUGCUAAGUGCAUUAGCUACGACAUUCGCCUUUCCAGGAUGAUAAUGCACUUCCAAAUCAUAAUCCUUUAUCAAUUUCAACCAUCUUCGUUGCCUCAAGUUCAGAUCUGUCUGUGUGAAGAUAUACUUUAAACUCUUAUGAUCAGUAUAUAUGUCACUCAUAUGCCCAAUCAAAUAGUGUCUCCAAAUCUUCAAUGCAUGGACCAUGGCUGCUAACUCUAGAUCAUGAGUAGGAUAAUUCAGUUCAUGUUUCCUCAACUGUCUAGAUGCAUAAGCAACAACUCUACCUUCUUGCAUAAGAACACAACCCAAACCCAGAUGAGAAGCAUCACAGUAGAUAGAGAAACUCUUACUCAGAUCUGGCAAUACUAACACAGGUGCAGUAGUCAAUCUCUUCUUAAACUCCUCAAAACUAGCUUGACACUUAUCAGACCAUACAAACUUAGCAUUCUUCUCCAACAGAGCAGUCAUAGGCUUUGCAAGUUUUGAAAACCCUUCAAUGAAUCUACGAUAGUAACCAGCUAAACCAAGAAAACUGCGAAUUUCACUUACAUGUGUAGGUGGUUUCCAAUUCAGCACAUCUUUCACCUUACUAGGUUCCACUGCAAUACCACCAUUAGAGACAACAUGGCCAAGAAAAGAAACUUCUUCCAACCAAAACUCACAUUUACUAUGCUUGGCAUACAACUUAUGUUCUCUAAGUUUUUGUAAGACCAAUCUCAGAUGUUCAGCAUGUUCUUCCUUGGUUUUAGAGAAUACCAGAAUAUCAUCAAUAAAGACCACCACAAACUUAUCAAGAUACUCCAUAAAUACUUUAUUCAUCAUGUACAUAAAGUAAGCUGGUCCAUUGGUCAAACCAAAAGACAUAACUGUGUACUCAUACAACCCAUACCUUGUUGUGAAAGCUGUCUUUGGUAUAUCUGAAUUCUGAAUCUUCAAUUGAUGAUAACCAGAACGCAAAUCAUCUUAGAGAACACACAAGCACCUCUUAGCUGAUCAAAUAAGUCAUCAAUUCUAGGCAAUGGGUAUUUAUUCUUGAUAGUGACCUCAUUAAGUGACCAAUAAUCAACACACAUCCUCUGACUACCAUCCUUCUUAUCAACAAAGAUAACUGGUGCACCCCAUGGUGAUGAACUAGGACGAAUGAACCCUUUAUCUUGCAAUUCCUUAAUUUGUUUCUUAAGUUCUUCUAGUUCAUUAACCCCCAUUCUAUAUGGUCUUUUAGCUAUGGGUGCAGUACCAGGUAGUAAUUCAAUAAUAAAUUCAAUGUCUCGGUCAGGUGGCAUACCUGGCAAUUCAUCUGGAAAGACAUCCGGAAACUCAUCCACUACUAGAUUCUGAGGAUCAACAUCAUCAUUCAGUAGGUUCACUUUAGCUGUGAGUGGUGCUUGCACUGUUACAUUAACACUGAUUCGUUCUCCCUUUGGUGUUGUCAGAGCCACUACUCCCUCUUUGCAAUUAAUAUUUGUCUCAUGUAGCUUCAUCCAAUCCAAACCCAAGAUCACAUCUAUGCCUGAAGUUCUCAUAACCAUGGGACUGAUAGGAAAAUCUACCCCCCUUAAAGAAAGGCUUGUUGAGGGGCAACAAAAAGAAACUGGUAUAGUCCCACUGGUGAAUUUACUAGCAUAGGGGUUUUCAUUGCAACUAGUGGAAUGCUAUGAACUCUAACAAAUGCUUGUGAUAUGAAUGUAUGCGAAGCUCCAGAAUCAAAUAAAACUGUAGCAGGGAUAGAGUUGAUGCUGAACGUACCCAUCAUAAUUUCUGGUCCCUCCUGAACUGUUUCUGCAGCCACAUUGUUCACCUUUGCUGAAUAAGGAGCGGAUCUCCGGUCGCUGGUCUGCGGAUUAAACUUCUUUGGGCAAUCGUAGGACAUAUGUCCUUCCUUCCCACAACGAAAACACCUGGUAGGAGUGUUAGAAGCACUUCUUUUCAUGGAGGUAGCAUUUGAAUUCCCUAAGUGGGGUGUCUGCUGACCAUGCUGCUGUUGAUUAUGGUUACGUUGUUGGAAUGGAGGAUGUUGGUUCCCACUCUAUGAUUGAUUCUGGAAACACUGAGGUUGCUGGUUGUGGUUCCACUGACUAACUGGUCCUUGGAACCUCUGCUGAUAGCCUUGAUGAGAGCUGAAACGCUGACGGUUGUUGCUUCCAGAACCUUGUGCCAGCAUCCUUCUCUUCUUAUCGUGACCCUUACGCAUAUUAUCAAGCACAAUAUCACGAUUCACAAGAGCUUGAAAGGUAGGAUAGUUGUUUCCAGCUAACUGCAACCUGAGCUUGUAGUAAAGACCUUUCAUGAAUAGACGCUGCUUAUCAGCAUCUUCCCUCACAUCGUUCGGAGCAUAGCCACCAUUGCCACGGCCUCUGCUUCUGCCUCUUCCCCUUGCUGCCAUCUGCAUUCCAAGGUAUAUAAACACAUCUUAGUAAUGUCCAACAUGACAAUUACAAGAGUUAACGGAAUCUGAAAUUUUCUGGGUAACAUCCAACAUCCGCAGUUCAGAAAACCAGUCAUAUCUCGAGUUCCAAAAUUCAAAAGGAUACAUGCUGUACACUGUUGGAAAUAUAAAGAAAUCGUCUACAACUUUCAUUUAGAUCAUACUAACAGAUUCGAACGUUAGAUUAAUCAAAAACUGGGUACAACCGAAACUGUUCCAGAAUUCCAGACUGCGCAGAAACCUCAACUUUAAACUGUCAUAACUCACAGCUCAUAAUAGAUAAUAUGAUCAUUCUUGCGGCAUUGGAAAUAUAUGAAAGUCUACUUGUUCCCAUAAAAAUUUGAUGAACAUUGCACGAACAGAAUUUGAUUUAUACCAGAAUCAUUGCAGACUGCUCCAGAAAAACAGCAAAAGACAGAAACAGGAUAUGACCCCAAACCACUAUUUAUUCAUGUUCUUACUUAAGGUUCUUAACUAGGGAACUUGUGGACAUGCCCACAAAGUUCCAGCACUCAUUACAAAAAUCCAAAUCACACAUAUUCAUAAUAACAAACCAAACAAAGCAUCAAAAGUUCACAUUUCAAGCAUUUACUCAACUUGCGGUACUAACGUUCUCUUCCUAUUAAGGGCAAAGAUCCUAAAACUCCUAUUUCAAUGAUGCCAGAAAGUGGUAAGACAAGGUUCUAAAAGCAUAUCAAGCAAGGAGUGGGGAUGAGAACAAAUCUUUAAAAUAAGCAUCAAGGUGAAGAUGAAUAGCAAUGAAAAGGAUAUAGUAUAUAGGAGAAGAUAUCAAGGUUUACAGAGCAAGGAUUUUAUAGCAAUUUCAAAACCUUAAGACGGCCAAUUUCUAAUUAGGCUUGCGUCCGACAAUCAACAAAGCUUUAAUACCAAUUUGUCACACCCAAAUUUUAAGAACAAAAUAGGAUGCAUAAAAGACUCAUAUGUGCCCCAGAAACAAUCACACACAUAAGUAGACAAAUCUCAAAUGUACCAUUGUAGUGUUUAUUACAUAGCGGAACAUAAUAAAUCACAUAGUCUUACACAAAAAUAAUAGCAUAAAGUAAACAACGCUCUCGACGGAAGCUCCACACAGGGACACUGUUGACUGGUUGACUCCAAACCUAAUACUCAUAGCAAUAGUCCUCAUUCCAAUCAUCAUCAUUAGCAUAACCUGGGGUGUUGGGAAAUUGCAAGAGUGAGCACAUAUCGUACUCAACAAGUAUAACCAGGGGUUCACGAGGCUCAAAAAGCUGACACUGGUUUGACUGCAAUUAGCUUUUAAUAGUGGAUAGCAUGUUCAUAAUUAAUAGCAAAUGUCAAGGUAGCAUAAAUAAUCCAUUAAUCUCAUGAUCAAGUGUAAGCAUAAUUAAUCUCAUAGCAUAAACAAUAAUCAAAUGAACAUAAUAUCAUAACAAGCUCAUCAUCUUAAUGUAGAUGUCCCUAUGGCCGCUUCUAACCGUGAGCUCGGCUAGUAUAUUAGUUUUAACACUCUGCAGAGGUUGUACAUCUUUACCCAUGAGUCAUGAUUUACCCUUUGGCCCGAGGUAGCUAAUCUCUUAACCCCCUUCCUAGGGAGGUCGGCAGGGAUCACUAAGAAGCCUUUCAAAAGUUCAUCUGAUAUGUUAGGGCUGCAAGGUUUCCUUUGCGAGCAGAUAUAGAUACCCUCCUUCCGAAUGGCACAAUGACGUGUAGUCUAUACACAUAGGGACAGGGGAUCACACUAUACCCGUGUCGGUUUAGCCCCUCUGCCCUUUUGGGUAACCUCUAACAAGCUAGAAAAGGUCUCCAUACUGAGCUAAAGCCAGAGCCAUUAUAGCCCUCAUUGUUGCACUAUUAUCCCGGAUGAUCACGUACAGACAAGAUCUCAUACAGUUAUUUGUCAUUCUUUUAUGUUCAUUGCAUAGCUAUUAAUCAUCUUAUAAGAUCAUGGAUUAUAUCAAGCACUAGCACAUCUACACCAAAUGAAUAUCAAGUAGGUAGCAAGGAAUCCAGGUAACAAUCAUCUAUGAUUUUGAUAAGGUCGACAAGGUGAAAGCAUGCAUAUGAUAUAUAUGUGUAUUUAUAAGUGAAUAGGUAACAAGGAUGAUCCCAAGUUAUACUUGCCUUGAUCAAAGCUCUCCUGAGCCUGCUGGUCCUCAUACGGCUCACCGUCUAUUCCCAAACAUCAAUCAACAACACGAAUCCAAUGGAGACAAUCAUACACAAAGCAAACAAGAUAUAAUUAGAACAUUACACCAAACAGUGGUAAAACAAGUAUAAAAGUUUACGAAAAUAUUUUUUGCAGAGCUACGAUCACACAAACGUAAAGUUCACGAAACUCGGAAUUAAAACGUAGAAGUUAUGAAUUUUCUAAGAUUUCCUAUAGAGAAAUAAUUAAUUAAAUGCUACUGCAGAACUAAAAAGUUUCAAAACAGAGAAUAAAUACUUCUAACAUGUAGAUCUCAUAAAUACAAAUCUAACAAAAUUUGAAUGGACAAAAAUAGAGUCAAAAUGAAUAUUUUAUGAGCAUUAUAAAAUCGAUGGCAAAACUGUAAAUAUCUGAAAACGUAAACUGAAUUGAACCAGACAGGAAUACACUUUUAAACUUAGAAAACGUAAUCUCUUCCAGGGCGCCAGGGACCGCGGGGUAAUUAGAGAAAGUUUCCAGGGACUCUUUAUAAAGUUUACAGCCGAAAGGGUAUCUUCUUUUGGAGAUCGUUGGAUCGCCAUCCGACGGCCCCGAACAAACCAGGGGGUCUCCAGGCGGCGGCCGGCCGCUGGCUGUCAGCUCCGGCGCGGUGGCGCCAUGGCCGGAGCCCUUGAAGUUCACCGGCGCCACUAAUCUCCCAAUUUCGGUCACUAGGGAACAAAAGAAAAACGCCGGGCGGAAGAGAAGCUCACCCCGAGCUCACCUACGGGAUCUGCUCGGCCUGGGAAGGAGCAGAGAGGGUUGGCGAGCUCCAAGCUCUCGGCGAGAUCGCAACCUAGAAGAAAACGGUGGCUAGGGUUGCUAAAUCGCGCGGAGAUACAAAGGGGAAGCUGUAGGGUUGGGGAAGACAUUUUAAAGGGCUCGGUUGACGCAUUAGGCAAGGAAUAUCCCGCGGAUUUCGGGAUCGAGUCGGUCGGGGGAAAGAAAUCCCUCUCGGGCACGCGCGAGGAAGGAGAUGGCGGCGCUGCUUGGCGGGUCCCGCAUGUCAGCGGCAAGGGGGAGGGGGCCCGGCUGCCAGUGGCCAAGAGAAAGGGGGGAAGACGCGCGGCUGCUCGGCUUGGGCCACGGCUUGCUGGGCUGCGGUGGAAAAGAAAGCCAGCGGGGUGGGGGAAGGGACUGGGCCGUGGGGAGCCAGUGGGCUGCAGGGGCCGAUUUCUAGGGGCUUCUCCCCUUUUUCUUUCCUUUUUAUUUCCUUUUACCAAACUUUUCAAAAUAGAAAUUUUUGAACAUAAACAAAUAAGAUAAAAGCAGAAACAAACAACACAAAAAUAAAUGCUAUUCUCAGCAUGAAUGCAAAAGCAUGUUUCUAGCCUUAUGAUGAAUUUUAUGCUCCACAAAAUAAUUUAUUUGCUAGGUUUAAAUGCUCACAAAAAUACUUAAAUAAAUCAAAUUAAUUCCUAUUAAUGGAAAUCAAAUUUUUGGGUGUUACAGUAAUCUGAGCUGCCCUCAUGAAGUAUGCUCGGGUGAGUGCUAGGAAUAUCCCUCCAGCUGGAUAGGAAUCGAUUCGAAUCGUCGUCUCUCCCGAAUAGUGAGAGCUUGACUCGAGCAGCGGCAACGUAGAACUCACUAAAUGAACUUAAUGGUUAUGAUGAGAAUGUUGAUAGCUAUGUGAUAAUCCGGAUAUGGUUAUUAUUGUGAUGCUUAAAUACUCAAGUGUAUGCUUAGAACAGGUGCUAAUCUAGUGGAUAGUUUUUAAGUAAUGAACCUGCUGCUGAGAUGUUAUAAAUGGGUUACUUACAACUAAAGCUUUUAUGCAAAAUGUGAGUCAAACCAGUCCACAAAUAUUAGCCUAGCAUACUCCUUGGUGUCACUUUAUUUCUGGUUUAUGACGGGUAAGUCUAGCUGAGUACAUUCUCGUACUCAGGGUUUUAUUUACCCUUGUUGCAGAUGAUGUCGUUUACCACGGCUACUGUACUAUCUGUCAUCAUCCGGUUGCGGACGAUGAGUAGAUCAUGGGCAUGAUCACCUCUAUUACCUUCAGUUGAGCUUUUGUUGGGUUGACUAUGGAUCUGGCAUGUAAUUAAACUGAAUGUGUGUGUUGGUUUCAAAACUACUUUGCUUCCGCUACUAAACUAGUUUGUAAUAACUUUGUUUAAACUCUGAUGUGCUGUAAAACUAUGUUCUGUGAUGAAUGUAUGUAAUCUGUGAUGGCGAUGCCUGAUCAUGUACGAUCUUAGUUGUAUGUUGGUUGAAUCGAGGUCUUUUGAGAUUUUGUCGGACUACCGGGUUUAUAUGGGUUCAAGUCCAUUGGCUUAACUGCUUUGUGGUCACUAAUUCACUUGAAUUCUUAUAAAUUGGACGGUUCUGUUACAUUAUCGGUCACUGAAUGAGGUCACUAUCAAGAAUUAGUAUCCAUUGCCUAGGAUUGAUGACUUAUUUGAUCAGUUAAGGGGUGCAUGUGUGUUCUCUAAGAUUGAUCUUCAUUCUGGUUAUCAUCAGUUGAAGAUCCGUAAUUCAGAUAUACCAAAAACAGCUUUCACAACAAGGUAUGGGUUGUAUGAGUAUACAGUUAUGUCUUUUGGUUUGACCAAUGCACCAGCUUACUUUAUGUACAUGAUGAAUAAAGUAUUUAUGGAGUAUCUUGAUAAGUUUGUGGUGGUCUUUAUUGAUGAUAUUCUGGUAUUCUCUAAAACAAAGGAAGAACAUGCUGAACAUCUAAGAUCGGUCUUACAGAAGCUUAGGCAACAUAAGUUGUAUGCUAAGCGUAGUAAAUGUGAGGUUUGGUUGGAAGAAGUUUCUUUUCUUGGUCAUGUUGUCUCAAAUGGUGGUAUUGCAGUGGAUCCUAGUAAGGUGAAAGAUGUGCUAAAUUGGAAGCCACCUACAGAUGUAAGUGAAAUCCAUAGCUUUCUUAGUUUGGCUGGUUAUUAUCGUAGAUUCAUCGAAGGAUUCUCAAAACUUGCAAAGCCUAUGACUGCUCUAUUAGAGAAGAAUGCUACGUUUGUAUGGUCUGAUCAGUGUCAAGCUAGUUUUGAAGAAUUUAAGAAGAGAUUGACUACUGCACCUGUGUUGGUAUUCCCAGAUCUGAGUAAGAGCUUCUCCAUUUAUUGUGAUGCUUCUCGUCUGGGCUUGGGUUGUGUUCUUAUGAAAAAAGGUAGAGUUGUAGCUUAUGCAUCUAGACAAUUGAGAAAACAUGAACUGAAUUAUCCCACUAAUGAUUUGGAGUUAGCAGCUGUGGUUCAUGCACUCAAGAUUUGGAGACACUAUUUGAUUGGGCAUAAGAGUGAUAUAUAUACUGAUCAUAAGAGUUUGAAAUAUAUUUUCACCCAGGCAGAUCUGAAUUUGAGGCAACGUAGAUGGUUGGAAUUGAUAAAGGAUUAUGAUUUGGAAGUGCACUACCAUCCUGGAAAAGCAAAUGUCGUGGCCGAUGCACUUAGUAGGAAGAAGUAUGCUAAUGAGCUUCGGGCGACACCAGAGUCUGUUGAGUUGUGUGCUGAAUUUGCUCAUUUGAAUCUAGGCAUUGUUGUUAAUGCUAUGGAAAUAGAAGUGACUCCUACCUUAGAGAAGGAGAUAUUGAAAGGUCAGCUAGAGGAUGAGAAACUGAAGGAGAUAGCUCAGAAUGUGGUGUUAGGAAAGGCACCAGGAUUCAAAAUAGAUGACAAUGGUACACUUUGGUUUGGGAAUAGGAUAUGUGUUCCUGAAGUAAAGGCUAUUCGUGAUAUGAUUCUGCAAGAGGCCCAUGAAUCAGCUUACUCCAUUCACCCUGGUAGUACUAAGAUGUAUCUAGAUCUUAGGAGAAAUAUUAGUGGUAUGGGUUAAAGAGAGAUGUAGCUGAAUAUGUUGCUUUGUGUGAUACUUGUCGGCGAGUGAAAGCUGAACACCAGAGGCCAGCUGGACUAUUGCAACCAAUGAAGAUCCCUAAAUGGAAGUGGGAAGAAGUAGGCAUGGACUUCAUAGUGGGUUUGCCUCGUACACAGAGUGGAUAUGAUUCAAUAUGGGUAAUAGUGGAUCGAUUGACUAAAGUUACUCACUUCUUGCCCGUCAAAACCACUAAUUCAGGAGCUUGAUUAGCAGAGUUGUAUAUGAAGAGGAUAGUAUGUUUGCAUGGAGUGCCUAAGAAGAUUGUAUUUGAUAGAGGAACUCAGUUCACCUCUACUUUUUGGAAGAAAGUGCAUGAUUCCUUGGGUACAAAACUGAAUUUUAGUACAACUUAUCAUCCUCAGUCAAAUGGACAGACAGAAAGGAUAAAUCAGAUACUAGAAGAUAUGUUGAGAGCUUGUGCUUUGCAGUAUGGAACCAGUUGGGAUAAGAGUUUGCCGUAUGCGGAGUUUUCCUACAACAAUAGUUAUCAGCAAAGUCUUAAAAUGGCACCAUUUGAGGCAUUAUAUGGUCGUAAAUGUAGAACAACUUUGUUUUGGAAUCAAACCGAAGAGACUCAAGUGUUUGGUCCAAAUGUGCUGAGACAUGCAGAACAACAAGUAUGGAUCAUUCAGGAUAAUAUGAGAGUUGCUCAGUCUCAUCAGAAAAGCUAUGCAGAUACACGUAGGAGAGAACUAGCUUUCGAGGAAGGUGAUUAUGUCUAUCUAAAAGUGUCACCCAUGAGGAGUGUAAAGAGGUUUAAUGUGAAAGGGAAGCUAGCUCCAAGGUAUGUUGGUCUGUUUAAAGUUUUGCAAAGGUGUGGAGAAGUGGCUUAUCAGUUGGAAUUUCCUGAAAGUCUAUCUGGUGUGCAUGAUGUGUUCCAUGUGUCACAACUUAAGAAGUGUUUGUGUGUACUUGAGCAGAUACCUUUAGAAGAGCUUUCUAUUAAAGGUGACCUCACUUAUGAAGAGUAUCCAGUUAAGAUUUUGAAAAUAGCUGAGCAAGUUACUAGAAGUCGGGUUAUUAGAAUGUGCAAAGUGCAAUGGAAUCGAUAUUCAGAAGCAGAAGCAACUUGGGAAAGAGAGGAUGAUCUCAGGAAAUCAUAUUCAUAUUUGUUCGAGUAAGCACUGCUCAAUCUCGAGGACGAGAUUCUUUUAAGGGGGGUAGAGUUUGUAACACCCAAAAUUUGAUUUCCAAUUAAUAGGAUUUAGUUUGAUUUAUUUGAAUAUUUUUGUGAUCAUUUAAAUUAGUAAAUAAAUAAAUUUUGUUGAAAAUAAAAUCCAACAUAGGGAUAGAAACAUGUUGGUGCAUUUCAUGCUGGAGCAUAUUUUAUUUUAUGCUUGUUGCUUUUGGUUUGAAAUUAAUUGCAUUCAAACUCCUAUUUAGAAAAGGUUUUGGGAAAAAGAAAGAAUAAAAAAAGAGAAUGCUCACCUGCACCCUCGGCCUGUUGGCCCAGAACCACUCAAGACGCCUCCUCAGCCCAGCCAGCCCCCUCUCCCCCUAUGCGCUCGGCCCUGCGAGUGGCCCAGCUCACCCCCGCGCACACCUCCCCCUCUCUCUCUCAAGCUGGUGAGCAGGCCCCACCCCUUCUUUCACCGCCAGCCGAGUCCCACGCGUCAGCUCUCUCCCACCUUUCCUUCCUUCUUCUCUACGCGUCGUGUCCGAGCCGGACGCGGUCGAAAAUUUGACUCGAUUUCCUGAGAUUCCCUGCCAACCAUGCAAACCGAUUCCUCUACAAGGCCGUGACUCUUCUCCGCAAUCUCCUCCUCGUUUUCAAUCCUCUAAAUCGAGCCCCAGCUGCACUCGCGUCGCCGUCGGAUCUUGCAGGCUGGCCAGAGUCGCCGCUGCGGUGGAGGGCCUUGUUCUCUGCGGUUUUCAUGAAAUCAAGACCCUACCGGGCUUCUCGUCAAGGUUGCGCGGCUCCCCAAGACUCCACCUCUCUUUUUCUCCCUCUCUACGUUGCUCUAAAUGUUGCUGAACCUCGCAGGGGAGCUCUCGUCCGCCGCUACACGCUGCACGGCAUCUCCAGUCGAUUUGCGACCCCAAAACGUCCCUAGGUGAGUUCGCAUUGGUUCCCUCUUGCUCCCCAUACUUUUGGAUCCGAGUUUGGUGAACCGUAGAGUGUUUUCCGUCAACACCGGUGAGGUUCCGGCCAUGGAACCGCUGCCGGAGACACUGUUCCGGCCGGCAGCUGCCCCUUCUCUCCCCAGCUCUAAUCUGCGCCAUCCAAUCUAAGAUCAACGGCUCCCAAUCAAAGAUACCCUUUCGGCUAGCAUAAUUUCUAAAGAUCCCCUCCCCUUUUUUAUAAUAGAACCCGCAGUCCCUAGCGUAUUCCACUGAAUAUGUUUUCUCAACUUUAAAUACGUAUUUUCGUCGGUUAAAAGCAAAAUACAUUUUCUGCUACUUACAAGUUUGCCACUGAUUGUAUAAUGCUCAUAAAAUACUCAUUUUAAAUCCAAUUUGGUCCAUUCAAAUUGCGUUAGGUUCAUAUUUACGAGCUCUACAUGUUAGAAGUAUUAUUUCACUAUUUUGAAACUUUUUAAUUUCGUGAUACUAUUUAAUUAAUUAUUAUUCUAUAGGAAAUCUUAGAAAAAAUCAUAACUUCUCCGUUUUAAUUCCCAUUUUCGUGAACUUUACGUUUGUGUGAUCGUAGCGCUGCGUAGAAUAUUUUUAUAAACUUUUAUAUUUGUUUUAUCGUUGUUUGGUGUAUUGUUCUAAUUAUAGUUUGUUUGCUUUGUGUAUGAUUGUCCAUUGGAAUGUGUGUUGUUGAUUGAUGAUCGAGUAUAGACGGUAAGCAAUACGUUGGUGACCAAGGGCAAUCUUUUGACGACCAGCAGCAGGAGUUUCAGGAAAGCUUUGAUCAAGGCAAGUAUAACUUGGGACUAUCCUUGUUACCUACACACUUAUAAUUAUACAUAUAUCAUAUGCAUGUGUCCACAUUGAUGACCUUAGCAAAAUCAUAGAUGCUUGUUAUCUGAAUUACUUGUUACCUAUUUGGAUAUGCAUUUGGGUAGUUCUUGCUAGUGCUUGAUUAUAAUCCAUGAUGUUGUAACAUGAAUAUUUGGAUAUACAAUAAACAAUAAAAUAAGCUUUCUAGCAACUUGAACAUAAAGGGUGGAAAGAACUCUAGCUUUUUCUAGAUUGAUCUUGACCCUCCAUAAGGACUUAUCCCUUGGCAAAAGCUGGGACAACUCGUACAAACCAUGAGGGCUAUAUGGCUCUGGCUUUAGCUCGGUAUCAACACCUUAUCUAGCAUGUUAGAGGUUACCUGAAAGUGCACUAGAGGGGCUUGCCGUUUUGGGUAUAGUGUGGCCUCUGUCCUUAUGUGUAUAGGCUGCGAGUCAUUGUGCCAUUUGGAAGGGGGCUCUAUAUCUGCGCGCUCGGGAAACCUUGUGGCCCUAACUUGAUAGAUGAACUUUUGAAAGGCUUCAUAGUGAUCCCUGCCGACCUCCCUAGGAAGGGGGUUAAGAGACUCGCGACCUCGGGCGAAAGGGUAAAUCAUGACUCAUGGGUAAAGAUGUACAACCUCUAUAGAGUGUUAAAUCCAGUAUACUAGCCAUGCCCACGGAUACGGGCGGCCCGAAAAACUAACGGAAUAGAUGGACACUGAUAAACAUGAUUAAUGAUGAUAAAUGAUGACUUAUUAUUAUGUUUAUAUGUGUUAUUCUUAAUUCUUGUAUACAUUGAUCAUGUGGUUAUGGGAGUUAAUUAUGCUACCUUGACAUUUGCUAUCUAAAUAUGAACAUGCUAUCUACAUAUAAAAGCUAAAUGCAGUCAAACCAGUGUGAGCUAAUUGAGCCUCAUGAACCCCUGGUUAUACUUGUUGAGUAUGAUAUGUGCUCACUCUUGCUAUUCCACAACACCUCAGGAUAUUCUAAUGAAGAUGACCGAAAUGAGGACUACCGUUAUGAGUACUAGGCUUGGAGUCAACCAGUUGAUUGUGUCCCUGUGUGGUGCUUCCGUCGAGAGUAUCUUUAUUUGUUUGGGAUUAUGUAAUAAACACUGUAAUGGUACAUUUGAGAUUUGUCUACUUAUGUGUGCAACUGUUUCUGGGGCACAUAUGAGUCUUUUAUGCAUCCUAUUUUGUUCUUAAAAUAUGGGUGUGACACUCAAUCUAAUACCAUAUUCUACAUUCAGAAAGCUCGGUAAAAAGGCAGAAGAUUUAUGCCCUACGAUAUGUGGUUGACAUAUUUUAGUGGAAAUAUUUUAGUGACCAAGGGUGUUGUAUGUGUUGAACUAACAGUUGGUAGUAAGAGCUUGCCUACUACUUUCUUUGUAGUUGAUGCUAAAAGAACAUACAAUAUACUUCUUGCCAUCUACUAUGAACCAAAGUUUUAUUCAAUGGGUUGGAGAUAAUGUGGAAGUUGUGCUAGCUGACUCUUCUGUUAGUACUUCUUAUGCUGAGGCAGAUGAGUGUAAUUUUGAAGGCAUGGAAUGUUUUUAUAGGAAGAUAUAUGAAGGAGACAUCAUCAAGGUAUUUGAAGAUGGUCAACAGCUGAUACAAGCAGUUGGCUCUCAAAGUUUCAAUUAAUGGAUUCUUUAGUCGAUGAAGACGAAGGCAAGAUGGGCGAAGGAUUUAUGUUGGCCAAUGAGUUCGAGGCAGUAGACACAGGUGAUGGUGACAAACCUAGGCCAACAUAUGUUAGUGCUAAGUUGGAUCUUGAGUAUAAGCAGGAGUUAAUAACUUUACUAAAAGAAUACAAAGAUUGUUUUGCUUGGGAAUAUUUUGAAAUGUCUGGUCUUGAUAGAAAGUUAGUUGAGCAUUGACUACCAAUUAAACCUAGAUAUUGGCCUUUCAAGCAAGCUCAGAAGAAUCAAACUAGAAGUUAUUGCUGAUGUCAAGGUAGAAAUCACCGGAUUAUAUAAAGCAAAAUUUAUUCGGCAAUGUCGGUAUGCUGAAUGGAUUUCUACUGUGGUUCCUGUGUAUAAGAAAAAUGGUAAAGUAAGGAUCUGUAUUGACUUCAGAGAUUUAAAUAAGGCCACUCCCAUAAAUAGUUAUCCAAUGCCUAUUGCUGAUAUGUUAGUUGAUGAUGUAGCAGGACAUAAAGUGAUUAGUUUUAUGGAUGGUAAUGCUGGGUAUAACCAGAUAUUUAUGAUAGAGGAAGAUAUUCUUAAAACUGCACACGCAAUCUUUGGAAGAUAUAUAUAAAAAGAAAACAUAAGCAUAGAUAGAUUAUCUUUCCAUUAGGUUGAGCGAUCUGAUCUGACAAAUGAUUUAAAUACUACACUCAUGAUCUUAUUAUCCAUCAACUUUGUCUUGCUCACUAUGCUUAAGGUUAGAGAAGAACAAAUACACUUUUGGUUUUGUUGGUGUUUUCCACCAAUAGGGCCCAUGCACUUGAUCUCUGCCUUGUCUUUAUGAGCAGGUACACUUCGAGCAAAAUAUGGAGGAGUUUUACAACUCCCAGACUCCAUCAAGUGAAGAACCUGGAUCUACGAGCACAAACACACUGGAGAUACUGGACACUCAGGCAAUCACUGCCCUGAGAUGCUUGAGGACGUAACUACUGGAGUAACCCCGUUGUAGAAGUAAUUACUGACCUUCUGCCGGUGAAGAGAGACAACCCAGGACGCCCUGUCAUCCCGAUCUCCAUUGGCAUGGUGGACUUCCUAGAAGCACUCUGCGACUUUGGCUCCAGCGUCAACUUUAUGCCCAGGGGAGGCCAUUCCUAAAUACCCCAGGAGCUGUCAUCUACGCUAGUGCUGCCAAGAUCAGUUUCUACAUCAAGGGAAGGAAGGAGACAUUUUCCUUCAAGAACAAGACUACACAAAUCUCAGAGCAAUCCCGACAUGAACCAAGGAAGAGGACCAACAUGAGGAACAGGAACAAGCAACUGUGGACCGAGUCAGCUAAGAUGGUCACUACAGUUCAAGGAGGUCAAGAUCGUCGACUUAAGUCACCGUUCCUGACCAAAAAGGACGACCCAAGUAUGCCAAGCAUCCAGUGCUCCAUUAAUGGAUACAACUUCCAGAAGAUGUUUUGCAACACCGGGUCAGGCGUCAACAUAAUGGCCGCAGCCACCUAGUAGCUCCUGUUCGGAACCAUGCCUCUAAAACCAACAUACAUUCAGCUACAAAUGGCAGAUCAGACAUUCUGAAAGAUUGAGGGUUAUUGACAUGGGAGAAGACGAGUACGAUCCACCCAUCAUCCUUGGAAGACUGUUCCUCAGCACCGUUAAAGCAAUCAUCAACAUUGGAACCGGAGAAGUCCACAUGCACUUCCCCUCUGAGAGGGUACACCGCUAUUUUACUAACCAUAACUAUAUAGUUGAAGAAUCUAAGCAGGUCAGGACAAGAAGAUGACGAUGCAAUCGCAACCAGAGGAGGCAAAUCAUCAAGGACGGAUGGGCAGACUACGAAGGAGAAGUGAUAAGGUCUGAAGACAUACAGCUUGAAUAGUACUGUCCUGAGGAGACCGUAGCACCGAGUCAGGUGUGUAGAAAGAAGAUAGUUAUACACGAAGAGCAGGCUCCGCCGGAACCACUGACUACGCCAUCCAGCGAAUCCCAGGACGACUAAGAAAACGGAGAGUCCCGUUCGGAGGACUUAAAAACACCGAACGCCUUGCCAAGAGGUAAACUUGGUAGUUAUCUUUUUCAUUUUAAUUAUUUAAAAUAGUUUGCUUAGUUAAUCAGGUUCAUAUCAUCUCGAAAAGAAAAUAAAAAUGUUAAAAAUAGUAAGCCCCAUGUGGGUAUGCUCAUGGCAUAAAACCCAUAAGUACAUUCACUGUGGUGGCGUAAAAAUAAAAUAAAUAUAUUCCUGUCCUAUAAAAAUAAAAUUAUAAAAAUAAAUUUAUGAUCCUACUAAAGAGGGUAACAUUUAUUGAGGAGGCUCAACAUGAUAAAGGCUAGAUAUUUAUGCUAACACUUAACUAGUUCCACAAAGCUUUGUUGUCUAUUUGAGCUCCACAGAAUUCAAGGAUCAAAGAAGACUAGCAGACGGAGGACAACCUAAUCGCUGUCAGAGUGCUGCCGACAUUCAAAUACACCUCCGUCACCUGCUAGCUACAUCAGAAGAAAUUGCGUCGAAAUCUAGUUGGGGGAGAGCACCCCCAUUUAUCCAGCUAAUUAUUCUACUCACAUUUAUACUUUACUCUAAUAAUAAAAUGAUGCAUAAUCAUAAGAACCCAAAUAAAGAUUUUGUGCUUAUAUAUAUAUAUAUAUCUUUGCAUAGUUUGCUAAAUAAUAAAUAAAUAAAUAAAGUUUGCUAUGAACCCUCAUGAUAAGCUCUCACAUGGAAAUGAUGAAUAGUUGCUCUGCUAUGACUAGUUCUCAAAUUGAAAUCUCUCUCAAGUUUAGGCAUGAAUGUUAUUAAUUAAUAUUUGCUCUAAACCUGAACUUAUGGGAAGAGUACUGGAUCUAAAGUCUAAGUUGUUAAUGGAUAUGAUAUGGGAAGGUUGAGCUAUUGUUUAUCUGUUCCUAGAGAUGCUAGAAUUCUGGAGAAUUUUAUCUUUGAAAAUCUUUAAAAUAUCACAUGAUGAGUUCAUGUAUGAUGAGAGUUUAAAAUCCUACCACAGCCAUAUAUACAUGCUUAUUAGACUAUGAACCACACAUUUGCUUUUUACUGCUUAUAAGCAUUGAGUGUGGUCAAGCUGUGUAGACCCUUAGGAGCUUGUCAUGUGGUUAAAUCAAGAUUCGCUUGCACGUUCACUCACACAUGCUGCUUCUACUCCGGAAGUACGCAUCCACAUAUAUCCACCCAUUUCCAUCUCUAGAACCAUCCACAAAUAUUCUACUCCUAAUCCGGGAGAGAAUAGCUAAAAACAUUUUUGUUUUCCCCUGUGAAAUAAAUGCUCCAGUUAUCUUGGUUACUACCACUUGCUACAUUAUUUCAAGAGAUGAGUGCUCUCUAAAAAAAGAGAAGAGAGAAAAAAAGAUACGAGGAAAUAAAAAGGGGCAAGUGCCCGGAACCUCGAAAGAAAAGAAAAAGUGAGACGAGAGGUAAAAAUGGACAAGUGUCCGACAGUAGAAUUAGGGGUACAAGAUACCCACCUGAGAGAAAAGAAAAAAAAAUGUAGAGCAUCUCAUUCUCCUCAAAAAGUUUCAAAAGAGCAAGAAAGGUAUGUAUCCCCUAAAAAGAGCACAAGUAGAAUUAGACUUUCACCAUUGUUAUCACCAUCAUCACCAUACACCAUUCAUUCGCCACACAUGCACAUCUUGAUUUGACUUAUUGACUUGUUUCUUCUGGAUCCAUGGUUUGACUAUGCAAUAAAUGUCUUGUAAGUAUGUAUUAGCUGUCUCCCACCUAUGAGCUCCAGAUAUCAAAACCUUAUUAGAGUAGGGUG
rnacentral:lncRNA from 1 species